AAGAAAAAAAAGUAAAAAAAAAAUAAAAUAAAUAAAUAAAUAAAAUUAAAAAAAUUAAAAAAAUUAAAAAAUUAAAAAAAAUUAAAAAAUUAAAAAUUAAAAAAAUUAAAAAAUUAAAAAAUUAAAAUUAAAAAAAUUAAAAAAAAUUAAAAAAAUUAAAAAUUAAAAAAAAUUAAAAAAAUUAAAAAAUUAAAAAAUUAAAAAAAAAAAUUAAAAAAUUAAAAAAUUAAAAAAAUUAAAAAAUUAAAAAAAUUAAAAAAAUUAAAAAAAUUAAAAAAUUAAAAAAAAAAUUAAAAAAUUAAAAAAAUUAAAAAAUUAAAAAAAAUAAAAAUUAAAAAAAAAUUAAAAAAAUUAAAAAAAUUAAAAAAUUAAAAAAAUUAAAAAAUUAAAAAAAAUUAAAAAAAAUUAAAUAUAAAAUUAAAAAAAUGUAAAAAAAAUGUAGGAUAAUAAUAAAAUAAUAAUGAAUAAAUAAUAAUAAUAAUAAUAAUAAUAAUAAUAAUUAAUAACAUAAAAUUAAAAAAAUGUAAAAGAUGUAAAAAAUAAUAAUAAUAAUAAUAAAAUAAGGUUUUCAGGCACUUGUAAGCAUUACUUUCCUUGUGGUUGAAAUCAAAGACCAAAUUUAAAGAAAGAAAAAAAAACAAAAUAAAAAAUUUGUUUUUUUUUUAUACUAUGAUUAAACCCCAUUUUAAAAAUAAAUAAAUAAAAAGGAAAUAUGUCAAAUUUUAUAAGAAUGUGAAACUUUGUUUUCUUUUUUUAAAAAUAAUAAUAAUAAUAACAAGACUUUGGAUAAAAUAAGCUAGAUAGAAAAAUGACAUAGUGUUGGUAUCAAAACUUUUAAAAGAAAAAAAAAAGGCCCUCAAAUUUAUUCUAAUGUUAUUUAACUAAUAACAGAAGAAUUAAUCUGAGCGAGGAUUUUUCAUGUGCUUGCACGGGAGUCGAAACCCCUCGAAAGUCAACACUACUUCAUCCUCAAUUCUAGUCCUAUAAGGUUGUAGCCCGGGUAGAGGGCUUGUGAGUGUGUGUAAAUGCAUGAUGACAUAAAAAUAAGUAAUAAAAAAAAAAUAAAUAAUAAUAAAAAAUAAUAAUACCAAUAACAUAGUACAAAAUAUUACAUCUGAAUCAAAUAAAAACAAAUAAUUAAGUGAACCAACAUAUUAUAAUAUAAUAAUAAUAAAAGAUAAAAUAUAUGGCUCGACUCUCCAAAAUCCCCAGUGGAGUCGCCAAGCUGUCGCGACGUGAUCGCUACGCGGAGCGGCCGACCUCCCGUUUAUUUUAUUUUAAUAAAAAAUUUUGGAGUCGCCACCAAUCAUAUUAAGGUGUGAUUGGUCACCCAAAAAAAGAAAGAAAAAAAAAAUGGUCUGCGUACAUUCAGAGAUUUAAGUUCGGGAGUCAGUUAUGUGUAGGGAAGGUGUUAGCACCCUACAACACCCAAAAAUAUGGUUACCCAAUUUUAUCUUUUAAAUUAAAUUAUAAAGGUUCACAAAAUAAAAUUUUUAUUUAGGUUUUGUUUAAAUGUCCCAUGUUUAUCAAUUCAUAUCGAAGAAAGUAAAAACUAAGCAUGAAUUGAUGAUUAUGAGUGGCAUAGGAGCCAUUAGAAAAAUUAAGUUUAUUUUUGUUUUAAAAUAUUUUUAUUCACCUUAAGAAUAUUAAGAUACCAACACUUGAUAUUUUAAUCUCUAUCAUAGGUGUUUAAUGAAAAAUUUCAUAUAUCUAGAAUUAAUAAAUUCAUAGAAAAUACUACUCAGUCUCAUUUAAAAUAUGAAAUGUGUUAAUUUAAAAAAAAAAUCUAUUAAUUAAAUUUCAAACGGAAAAAUUUCAUGUAUUUAUGGAUUUUAAAUUAUAAAAUCCAUAAAAAACAAUACUUUUUCUCCAAUUUACAUUAUUAUAAAAAAAAUAAUAACAAUGACAAAACAUUAUGAAAUUUGAAAAAUACUUAGGUGUAAUAUGCUGAGAUAAAAUAAAUACAUUGAUAAUAUAUGCAAAAUGUAAAAGAUAUUAAUGUAGGAUGCAAGAUAAUUAAUUAAUACAACAUAUGCAACAUAAUUAAUUAAUUCAAAAUGAUGCAAAAUAAUUGAUUAAUGCAGGAUGCAAAAUAAUUGAUUAAUGCAUAAUUAAACGAGGCCAAAAUGGAUAUCAAAUAAUAAUUAACAGUUGAAUGCUAAAGUAGGUUUGGCCCAAUAUACAAAUAAAUAAUAUUGCGAAUAAAUAAUCACACCAAAUAAAUAUCAAAUAAUUAUAGCCACAUAUGCAUACUGAUUAAUUAAUACAUCAUGCAAAUAAUUAGAAUGAGGGAGUGAAAAUGUCACAUACAAGUUGCUAAUUAAUUAAUAGGUCAAAUGAAAAAUGGUUGUUGCCAAAUAUUAAUUAUAUCACGCAUAAUUAUUAACAUGGAUAAUAUAUGGAUAACAGUAAUUAUUAGCAGGGUAUGCCAUAUGGAUACAUGGAUAAAGUAAUUAACAAAAACUGUAAAAUGGAUGCCAAUGAAGAAUGAGUAUUACCAAAUACAAAAGGCUAAUUGAUUAAUUAUGCAUAAUUAUUAAGGAUGCCAUAUGGAUAUAAGUAAUAAGUAAUUAACUGUAAAAUGGGUGUCAAUGAAGAAUGAGUAUCCAAAUACAAAUAUAUGAUGCUAAUUAAUUAAAAAGAAAUUAACACAGAUGCCCAGUAAUAAAAGAAAAUUAACACAUAACAGAAUGCUCAAUAUAUAAAAUUAACACAGAAUGGGUAUACAUAAUAGAUACACAUAAUGGAUACACAUAAUGGAUACCCAACAAUUAAAAAGAAAUUAACACAGAACAGAAUGUUCAAUAUUUAAAAAUUAACACAGAAUGGAUAUACAUAAUGGAUACACAGAAUGGAUACCCAACAAUUGAAAAAGAAAUUAACACAGAACAGAAUGUUCAAUAUUUAAAAAUAAAAAAUAAAAAAUUUAAUAUGGAAGGUAGAAUGCUCAGUAUUAAGAAAGAUACAAAUAAUAAAAUUAACAUGUUAAAUGAUGGUAAAAUGAUGAACACGAUAGUUCAUAAUUAAAAGCAGUAUAUCAAACAAGAAGAAGAAAAAAAAAAAUCAUUAAACAAGAAUAAGAAUAAAAAGAGGAAAAAGAAAAAAAAACUUACCAGAGCAGUCUGCCUUCAAUGCCAAAGGUUAUUCCUUUUUUAUCUUCUUUCACUCUUCCUUCAAUGCCAAAGGUUAUUCCUUUUUGAUCUUCUUUCACUCUUCCCCUCUUUCUAAAUCCUCCAAUAAUCCAAAAAAAAAGAUCCCCCUGCUUUCUUUUUCCUCUUUCCUUUUUAUAGGGCAAGCUCCAUUGCUUUUUUUUAGAUCACGAGAUGGAGUGCAGAUUACAGAGAAAUAGGAAGAAAGUGGGAGAGUGGGAGAAAGUGAUAGAGUGGGAGAAAGUGGAGAGUGAUGACGAAGAAAAAGGAUGGUUGAGAAAAAAAUAGGAAGAAAUCAAACCUUUUAGUUUUAUUUUAUUAUUUAUUUUUAAAUAUAUUUAUUAUUAUUAUUAUUGUUUUUUUAAAUAUAAAUUUAAGAUUCAAAUUCAAAUUCAAAUUCAAAUUCAAAUUCAAAUUUAAUUUCUUUUUCUUUUUCUUUUUUCUUUUAUAAUAAAUAAAUAUAGGACAAAAUACGGUAUCUACAUCUAGAAAAACAAACAAUUAACAAAUAAUCCAAAAAUACAUAGCACAUAGAUAGCCAAAAGGCUGGAGCAAACGAUUUUCCUUAAAAAUAAAAAUGAACAUUCCUUGAUACGAGUCUAUAAAAUAUUUGUUGGAUCAUUUACCCAAUACAAUACAAUCAUUUUGCCUAUCUUUCAUAACAUAUUACUGUCAUUUUUAAAACCAUCUAGAAUGAAUAAAGUUUCUUCCAUCACAAGAUUUUCCUUUUAGUACUGCUGUUAGCAGUAUUUGUAAAAGAAGCUCAGUUGGCAAAUGCAGCGACAUGCGACCCAAAUGAGAUGAGAGUAUGUAUGUGGGCAUACACUACGUCAACAUCGCCAUCAUCAUCUUUUGUGACAUGGUGAGGAAGCAUAGAUCAUGUUAUUGUCAAUACAAAAAAAAUCCAACGUUCCAAUCUUAUUUACAAUCUCCUACCACCAAAAAAAUCAUCUCUCAAUGUGGAACUACCCUCCCCUCUUGCUAGAAUAAUACCGAUACCCAAUUCAUUUGAUUCAAUAUGAAAUGAAGAUGUAAUAAAAGAAAUUAUGAAAGAAUAAAGUUAUACAUUCAUAUUCUUCGAGCUUCAACAUUUUAUUUUUUAUACUAUGUUAAAUAAAUAAAAAAAAAACUAGCUUCUAGCUAAUACAUUUAUUUCGUUAUGAAAGUCUCGAUUAAAAUAUUUUAAUGUAAAUACCAUGAAAAAUAGUUUCCUUAAAAAAAUACGAAGAUUGUCACUAAAUUAUCUUUUAAGGUGAAGGAUUUACAUACGUGCUAAAAUGUUAAAUGAAUAUUUAUAAACUCAGUUACUUGUAUGUUUUGAAUAAACGGAUAGAUUUGGAUAAACUAAUUUGAUAUGUUUGGUUUGAAGAUGGUGAUUAAUAGUGUCGUGGACCUUAAGUUUUCCAGAUUUGAUCAUGAUUUUGCUUUCAAAUUAUUGCAAAUACAAAUGUGAUCAACGUUUGUACCGUAUCAAACCAAUGAUUUGAAAGCAAAAUUUGGUGCGAUGUCGUGCUCAAUCGCAUAUAUCGAUUGAUCCUUAAGGCUAACACAACUUCCCAACUCAUGCGUGCAGUCGCAAGAAUAAUGAAUGGAACUAAAAGAAAAACAUGCUAAAAGAAUAAUGAAUGGAACUAAAGGAAAACAUGCGCAAAGAAGAAAUCAAAGUUUUUGGAAAGAAAGAAGAACCACUCCACCACUUGUAACCUCCUAACUCUAUAUGUAGUGGAGCUAACCAGAAUGUCUCUCUCAUCCUUUAAGAUCGAUUGAGAUUAUAACUUGUUUUUUGCUUUAUGGACACAUAUGAUUUUUAAGAGAUGGAUUAGACAACGAUUGAUGAUGUUUCAGAUCUAUAUUGGUUAAUGAAUUAAAUUUAUCAUUAUAACCAUCAAAAUAAUACCAACUCUAGUAAAUUAUUAAUUAUAAAUCAGCACAGUAUAGUGAAGUAAUUCCCCACAAAAGUUGCAUAUAGACAAAUGAUGAUAGCUCGAUGAAUAAAUUCUUUGAUAGAAAAAGAUCAAUAUAUCUUAAGCUAGACUUUUUUGACAUCAAGCUUCUUUAACUUACACUCUCUUUUAAUUUACUUUGAAAACUAGUUUUUUUGCAAAAUUAGUGUGCCUGCCCUCAGUUCGAUCUAAACUUACCACUAAGUCUAGUGCUAGUGUAUGAUUCGGUAAUUUAUUUAGGAUAAAUUUGGACGACGAAAUUUGUCUGCCAAUAGGUGUUAUGAGAACUCAAGUAUUCUGGAAUUUGAGUAGGCGUUAUAUAGGGAAGAAAAUGGAAACCAAACUUUGUGUAGUAAGUGAUUAAAGAUGUUUAAGUUCUCAGAAAAUAUUUUUUCUAUAAAAUAUGUAUUUCACAUAAGUAUGUUACAAUUCUCUUAAGCUAUGAUGCAUGAGACGUAGACCACGUGGUUGUUAGAUGAUUAUGACUUACAAAAGCAAGAUAUCAUCUUAAUAGAGUACUAAGCAUUAAAGCAAAGUAGUCGAGUGUUACGACUGUUUAUGUUCUAAGUUUUGUUGUCAUGCAAAACAUUGGUGUUGUUCAUUGUACUAAGUUGACUCCAUGUCCACAUUUGAGUGAAGGUCAUACCAGGUGUUGAUGGUAACUGCCUAUGCCUGGUAUCGUAGCUGAAUAUGGGAUGCGAUCUUUUUCAAGUUAAUUCGCUAGAGCAACUGCUGCUGACUAUGGUCCACUUUAAUAGUCUAGGUGUUGAGUAUGUGUUCAACACUCACGUUUCUAGAUUGAUGUGGGUAGAGCAAUUUAACAACCAAAUAAUUAAAAUAAGCAAUUUAACAACUAACAAAUAAUAAUGCUAAUUGUCUAGAAAAACAAACAAUUAACAAAUAAUCCAAAAAUACAUAGCACAUAGAUAGCCAAAAGGCUGGAGCAAACGAUUUUCCUUAAAAAUAAAAAUGAACGUUCCUUGAUACGAGUCUAUAAAAUAUUUGUUGGAUCAUUUACCCAAUACAAUACAAUCAUUUUGCCUAUCUUUCAUAACAUAUUACUGUCAUUUUUAAAACCAUCUAGAAUGAAUAAAGUUUCUUCCAUCACAAGAUUUUUUCUUUUAGUACUGCUGUUAGCAGUAUUUGUAAAAGAAGCUCAGUUGGCAAAUGCAGCGACAUGCGACCCAAAUGAGAUGAGAGUAUGUAUGUGGGCAUACACUACGUCAACAUCGCCAUCAUCAUCUUGUUGUGACAUGGUGAGGAAGCAUAGAUCAUGUUAUUGUCAAUACAAAAAAAAUCCAACGUUCCAAUCUUAUUUACAAUCUCCUACCACCAAAAAAAUCAUCUCUCAAUGUGGAACUACCCUCCCCUCUUGCUAGAAUAAUCACCGAUACCCAAUUCAUUUGAUUCAAUAUGAAAUGAAGAUGUAAUAAAAGAAAUUAUGAAAGAAUAAAGUUAUACAUUCAUAUUCUUCGAGCUUCAACAUUUUUAUUUUUUAUACUAUGUUUAAAUAAAUAAAAAAAAAACUAGCUUCUAGCUAAUACAUUUUAUUUCGUUAUGAAAGUCUCGAUUAAAAUAUUUUAAUGUAAAUACCAUGAAAAUAGUUUCCUUAAAAAAUACGAAGAUUGUCACUAAAUUAUCUUUUACGUGAAGGAUUUACAUACGUGCUAAAAUGUUAAAUGAAUAUUUAUAAACUCAGUUACUUGUAUGUUUUGAAUAAACGGAUAUGAUUUGGAUAAACUAAUUUGAUAUGUUUGGUUUGAAGAUGGUGAUUAAUAGUGUCGUGGACCUUAAGUUUUCCAGAUUUGAUCAUGAUUUUGCUUUCAAAUUAUUGCAAAUACAAAUGUUGAUCAACGUUGUACCGUAUCAAACCAAUGAUUUGAAAGCAAAAUUUGGUGCGAUGUCGGUGCUCAAUCGCAUAUAUCGAUUGAUCCUUAAGGCUAACACAACUUCCCAACUCAUGCGUGCAGUCGCAAGAAUAAUGAAUGGAACUAAAGAAAAACAUGCUAAAGAAUAAUGAAUGGAACUAAAGGAAAACAUGCGCAAAGAAGAAAUCAAAGUUUUUGGAAAGAAAGAAGAACCACUCCACCACUUGUACCUCCUAACUCUAUAUGUAGUGGAGCUAACCAAGAUGUCUCUCUCAUCCUUUAAGAUCGAUUGAGAUUAUAACUUGUUUUUUUGCUUUAUGGACACAUAUGAUUUUUAAGAGAUGGGAUUAGACAACGAUUGAUUGAUGUUUCAGAUCUAUAUUGGUUAAUGAAUUAAAUUUAUCAUUAUAACCAUCAAAAUAAUACCAACUCUAGUAAAUUAUUAAUUAUAAAUCAGCACAGUGAUAGUAAUUCCCCACAAAAGUUGCAUAUAGACAAAUGAUGAUAGCUCGAUGAAUAAAUUCUUUGGAUAGAAAAAGAUCAAUAUAUCUUAAGCUAGACUUUUUUGACAUCAAGCUUCUUUAACUUACACUCUCUUUAUAAUUUACUUUGAAAACUAGUUUUUUUGCAAAAUUAGUGUGCUCCCUCAGUUCGAUCUAAACUUACCACUAAGUCUAGUGCUAGGUGUAUGAUUCGGUAAUUUAUUUAGGAUAAAUUUGGACGACGAAAUUUGUCUGCCAAUAGGUGUUAUGAGAACUCAAGUAUUCUGGAAUUUGGAGUAGGCGUUAUAUAGGGGAAAGAAAAUGGAAACCAAACUUUGUGUAGUAAGUGAUUAAAGAUGUUUAAGUUUUCGGAAAAUAUUUUUUCUAUAAAAUAUGUAUUUCACAUAAGUAUGUUACAAUUUCUUAAGCUAUGAUGCAUGAGACGUAGACCACGUGGUUGUUAGAUGAUUAUGACUUACAAAAGCAAGAUAUCAUCUUAAUAGAGGUACUAAGCAUUAAAAGCAAAGUAUGUCGAGUGUUACGACUGUUUAUUUUCUAAGUUUUGUUGUCAUGCAAAACAUUGGUGUUGUUCAUUGUACUAAGUUGACUCCAUGUCCACAUUUGAGUGAAGGUCAUACCAGGUGUUGAUGGGUCAACUGCCUAUGCCUGGUAUCGUAGCUGAAUAUGGGAUACGAUCUUUUUUCAAGUUAAUUCGCUAGAGCAACUGCUGCUGACUAUGGUCCACUUUAAUAGUCUAGGUGUUGAGUAUGUGUUCAACACUCACGUUUCUAGAUUGAUGUGGGUAGAGCAAUGUUAACAACCAAAUAAUUAAAAUAAGCAAAUUAACAACUAACAAAUAAUAAUACUAAUUGUCUAGAAAAACAAACAAUUAACAAAUAAUCCAAAAAUACAUAGCACAUAGAUAGCCAAAAGGCUGGAGCAAACGAUUUUCCUUAAAAAUAAAAAUGAACGUUCCUUGAUACGAGUCUAUAAAAUAUUUGUUGGAUCAUUUACCCAAUACAAUACAAUCAUUUUGCCUAUCUUUCAUAACAUAUUACUGUCAUUUUUAAAACCAUCUAGAAUGAAUAAAGUUUCUUCCAUCACAAGAUUUUUUCUUUUAGUACUGCUGUUAGCAGUAUUUGUAAAAGAAGCUCAGUUGGCAAAUGCAGCGACAUGCGACCCAAAUGAGAUGAGAGUAUGUAUGUGGGCAUACACUACGUCAACAUCGCCAUCAUCAUCUUGUUGUGACAUGGUGAGGAAGCAUAGAUCAUGUUAUUGUCAAUACAAAAAAAAUCCAACGUUCCAAUCUUAUUUACAAUCUCCUACCACCAAAAAAAUCAUCUCUCAAUGUGGAACUACCCUCCCCUCUUGCUAGAAUAAUCACCGAUACCCAAUUCAUUUGAUUCAAUAUGAAAUGAAGAUGUAAUAAAAGAAAUUAUGAAAGAAUAAAGUUAUACAUUCAUAUUCUUCGAGCUUCAACAUUUUUAUUUUUUAUACUAUGUUAAAUAAAUAAAAAAAAAAACUAGCUUCUAGCUAAUACAUUUUAUUUCGUUAUGAAAGUCUCGAUUAAAAUAUUUUAAUGUAAAUACCAUGAAAAUAGUUUCCUUAAAAAAUACGAAGAUUGUCACUAAAUUAUCUUUUACGUGAAGGAUUUACAUACGUGCUAAAAUGUUAAAUGAAUAUUUAUAAACUCAGUUACUUGUAUGUUUUGAAUAAACGGAUAUGAUUUGGAUAAACUAAUUUGAUAUGUUUGGUUUGAAGAUGGUGAUUAAUAGUGUCGUGGACCUUAAGUUUUCCAGAUUUGAUCAUGAUUUUGCUUUCAAAUUAUUGCAAAUACAAAUGUUGAUCAACGUUGUACCGUAUCAAACCAAUGAUUUGAAAGCAAAAUUUGGUGCGAUGUCGGUGCUCAAUCGCAUAUAUCGAUUGAUCCUUAAGGCUAACACAACUUCCCAACUCAUGCGUGCAGUCGCAAGAAUAAUGAAUGGAACUAAAGAAAAACAUGCUAAAGAAUAAUGAAUGGAACUAAAGGAAAACAUGCGCAAAGAAGAAAUCAAAGUUUUUGGAAAGAAAGAAGAACCACUCCACCACUUGUACCUCCUAACUCUAUAUGUAGUGGAGCUAACCAAGAUGUCUCUCUCAUCCUUUAAGAUCGAUUGAGAUUAUAACUUGUUUUUUUGCUUUAUGGACACAUAUGAUUUUUAAGAGAUGGGAUUAGACAACGAUUGAUUGAUGUUUCAGAUCUAUAUUGGUUAAUGAAUUAAAUUUAUCAUUAUAACCAUCAAAAUAAUACCAACUCUAGUAAAUUAUUAAUUAUAAAUCAGCACAGUGAUAGUAAUUCCCCACAAAAGUUGCAUAUAGACAAAUGAUGAUAGCUCGAUGAAUAAAUUCUUUGGAUAGAAAAAGAUCAAUAUAUCUUAAGCUAGACUUUUUUGACAUCAAGCUUCUUUAACUUACACUCUCUUUAUAAUUUACUUUGAAAACUAGUUUUGCAAAAUUAGUGUGCUCCCUCAGUUCGAUCUAAACUUACCACUAAGUCUAGUGCUAGGUGUAUGAUUCGGUAAUUUAUUUAGGAUAAAUUUCGACGAAAUUUGUCUGCCAAUAGGUGUUAUGAGAACUCAAGUAUUCUGGAAUUUGGAGUAGGCGUUAUAUAGGGGAAAGAAAAUGGAAACCAAACUUUGUGUAGUAAGUGAUUAAAGAUGUUUAAGUUUUCGGAAAAUAUUUUUUCUAUAAAAUAUGUAUUUCACAUAAGUAUGUUACAAUUUCUUAAGCUAUGAUGCAUGAGACGUAGACCACGUGGUUGUUAGAUGAUUAUGACUUACAAAAGCAAGAUAUCAUCUUAAUAGAGGUACUAAGCAUUAAAAGCAAAGUAUGUCGAGUGUUACGACUGUUUAUUUUCUAAGUUUUGUUGUCAUGCAAAACAUUGGUGUUGUUCAUUGUACUAAGUUGACUCCAUGUCCACAUUUGAGUGAAGGUCAUACCAGGUGUUGAUGGGUCAACUGCCUAUGCCUGGUAUCGUAGCUGAAUAUGGGAUACGAUCUUUUUUCAAGUUAAUUCGCUAGAGCAACUGCUGCUGACUAUGGUCCACUUUAAUAGUCUAGGUGUUGAGUAUGUGUUCAACACUCACGUUUCUAGAUUGAUGUGGGUAGAGCAAUGUUAACAACCAAAUAAUUAAAAUAAGCAAAUUAACAACUAAUAAUAAUACUAAUUGUCUAGAAAAACAAACAAUUAACAAAUAAUCCAAAAAUACAUAGCACAUAGAUAGCCAAAAGGCUGGAGCAAACGAUUUUCCUUAAAAAUAAAAAUGAACGUUCCUUGAUACGAGUCUAUAAAAUAUUUGUUGGAUCAUUUACCCAAUACAAUACAAUCAUUUUGCCUAUCUUUCAUAACAUAUUACUGUCAUUUUUAAAACCAUCUAGAAUGAAUAAAGUUUCUUCCAUCACAAGAUUUUUUCUUUUAGUACUGCUGUUAGCAGUAUUUGUAAAAGAAGCUCAGUUGGCAAAUGCAGCGACAUGCGACCCAAAUGAGAUGAGAGUAUGUAUGUGGGCAUACACUACGUCAACAUCGCCAUCAUCAUCUUGUUGUGACAUGGUGAGGAAGCAUAGAUCAUGUUAUUGUCAAUACAAAAAAAAUCCAACGUUCCAAUCUUAUUUACAAUCUCCUACCACCAAAAAAAUCAUCUCUCAAUGUGGAACUACCCUCCCUCUUGCUAGAAUAAUCACCGAUACCCAAUUCAUUUGAUUCAAUAUGAAAUGAAGAUGUAAUAAAAGAAAUUAUGAAAGAAUAAAGUUAUACAUUCAUAUUCUUCGAGCUUCAACAUUUUUAUUUUUUAUACUAUGUUAAAUAAAUAAAUAAAAAAACUAGCUUCUAGCUAAUACAUUUUAUUUCGUUAUGAAAGUCUCGAUUAAAAUAUUUUAAUGUAAAUACCAUGAAAAUAGUUUCCUUAAAAAAUACGAAGAUUGUCACUAAAUUAUCUUUUACGUGAAGGAUUUACAUACGUGCUAAAAUGUUAAAUGAAUAUUUAUAAACUCAGUUACUUGUAUGUUUUGAAUAAACGGAUAUGAUUUGGAUAAACUAAUUUGAUAUGUUUGGUUUGAAGAUGGUGAUUAAUAGUGUCGUGGACCUUAAGUUUUCCAGAUUUGAUCAUGAUUUUGCUUUCAAAUUAUUGCAAAUACAAAUGUUGAUCAACGUUGUACCGUAUCAAACCAAUGAUUUGAAAGCAAAAUUUGGUGCGAUGUCGGUGCUCAAUCGCAUAUAUCGAUUGAUCCUUAAGGCUAACACAACUUCCCAACUCAUGCGUGCAGUCGCAAGAAUAAUGAAUGGAACUAAAGAAAAACAUGCUAAAGAAUAAUGAAUGGAACUAAAGGAAAACAUGCGCAAAGAAGAAAUCAAAGUUUUUGGAAAGAAAGAAGAACCACUCCACCACUUGUACCUCCUAACUCUAUAUGUAGUGGAGCUAACCAAGAUGUCUCUCAUCCUUUAAGAUCGAUUGAGAUUAUAACUUGUUUUUUUGCUUUAUGGACACAUAUGAUUUUUAAGAGAUGGGAUUAGACAACGAUUGAUUGAUGUUUCAGAUCUAUAUUGGUUAAUGAAUUAAAUUUAUCAUUAUAACCAUCAAAAUAAUACCAACUCUAGUAAAUUAUUAAUUAUAAAUCAGCACAGUGAUAGUAAUUCCCACAAAAGUUGCAUAUAGACAAAUGAUGAUAGCUCGAUGAAUAAAUUCUUUGGAUAGAAAAAGAUCAAUAUAUCUUAAGCUAGACUUUUUUGACAUCAAGCUUCUUUAACUUACACUCUCUUUAUAAUUUACUUUGAAAACUAGUUUUUUUGCAAAAUUAGUGUGCUCCCUCAGUUCGAUCUAAACUUACCACUAAGUCUAGUGCUAGGUGUAUGAUUCGGUAAUUUAUUUAGGAUAAAUUUGGACGACGAAAUUUGUCUGCCAAUAGGUGUUAUGAGAACUCAAGUAUUCUGGAAUUUGGAGUAGGCGUUAUAUAGGGGAAAGAAAAUGGAAACCAAACUUUGUGUAGUAAGUGAUUAAAGAUGUUUAAGUUUUCGGAAAAUAUUUUUUCUAUAAAAUAUGUAUUUCACAUAAGUAUGUUACAAUUUCUUAAGCUAUGAUGCAUGAGACGUAGACCACGUGGUUGUUAGAUGAUUAUGACUUACAAAAGCAAGAUAUCAUCUUAAUAGAGGUACUAAGCAUUAAAAGCAAAGUAUGUCGAGUGUUACGACUGUUUAUUUUCUAAGUUUUGUUGUCAUGCAAAACAUUGGUGUUGUUCAUUGUACUAAGUUGACUCCAUGUCCACAUUUGAGUGAAGGUCAUACCAGGUGUUGAUGGGUCAACUGCCUAUGCCUGGUAUCGUAGCUGAAUAUGGGAUACGAUCUUUUUUCAAGUUAAUUCGCUAGAGCAACUGCUGCUGACUAUGGUCCACUUUAAUAGUCUAGGUGUUGAGUAUGUGUUCAACACUCACGUUUCUAGAUUGAUGUGGGUAGAGCAAUGUUAACAACCAAAUAAUUAAAAUAAGCAAAUUAACAACUAACAAAUAAUAAUACUAAUUGUCUAGAAAAACAAACAAUUAACAAAUAAUCCAAAAAUACAUAGCACAUAGAUAGCCAAAAGGCUGGAGCAAACGAUUUUCCUUAAAAAUAAAAAUGAACGUUCCUUGAUACGAGUCUAUAAAAUAUUUGUUGGAUCAUUUACCCAAUACAAUACAAUCAUUUUGCCUAUCUUUCAUAACAUAUUACUGUCAUUUUUAAAACCAUCUAGAAUGAAUAAAGUUUCUUCCAUCACAAGAUUUUUUCUUUUAGUACUGCUGUUAGCAGUAUUUGUAAAAGAAGCUCAGUUGGCAAAUGCAGCGACAUGCGACCCAAAUGAGAUGAGAGUAUGUAUGUGGGCAUACACUACGUCAACAUCGCCAUCAUCAUCUUGUUGUGACAUGGUGAGGAAGCAUAGAUCAUGUUAUUGUCAAUACAAAAAAAAUCCAACGUUCCAAUCUUAUUUACAAUCUCCUACCACCAAAAAAAUCAUCUCUCAAUGUGGAACUACCCUCCCCUCUGCUAGAAUAAUCACCGAUACCCAAUUCAUUUGAUUCAAUAUGAAAUGAAGAUGUAAUAAAAAAAUUAUGAAAGAAUAAAGUUAUACAUUCAUAUUCUUCGAGCUUCAACAUUUUUAUUUUUUAUACUAUGUUAAAUAAAUAAAAAAAAAACUAGCUUCUAGCUAAUACAUUUUAUUUCGUUAUGAAAGUCUCGAUUAAAAUAUUUUAAUGUAAAUACCAUGAAAAUAGUUUCCUUAAAAAAUACGAAGAUUGUCACUAAAUUAUCUUUUACGUGAAGGAUUUACAUACGUGCUAAAAUGUUAAAUGAAUAUUUAUAAACUCAGUUACUUGUAUGUUUUGAAUAAACGGAUAUGAUUUGGAUAAACUAAUUUGAUAUGUUUGGUUUGAAGAUGGUGAUUAAUAGUGUCGUGGACCUUAAGUUUUCCAGAUUUGAUCAUGAUUUUGCUUUCAAAUUAUUGCAAAUACAAAUGUUGAUCAACGUUGUACCGUAUCAAACCAAUGAUUUGAAAGCAAAAUUUGGUGCGAUGUCGGUGCUCAAUCGCAUAUAUCGAUUGAUCCUUAAGGCUAACACAACUUCCCAACUCAUGCGUGCAGUCGCAAGAAUAAUGAAUGGAACUAAAGAAAAACAUGCUAAAGAAUAAUGAAUGGAACUAAAGGAAAACAUGCGCAAAGAAGAAAUCAAAGUUUUUGGAAAGAAAGAAGAACCACUCCACCACUUGUACCUCCUAACUCUAUAUGUAGUGGAGCUAACCAAGAUGUCUCUCUCAUCCUUUAAGAUCGAUUGAGAUUAUAACUUGUUUUUUUGCUUUAUGGACACAUAUGAUUUUUAAGAGAUGGGAUUAGACAACGAUUGAUUGAUGUUUCAGAUCUAUAUUGGUUAAUGAAUUAAAUUUAUCAUUAUAACCAUCAAAAUAAUACCAACUCUAGUAAAUUAUUAAUUAUAAAUCAGCACAGUGAUAGUAAUUCCCCACAAAAGUUGCAUAUAGACAAAUGAUGAUAGCUCGAUGAAUAAAUUCUUUGGAUAGAAAAAGAUCAAUAUAUCUUAAGCUAGACUUUUUUGACAUCAAGCUUCUUUAACUUACACUCUCUUUAUAAUUUACUUUGAAAACUAGUUUUUUUGCAAAAUUAGUGUGCUCCCUCAGUUCGAUCUAAACUUACCACUAAGUCUAGUGCUAGGUGUAUGAUUCGGUAAUUUAUUUAGGAUAAAUUUGGACGACGAAAUUUGUCUGCCAAUAGGUGUUAUGAGAACUCAAGUAUUCUGGAAUUUGGAGUAGGCGUUAUAUAGGGGAAAGAAAAUGGAAACCAAACUUUGUGUAGUAAGUGAUUAAAGAUGUUUAAGUUUUCGGAAAAUAUUUUUUCUAUAAAAUAUGUAUUUCACAUAAGUAUGUUACAAUUUCUUAAGCUAUGAUGCAUGAGACGUAGACCACGUGGUUGUUAGAUGAUUAUGACUUACAAAAGCAAGAUAUCAUCUUAAAGAGGUACUAAGCAUUAAAAGCAAAGUAUGUCGAGUGUUACGACUGUUUAUUUUCUAAGUUUUGUUGUCAUGCAAAACAUUGGUGUUGUUCAUUGUACUAAGUUGACUCCAUGUCCACAUUUGAGUGAAGGUCAUACCAGGUGUUGAUGGGUCAACUGCCUAUGCCUGGUAUCGUAGCUGAAUAUGGGAUACGAUCUUUUUUCAAGUUAAUUCGCUAGAGCAACUGCUGCUGACUAUGGUCCACUUUAAUAGUCUAGGUGUUGAGUAUGUGUUCAACACUCACGUUUCUAGAUUGAUGUGGGUAGAGCAAUGUUAACAACCAAAUAAUUAAAAUAAGCAAAUUAACAACUAACAAAUAAUAAUACUAAUUGUCUAGAAAAACAAACAAUUAACAAAUAAUCCAAAAAUACAUAGCACAUAGAUAGCCAAAAGGCUGGAGCAAACGAUUUUCCUUAAAAAUAAAAAUGAACGUUCCUUGAUACGAGUCUAUAAAAUAUUUGUUGGAUCAUUUACCCAAUACAAUACAAUCAUUUUGCCUAUCUUUCAUAACAUAUUACUGUCAUUUUUAAAACCAUCUAGAAUGAAUAAAGUUUCUUCCAUCACAAGAUUUUUUCUUUUAGUACUGCUGUUAGCAGUAUUUGUAAAAGAAGCUCAGUUGGCAAAUGCAGCGACAUGCGACCCAAAUGAGAUGAGAGUAUGUAUGUGGGCAUACACUACGUCAACAUCGCCAUCAUCAUCUUGUUGUGACAUGGUGAGGAAGCAUAGAUCAUGUUAUUGUCAAUACAAAAAAAAUCCAACGUUCCAAUCUUAUUUACAAUCUCCUACCACCAAAAAAAUCAUCUCUCAAUGUGGAACUACCCUCCCCUCUUGCUAGAAUAAUCACCGAUACCCAAUUCAUUUGAUUCAAUAUGAAAUGAAGAUGUAAUAAAAGAAAUUAUGAAAGAAUAAAGUUAUACAUUCAUAUUCUUCGAGCUUCAACAUUUUUAUUUUUUAUACUAUGUUAAAUAAAUAAAAAAAACUAGCUUCUAGCUAAUACAUUUUAUUUCGUUAUAAAAGUCUCGAUUAAAAUAUUUUAAUGUAAAUACCAUGAAAAUAUUCCUUAAAAAUACGAAGAUUGUCACUAAAUUAUCUUUUACGUGAAGGAUUUACAUACGUGCUAAAAUGUUAAAUGAAUAUUUAUAAAUUCACUUACUUGUACUCUUGAACAAAAUAAAACAAUUUUAAUAUGGUUUUGAUUACCAACCUAUUCCACGACGACGGUAUAGGAAAAAAUUUAUCAAUCAAGUGCUUCGUACAAUUUACAAUUAAUAUUGACUUAUGCAUAUAAAACACCCUUAUUCUUAAUGAUUGAUGGAAAAGAGUUAAUUUGAGUGAUGGUCACUUCAAUUUGAAUGUUAGCAUACUUUUACCAAAACUAGAAAUAAUAAUGAAGAUUUUAUUUUUCAAGGCUAAUUGCCACCCAAUUAAUUCGGAGAAUGUUCAAAUACACCUUGUCUCGCAAAGAGCUUAAAAUAGACCAACCAACCACAAUCGCGGUUUUGGAUGUGUUUUUUCUUGUAUUAUUUUUCUUUUUUCUCUUUUUCCUUUUCCUUCUCCUUUUCAUCUCUUCUAUUUUUUUGUUGUGAAUUUCACUAAUCUUCUGUCGUCAUUCCAAAACCCUUACUAAUCAAAUGUACUUAUGUUCUAAUGAACCAACUACCAUUUAUAUGCAAUGUAGUCAUAAUGAACCAACUACCAUUUAUAUGCAAUGUAGUGUGAGUGUGGCACGAGUCAACCCUACACUUUCUCAAAUUUUAUUUCUAGGUAUGACCCCAUGGAUUUGGUUGAAAAUCAUAAUGAUAUUAAGAAGGUUUUAUGUUUUUCUCUCAUGAAUUGCAUCAAUCGUUUGAUUGAAUGUUACUUCUAUUGUAAAACCCUGAACUCUAAGGUAAUUGAUUUUAACCAGAUUGCUCUAUUUUUUAGAAUUUUAAAUUUUGUUGAGUGUUAUUUUAUUUCUUAAGGCUUGGAACAGAAAUUUAAUUAUUGGGAAAGAAAAGAAGUGAAGGAUGAAAAUGUAAUAAUAAUAAUAAUAAUAAUAUAAUGUUAUUAUUGUUAAUUAAUAAUUUAUAAAAAAAAAAGGAAAUUAAAAAUUCUCUCUCUUCCUCUCUCUCGUGCGUGACCCUUCCCCGUCUUCUUCCUUCUUUUUUUUUCCUCUUCUUCUCCUACUUCAUCCCCAUACCCUAGCCUCCAUAGCCUCCCCCAUCUUUCUUUUUCUUUUUCCUUUUCUUUUCCUUUCAGAUCUGCAGCCGACCGCCGAUCGUCUCGGUCUUCCAUUGAAGCUAAACGUCGUCGUCGUCGUCGGUUGGUGUCGUCGGCAUCGCGUUCCCUCUCACCUUGCCAUUCGUCCGGCUACGUUUGCGCCAGUCUCCAUUCGUGAAGUCCAGCCGCCGCGUGACCCUCUGCCCAGCCCCCGCGUGAUCCCCUGCCUUUCAGCCGCCACGUGACUCCCUGCCUUCCAACAGUGUGUUCCAAGUCGGCUCAUACUCCAAUAUUUCUUGCAAUCUUGUUUCGUUUUGGUUCGUCUAUCGUGGCCUCUGUUUCAUCGUAAACCGACAAAGUGUUGUUGGUAAAAAUAAUAAUAAUAAUAAUAAGUUGUGGGUUCGUAGUUGUUUCAUUAAUUCAAGUAUUAUUGUUGGGUAAUUGUUCAAUUGUUGUUCAAUCAUUUAAGGUAUUGAAGGUAGCGUUUAAAUCCCUUGGACGCACAACACAUUUUAGAUCUUGGUUGAAGUUCGAUUUUGCUAAUACUCAAGUAAGUGUAGGAGUUUCAUUGAGGAAAUUAAAUCAGAGAAAGUUUAUGAAAAUAAUCGAAUUUCUUAUGGUUAUGAUUAGGAUUUUUUUUCUCGUGGACCUUAGUCGAUUAAGGAGCUUCCCUAACUGGAGGUAUUUUUUCUGGUGGGUUGUUGUUUGGUUGAAUAUAUGAUUUAUGGUUAUGGUUGUUUUUCUGUGGAUUGGGGAAAGGACCUGGUUGUGUCCUUGUAGACUGAAGUGGAUGUUAUGAUUAUACUGAUGUACUGAAGUGCUUCAGACUGACUUUGGCUAAUUUUGAAUAAGAUGACUGCUAGGGACCAAGUGAAGAGUUUAUGCAAAUGAGAAUAUUUAACUGAACUAUGAAUGACUGUUAAAAUGUUUAGAAUGGACUGAGGGGAAAGUUGUUAGCUUUUAUUGGGAUGUGUGCCUUGUAGGUGUCCUACGGAAUCACCAAUUUUUAUGCAUCGUUCGGGAGCAUUAGACUGAUAUGUGUUUCUGCAGAACACUAGACUGAAAUGUACGUCCCUCGGGGCGUUAGACUGAAAUGUGUAUCCUACGGGAUCACAAGACUGUGACUGUGCAGGGUAUCCCAAUAGGAUGUUAACAAUUUAUUUUCCCCUGACGGGACCAGUAGUGGGUCUCUUACUAAGUAUUUUUAUACUCACCCCUUUAUGUUUAAUUCUUCAGGCAAAGGUAAUAAAGGUGGCAAACCGGCGAGGGACAUGAAGGAAGCGUGAUCGCCAGAGGGGACAUUUUAAAUUCGCUUCCGCUUAGUGAUUUACCGUAUUGUUUUGUUUUCGUACUUGAGACUGUUUAGAAAAUUUGAGGUUUAAAUGUAUUCAAAGACUAGAAAUUUAUUAGUUUUAUUUUCUUGAAAGUUUUGGUUAUUUUAAACUGGGCCCAAACAAAAAUAAAUUAUGUUUUCUUGAGACUUUAAAUUUAAUUAAAUUUGGUACUUUGUGUAAACUCAAGUCUUUGUGUUAAUUUAACGAUUUUGGCUUAGUUAGAAAUGUCGGGUCUUUACAUCUAUUGAUUUUUUUUUAACAUUAGUAAUUGAAUUUAUAAAAAUUAAUUUAACAUUUUAACGUGCAUUUAAAUUCUCUGAGUAAAAGAUUGUUUAAUGACAACCCUUGUAUGUGCUAACGAAACCAUACUAAUGAUACUGAAGAUUUUUAAGCCAAACGAGACAAAAGGUGCAAUGACCUGUACUUUUAAACUAAACUAAGGUCAUUACUCAAAAGAUAAAUAUCAAAAGACUCUCUCUUGGAAAAGAGAAACAAAAAAAUCCUUAUAAAGUUAGUUAACAAAGAUUUUUCAAAGACAUAAAAUCGACAAACUAAUCAAAAUAAUUUGAAAAUGUGACCCGAGGCACCAACAAUUUUUUAAAAUAAAAUAAACAUAAAUAAAUAGGAUAAAAGUUUCUAAAACCAAGGUAUUGAAAAUUUGAUACAUAGACGCAAAAGCAAAACUAAGUCCCAAUAAGACACCCGUUUUUAAUUCGAGUAUGGGAAGUAGAAUUUUUUCUAAAAGUACUAUAGAAAUGAGCGUUUCAAUAUAUUUGUGGAAAGGAUUAAGCGAUAAAAUCUUUUAUUGUCAGAAUAAAUUUUGCGAUUAACAAUUUAAUUUGCAAGGAAGUUUUGAGAAAAGAAGGAUUUACAGUAGAAUCUAGAAGUCUAAACGCUAUAAGAAGAAAGUCCAGGUAAAUUUGACAAAAACGACUAGACGUUUUAGUAGUCUUUUGCGAUAAGAACCAAGAGUUUCACGAUGAAGAAGUCUGGGAGGAAGUCUUGAAGUUUAAAUAUGUGAUAAGUGUUCUAAGCGAGUAAAAGUUGGUUACUUCGUGAAAAACGUUUAUUGUAAAAAUAUAACAAACGCGAUAAGGUUAUUUGCGAGAAGUGUUGUGGUUAAGGGUAUUUACGGUUUGGGGUGUGAUAAUUUGGUAUUAGAGCGAUACGUUCUUUGGAAAGAAUAAAUUCGGGUAGAGUGAGUUAAAAGCCAACAUAUUCAAAGUAGCACUCGUCAUUUUCAAAUUGCUGAAACAUACAAUUUAUUUAUAUUAGAUAUACAAGCACUUUUCAUUCAGAAAACCAAUCAAUUUAGGAAAAAAUUAAUAUAUCCUAAGUGAUAUCUAUUUUUGCAAUGAUGCUUCAGUGAGGUAGGAUAAAAAACUUCGUAGGUGAUUAAUUGUCCCUUCACUGAAUUGAGACAAUCUCAACUAAAUAUUACACCAGAAUAACUCUUAUUCCUAUAAUAAUUAGUCAUCAUUGUUUAGUCAAGAAAUGAUUAACUUACUUAAAAAUUUCUUGUAAGUGUAACCCUUCAUUUUAGAUUCUAUACUUCUGCCCUAAUAAGUAAUCCGUAGGAAAAAACCAAUUAGAGCAAAAACUAAAGAAAUCCUAUCCAUUUCUAGAGUUGAGUAAAAUCUCAUGUGCCUCAAGGCCGAGCAUGAGAAAUUACUAGAAACUAAUGAAAGAGACUGUGGGAUGUGUUGACACACAUCUCUCUCCCACUUACUAUAAACACUAUCUCCAUUCACCUUGUUAUUGGCUUAAGCAAACACCACCCGCAGGGGACACAAUCAAAAAAAUGCCUCGAGGCCGAGCAUAAGUCUCACGGUGUGAAUAUUUAAGGAGAAAAAUGAAAAGAAAAGUGAAGUAUCAUAUACCUCAUUUUCUCCCACUUAGUGUUUUACUUAAAAUCAAUUAACUUGGAAAAUAAACGACUAACUAUUUAUCUAAGCCAUUGUUAAAUUGGAUAGUUUAACAAUAUAUGAUUAUUGUUCAUCAAACACUUUGAUAAAUAUAAUCACAUAUUGCAAGCUUAUAAAAUAUUUGACUAAUUCACCUUUCAAGUUAGCUCUCAGGUACGGGUGUUCCAUUACAGUCAGCUUAAGUACCCCAGCCUAGACAGAACCUUCCUUAGACAAAGGUCUCUUAUAGACAAAUAUUUUAUAAAUUUAAUCUUUUAUUGAUAUCAUUUUAAUAUUAUUAAACAAUAAAAGAUUAAUCAUAUUUCUAAUUUAAUUAGAAGUAUUAUCCAUUAAAUUCUAGGUGAAUUAAUUUUAAACCAUUUAAAACUAAUUGUGACCUUAUGUUAGCAUGCAACUCUUUAUUAUAGAUUUUAAUUCUAAAUUCAUAAACUUAUAACACUUAUAAGAAAAGGAAACAAUUAAAACCUAUAAAUAUGCAUUUAUAAUGUCAUUUAAUAAAGAAAACAAUUAUAUUCGUUAAGUAAUGAUAGGCUCAAUGCAUUCUGAAUUUCAUCACACAAUAUAAAAAUUAUAUUAAUGCAAUAAAAAUAAAAACAUCCAUCAAUCAAACUAUAUAAUACAACAAUUUAAAAAUAGUAUGAUGCAUGAAAAUAUUAAUGAUACAUGUUAUCAUAUAAUAUAACAAUUAUAUUAAAUAUGAUGCAUGAGCAUGCUUAGAAAAUCAUGCAACUAAAAUAUAACACUUAUAUUUAAGAAUGAUGCAUGGUAGUUAUAAUCUUAAGGUACGGUUUUAAACUAUAUGAUAUACAUUAUGCAUAUAAUUAAUUUAAUUAAAAAAAUAUUCAAUAAUAGACAAAAUAACAAAAUAGUCCGAAUUUGGCACCCAUAAAAAAAUCAAAUUAAUAUAAUCAUAUUAUAUUAGAACAAGAAAAAAUUAAAAAAAAAAAAAGAAAAUUGCAACUUGAACACACAACCUCUUGCAAUAAUGGAGAAUGAAGCAAAUACAGCACCAAAACCAUUGAUGGUGUCUUCAAUACGCUCAAAUAGUAUUUUUUUUUUCUUUUUUUUUCUUUUAACGAAGACUGCUUCAAUUGCAACUCCGUACAGAAUACAAAUCUGAAAAAAAAAACUUUCAAAAAAUGCAUCUUCACAGCAACCAUCGAACGAUACAUAUUUACAAACUCGAUUGCAAAAUUAAAAUGCCUAAAACAUCAGGCCCUUACAUCAAUCAAAUUAAUAAAAAAAAAUUGCAAUCGAAGGUGCCAAAAUCGAAAACAUCUAUUUUGCAAACCCACACUCAUAAUGAAGUGAGAAAAAGAAAUUACCCACAUUUUCUCUUAAUUUUGUUUCAAUGAAAAAACAAUUGCACAAUUUGGCUCUAAUACCAAUUGAAGGAAUGAAAUUCCCAUAGCGGAAGUGUGUGAACGUCAUGCAAAAGAAAUUCAACUCAAAGCACAGAGAAAACACCUAAACAUGCUUUUAUGGAGGAAAUGAAAAAAGAAAACUAACAUUUGUAUAACCUUCCAAGAAUUCUCGAAUCUCCUAAAGAACACCACGAGGAGAACACCACGAAAUUUUCCUUGUUAUCCUCAAGAUAAAAGAAAAAAAACAAGAAAGGGUUUUGUGGGACUUCUAUGUUUUUUUGUUUUGUUAAAGCAAAAAAUAUUUGCAGAGAGAUUUUCUUUUUGUAACCAAUAGAUCGUCAAAAUUCUCCCAUGAAAGGUUGCAUCCUUCCUUUUUAUAUCUUAACCAAAAGAUACGAAGAGAGAUGGAGGGGAAGUUAAAAUAACUUCCUCCCUCUCCAUCACGUAGAAUAACUCCAUUGGGAGUUAUUCUUUUAUUUAAAUUCAUAUUAAAAUAAAUCUAAUAUAAAUUUAAAUUAUAUUAUAUCUUAUAUAAUAUUAUUUUUAUAUUAUAACAUAUAUAAUAUAACCAAUCGUUUAGAUCUUCUCAUAUGAUCUAUAAUUCUAAUAUGAAUCGAAUUCAUAUUAAUUUUUAAUCUAUAGUUUAUUUAUGAAUUUUAUUCAUAUUAUUAUUAUUUGAAUCAUAUUCAAAUAUUAACUUCUCUCACAAAAACUUUAUAUUAUAAUGUAUCAAAUACAUUAUAUUAAUUGUAUCAUAUACAAUUUAUUCCCUUCAAUCAAUUUGAACAUUUCAGAUUAAAUCAAAAUAAAUUUGAUUCUCAUUUAUCUUUGUUGAGCUAACAAGAGGACCUUAUGGAUCUACAUAAAUGAUGUGAGAUUAAUAAUUAAACUCGUUAAUGAAAUUAAUCACUAUUCAUUAACUAUCAGUCAUUCCACUAAAGACCAAUAGUUGCAUUCUUCUUACUAUAGAUAUAUUUUUGUGUCCAUUAAAUAUAACCAAUCAACAUGCAAUGACCCUUCACAAAUUGCUCAUAAGUACAGUUAGGCCAAAAAUUACCGUUUUACCCCUGUAGUUACAUCUAACUCUAUAAGUACCACAAAUCCCUCUAUUGAACAAUAGUUAUAGUCCCAUUAUAACUGAACUCGUCUCGAACUAAGAGUGGGUGUGGCACCACCACAUUGUUCAAGCCUUGGAAUCAGCCCUUAAAAGAGCAAUUUCUCUACUUACUCUAUCUUUAGAGAAUGAGUUAAUUCUUUCUUAUGUAGUUGUGUUCCCAGCUCCCUAAUCAAACGAAUCCCAAAAUGGUAGGCCUAUUGAGUCAGCGAUAUAGGCCACUCUCACCCAUGCAAAUCAAAGUACUGCCUUCAUAGGCAUGAGUUCACAACUCACUCAUGAUUGAGGUCAAGUCACUUAUUGUCAUCUUAGUGAAAUGUAGUCUCGACUAGUAACGGUGUUAAUAAGAGAGACUAUUGAUUUCAUGGUUCAAUCUUAUACAAACUCUUUGUAUAGAAUAACCCUACUCUAAUGUCUCAACAUGAAUGAUUAGGAUCAAAUCAUUUGUAGCACUUUAGAACAAUUGUAACAACUACAAAUCAGGUUGUAUUCAUAGUGUCACCAGGAUAAGGUAUCCAACCUAAUCCAUUUACUACAUAUCAUUUAGGUUAUCAUUUAAACAUCAUCCACUUGUAUGUCUCCACAUAUAUGUUUAGAUUAAAGAAGAUAACCUUGGAUGUUAGUUUAUUGGUUUUGUGGAUUAAUGCAACUAAAUGUCAAAUAAAAUAACACACUUAUUUUAUUAGAUAUAUAAAAUGUUUGUAUAAUAUAUACAAUUACAAACUACAAGACCACAAGAUUUAGGGCAUCAAUCCCAACAUGGACGAGAUGGACUGUCUGCACACACAUGACAAGUUCAUGACAUAACUGAGUGGGAAGGCACACCCUCAUGCUGCGUGCAUGAUCUGCCUUAAGAGGUUAGCGCCACACACGGUGUGCGAGGAGCACCAGCGCAUGACUAUGUUUGGAAGGGACACUAGGUAGGCGACAAGUACGCACGCGAAAACCCCAUUGCGAGGUUAGAACGCGGCGCUCCCGUCCCACCUCAUUGAGGUUUGUAUGUUGGUGGCCCCAGGCCAUGUGCGUGUAGCUAGCCCAUUUCAUCAUGUCAAUGGCACCGUUGGGCUAUUUUUGAGUUGUUUGGGCUGUCUUGAUAUUUUUGGGAAUUUUAAGAGAAAUUUUUUAUAUUUUCAUGUUCAAUGAAUUAAUUAAAGAUAAAAUAUGAAUUUUUCAUGACGGGAAAAUUAGGAGAAAUUCUGAGACCAAGGUUAUAUUCAAGUGACAAUGUAUAACAAAAUGUUUUAAAAAAUUUAUUAAGCAUGUUUUCAAGCUUACAAGCAAUAGCUUGUGAGUAACACAUUGCUUUCUAAAUGUUAUUGUUAAAUAAGUUUUUAAGCUUUCAAGCGCUAGCUUGUAAAAUGAUUUGGUAACCAUGAUCUCGAGUUUUUAUACAAGUCAUGUUAUUGAUAAAUGUUUACUGUAAUGAUAUUUCCACGCUUACGUUAUGAUUUCAUGAUUUCAAGUAAAUGUUUCAAAACUUUCAGGGAAACAUUUCACGUUUUCAAAUGUUUUUAUUCAUGCCUGAAUACUCCAUGGACCUAUUGUAUACAUGUGGUGUUAACUCCAUAUUGAUGGUACGAUUGACAAACCUAUUUUUAACUAUGGACCAUCAUGAAGGGUAUAUUAUUAUGCCUUAAAGGAAGAGGGUUAGCUAUCCAUCGACUGUUUUGUCUUCGUACCAGGGGGUAAAUAUUUCUCGUGGCUAUGGAGGACUGUCUUCGAAAAGCUGUGCAAAUGUUUCAAGUUCUAUGUUACAACUAUUUACUAAUAAGUGUAUUUAAGCGUCAGUUUUAUACUAAAAUGUUUUAUGAAACCUAUUUUAUAAAACUGUUGCUCACCAAGUCUUUUGACGUACUCUUUCAAAAAUGUUUUUUCCCUUUUCAAGUACAGAUUAUGGAUCUCUGCACGUUGAACAUACGACUUUCAGGCCAACUUAAUUUUUCAUCCAAGGAUGUUUUGUUUUAAGUAGUAUUGUGAUUGUUCAAAUAUUUUAUAACUUCAUGAUUUAUUUAAUUUCCAUGAUACAUUUUAUAAAGAUUUCUUAUGGGUUGUACUUCAUAUUUCAAAGUAUAAUUUAAAUGUUCAUGUUAAUAAAAUACUUACGAUGUUUAGAAGUUUUGCAUAUGAUCAUGUCAUGUGUCAGUUGAAGUUAUUUCAGAAGCAAAAAGAUUUGGGUGACAUCAUGUCACAUUUUUUCAGCACCAUUCAUCUCUUUCUUGUCUUUCUUUACUUUAGGAACAUGAAAAUCUUUAGUUUCUCUGUUGGCGAUGCUCAACUUCAUAUGAUGAGCUCGAGUUGCCACUCUUUAAAUGUGCGGGACUUUAUUCCCUACAAAAUAUAUAGGAGUCCCCAGUGCAUGUCUUAGGUGCACAUUUCUACAGUCGACAGUUCGGUGAGCCGAUCUUUACAGUCAAGACUUAGAGCUCUUCAUCGAUUGAUGUAGUCGAUGACUGGUUCUCCCUUUCUUUGUUUCGUUUUUCCUUUCUUUGUUUCGUGUUUGUAAGCUCCAUCAUGCUUACACUGCGCCUGGUACUGUAGAAGCUGUUGAGAAACUCCUUUUCCAAUUGAUCCCAACUGUUAAUGCUUUCUAGUUCUAGAUCAGUAUACCAUUCAAAAGCAUUUUCUUUCAAGCUUCGGACAAACUGUCUGACUAGUUGAUCUUCUCUCUGAUCCUACAUUCUUGGCAUGUUUCGACGAAGUGAGCAACAUGAUGUUUCAUAUUGCCCUUUCCAUCAAACUGGUGGAAUUUUGAAGGCUGGUAUCCAAGCGACAUUCUCAAGUUAUCAAUUCUUUUGGUGUACGGCUUAUAGUACAUGAAAGAAGUCUGAGAUGGGCCUUCAUACUAAGCUAUGAUGGAUUUGUGAUCAUAUCUUGUAAUUGUUGAAUUGAGAGAAAAGCCAGAGAAGUUGAUUAUUGUUGUGGUUGAUUUUCUUGCACCACGUUCUUCCUUUGUCACCAGCUUUAACAACAGAAGUUUGACUCGAUUUAGCAGUUUCGUGAGUCUGCAUCUACUCUUUUAAAGUUGUGAUUUCGUGGUCUCGUUCAUCAACAACCUUCAUCUGGAGAUUAAUUUUUCUCUCCAUCUCCGCCAUAGCAGCCUCGACGGUUACAUCAACCAUCAUGACAGACAUCACAUUAGGGUUUGCUUCUUUCUUUGACUUGCUAGAGGCAGAAUUAGAAUCAUUACAUAAAUAAUUUUCUUUUAUGACAAUCUCAGUUGUAGGAGAUUCCAUCAACUGGCUUAAGGAUGCUCUGCACGAUGGCGGAACCUCGAUCUUGCUCUUGAAUGAUCCUUUUAGAACGGCUACGGGUGACAAGUCCCAUGUAGGUGUCGCUUGCAAUAGAAGAUUUGGAUGCCGCUUUCUUUGAUGUCAUUGGUUUGCUUGUAGAUCUAGAUGACGAGAGAGAUAUGAGAGAUAGAUAUGGCCCCAUUGGGCGUGCCAAUUUGUUCGCACAAGAUUUCUAGAGAAAUUUGAUCCAUGGAGUUGAACUUGAGUUGAUGUUGUAUUUUGUUGAUUAGAUGCGAUGUGGUUCGAUCUCUAAAAUUUGAUCAUCUGAUUCUCUCUCGAUUGGAUGCUUAAGCUUGAUUUGGAGGAAGCGGAGCACGUGGUGUUCUUGAAAUUGGAGUCCUGGAAGAAAGCUUUUAUCUUCAAAGGAACUUCAAUCUUCGAGGAUGGUUAACUUUAGGAGCUAAGGAGUCUUCUAGUUCUUGUGAGAAUUCUCUAUGGACCUUUUGGAGUAAAAAAGUUUCAUCCCCUUACAAAUGAGGAGAACUCCUUUAUUUCUAGAGUUCUCUGGUGGGCUUUAUGACCUUGAGGCUGGUUGGUCCAUGGACCAGACCAUAGGCUCAAUCCCAUGUAUUUGUGUUAUAUUUAUUCUUUAGACUCAAUUAAGCUUAUUUUUUGACUUAAUUCAACUUAUUCAAAGUAAAUAAUAUUUAAUUGAACCAAAAUAAUUAACUUGAUCCAACAAUUAAGACGAAAACAUGUGAUAUUAUUAGAAUUAGCCAAUUUAUGUUUUCAAUUUUUAUUUUGGGGCAUAUGUCAAUUUUAAUUAGUCCUAAAUUCAAUUGUUUGCACUUUUCAUCAUUAAUUUAAUAAUGAUGUGGCAAUUUGUGAUUGCUCUCAAAAUUUCUUAUUCAACAUAACCAUUAAUAAUAAUAUUAUUAUUAUUCUCUCACCAAAAUAUAUAACAAACAUAUAUAUUUAUUUAAAUCAUUAUUCUCUCCCAAAUCAAAUAUAUCAUAUUUUCUCAUCCAAUCAAAUCAACAAUCUCUCUUCACAUUAAUUAUCUUAUUUUUCAACCAUUAUAAUUAUAUUUCAUCGUAUAAUUAACUUUAAUUUUUCAUAUUAAUUAUUUAUACAAAACCAAAUAGUUAAUAUCAUAUUCCACCAAAAUCCAAAUUCUUAAUUUAAAUAUAUAUAUAAUAUAUAUCCAUAUAUAUACUUAAUUAAUUACAAUGCCACCAAAACCAACUUUUCCUUUCAAGAUCCCAAAUUAAUUCAAAUCUUCUUUAAUAAAUCAAUUAUUUUAAAAUAUCAUAAAUUAUCUUAACCCCAUCAAUAUAACACCCAAAUAAUUUAAGAUAAUUAAUAAAAUCUUCUUAAAGAUUUGAGAUAUUACAUUUCUUUUUCCAAUAAUAUUAUUCCAAUAUAUAAUUAAUAAUUUUUCUUUUAAAUAAAUCAUAUUUCUUCACUUUUCCGAUUUACCCAAUCAUAAUAACUUCUCCCACAUUCAAUAUUUAUCUUUUCCCAUAAUAAUUAAUUUUUCACAAAUAAAAUUAUCUUUACUCCUUUUUAUAAUAAUUAUAUAUAUAACACAUAUUAUAUAUAAUUAUCAAAUCUCUAACAAAAUUUUGAUCGUUAACCAAAUUAUUUAAUUAAAUUCAAACUCAUCGACACAAAAAAUCUAAUUCUACUACUUAAUUAAAAAUUUAAUAAAAAAUAUUUAAUUAAUUAUAAUUUCAUAAAACCAUCCCUUCUAAAUUAAUAGUUUCAACCUAAUUAAAUAAAAUUAAAUUAAUAAUUUCAACGUAAAUAAAUAAAAUUAAGAUAAUUAAAUUUAAUAUUAGAUUAAUCAUUGGAUCGUUACAAAUGGAAAGUAUGAAAAAAAAAAUUAAAUUGAGACUUUCAUAACUAAGAAUAAUAAAAUAUAUUCUUUUGUUAUUUUAACUUGGCAUACAAAAUCAAAAUAUUGAAGCACGAAGACUAUGAAUGUAUAACCUUUCUCUUUCAUAACUUUUUUAUUAUUUCAUUGCAUAUUGAAUCAGAAGAAUUAGAUAUUGAUUAUUUUAGCAAGAUGGGAGUGUAACUCCACAUUGAGAGAUGACCCUUUUGGUGGCAGGAGAUUGUAAAUAAUACAAAAAUGUAGGAUUCUUUUUGUAUUCACAGUAACAUGAUUUAUCUUGUCGUAUCAUUUUGCAACAAGAUGAUGAUGGCGCUGUCGACGUAGUGUAUGCCAAUCGACAUACUAACAUGUUAUUUGGGUUACAUGACGAUGCCUUUACCAAUUGAGUUUCUUUUACAAAUGUCACAAAUAGCAACACCAAAAUGAAAAACCUGAUCAAAGAAAAAGCGUUCUUCAUUUUGGAGAACUAUUAAAGGACACUAAUACGUAUGUGAGAAAGCAAUUAGAUCGUACCGACUAAAUGAUUCAACAAUUAUUUUAUAGACUCCUUUCGUGAAAUUGUUUUUCUUUUUAAGGAAAAGUAUUAGUUAAGUUUGUUUUGUUAUUUAUGAGCUAUGAACGUUUUUGGAGUAUUUGUUAAUUUUAAAUUAGCUUAUUAUAGUUUGUUGGUUUUAAAGGUUGUAAAUUUGUUAAAUGGUCUUAGCUAAUAUUUGCUCUACAUUUUAACACUUCUUGAGGAAACCUUUCUUAGUUAAAAACCGUUCUAAAUGUUCUUUCUUUCUUCUAUCGUGACAGCUAGUUAUAACGCAUUUAAUUAGCAACAUUAAGGAUUUUGAUUUUGAAUAAUAUGAGGAAUUAUAAAAAAAAAAAACCAAAGAUAAACCAAUUAAGAAAGAAAGUUUUUCGGAUUGCCUUUUUAAAAAUUGAGUUUUACAACAAAAUGGGGUAUGAAAAUCCAAACUAUUCUUAUGUGAAAAUUUUAUUUUCUUCUUCUUUUUCCCUAAAAAAAGAACAUUAAAAAAAUCCAUUUUUUUUCAAACUUCUCUCUAAUAACUCUCUUGCCCUUUCAUAAAACUUUUAGUCACUCUUCAAGAAGAGUUCUUGCUAUUAUUGGUAAGUGUUUAUGUUAUUUUUUAUUGGUAUUGUUAUAGAUAACCUUCUUACGUUAAACGUUUAAGCCUUGAAUGUAUAACCCAAAAUCAAUUUUUGUAAUUGUUCUAAAAUGAUGGUUGUUUAAUGCAUAUUUAACUAAUUUUUUGUUAUUUUUUUUCAAACAUCUCAUUGAUAUCUCGAUAUUUGGCAAACAUCUUGUGGAUUAAAUAUAUAAAUCCAAAUUUGAAUUUAUAUAUUUAUGUUAUAUUUUUGUUGCUUAAUACAUGUUUAUGUUUUAAUUUUUUUGCUUAAUAUAUGUUUAUGUUUUAAUUUAAUCCAAAUUUGAAUCAUAUCUAUAUAAAAAAAUUUCAUAAUCUACCGUUUUAAUGUGUAUCAUGUAAGCAUUAAAUUUUAAUCUAUAGUUUUAAUAUGAAUCUAAUUCACAUUAAUUUAAAAUAUGAACUAAUUCAAAUAUAUUUUUUUCUCAUUAAUUUGAAUCAUCUUUAUAUCAUCGUAAUACAAUUUCUCCAAGUAAAUUUGAACAUUUCAAAUAACAUCCAUUAUAGUUUAGAUAUUUGUAAAAUUAUCUUUAAGGUUUGUAAUUUUGCAAAUAUAGCAAAAAUAAUCAAAUCCACAAUUUUAUAUUUUGUAAUUUCAAUUUUAACCUUCUUUUUCUUAUGGAACAUCUUAGUUUCCAAUCACACGACUACUCUAAAUUCGAUUGAAAUAGUAAAAAGUGGUAAAAUAGUGAUCCUACCAUUUUCCUUUCUAUUACUUUAUUAUUUUUGUUAUUUAUAUGUUUUUCCAUUUUCUUUCAAAUUAAAAACAAAAGCAGAUUUUUUUUUUUAUUUACCUUUACAAACGUUUUGUUCAAUUUCAAGUAACAUUAGCUUCAAUCUAAUACAUAAUGAUUGUCCAUAUAAGAAAUUUAACUUCAUAUGUUAUUGUUCUCUACUUUAUUUGAUGUGAAUUUUGGAGUUGAGUUAAUUGUAUUAAUCUUGAUUUUAGAAUAUCAAAGUUACAUUAAUUGUAAUAAGAAAUAUAAUGGUUAUUGACCAGACUAAUUUAACUUCGUUUAUGAUUGUUCUCUAUUUUUUCAAUGUGUAUUUUGACAGAGUUGAAUCUAAUUUCAAAUUAUUUUGUUUUAUUUUUAUAUGUUGGUUCUGUUUUGGUUUUAUUUUUGUAUCGGUUUUGUAUAUUAGUGUAGUGAUGUACUUAUAUGUAUUAGUUAGUUGAUAUACUUACUACGUGAUUUUUAUUUUUUUCAAAUUUUAUUCAGUUUAUUGUAGUAUUAUUAACUAUAUGAAUUAUAUAAUCCAAUGUAUCAUUAUCAAGUCUAUUAGUAAAGUAUAUUAGCAUAUUUGUAAAGUGAAUCAUUAUCAAAUAUAUCAAUUAAGUUUACAAGCGUAUAGGAGUAGUGUAUUAAGUGUAUCAGUAGGACUUCAAGCAUAUCAAGUGUAUUUAACCAAUCGAAUGUAUUAGUAAAGAAUAUUAAGUGUAUCUAUAGUACAUUGGAUGUAUCAAAACAUAUCACAUGUUUCAAGCGUAUCAAAUUUGUUGAGUGUAUCAGUGAAGCAUAACAAGUUUAGUAGCAGUGCAUCAAGUGUAUCGAACUUAUCAGUGAUGCAUUUAAGUGUAUCAAACUAAUCAAGUGUGUCAAGGCCUAAGAGAUAUCAAGUGUAUCAAGAAGAAUCAAGUGUAACAAGAAAUAUUAUGUGUAUCAAGAUGUUUUAGAUGUAUAUCAAAAGAUAUCGAGUGUAUCAAAGAGAAUCAUGUGUAUCAAGUGUAUCUAUCAAAUGUAUCAAGUGUAUUAAGAAGUAUCAAGUGUAUUAAGGAUAUUAGGUGUAUCAGAUGUAUAUAAGGUGUAUCAAAUACAUAUUAGUAACGAAGACAUUUGUGACAUUAUACAUCUUAUAUGUGUGGGUUGGGCUUUGUUUUUGCCAUCUCUGCAAACAAUAAAGUAUGUGUGUCAUGAACUUAAUUAUUAUAAUUUGUUUUGCCUUUUUUGUUUUUGCAAGUGUCUAUAUAUUUUAACCCCAUUACUCUUUACGAGCUAGGAAAGAGACCUAAUGAACCUACAAAUCAUAAGUUAAAACAAUAUGUGAUUAAUUGACUAAACUCAUUAACCACAUUAAUUAAUAUUUGUUAGUUGUGUGCAUGCUUGCCAAAAACUUGAUUUUUUUGGUUUGGACUUAGGGAUAAUGUUGUGUGUGUUUGUAUCUAAUUCUACGUGUGAGUCAUUGCAUGUUAGAUGCUCACUAUGUAUCUCUUCAUCAUGUAAUUACUAAGUUCUCGUUGAGUACAAGUUUUUACUAUUGCUUGUUCAAAUAUAAGCGGAACAAUAGGUUUCCUAGUAUCGAACAAAGGGAGUUGAUAUCAAAGCUUAGUUUUAGAGUUUACUCUUCAUUUGGAUGAUAUAAAAGAAUUAUCUAUACAGUGGUAACGUGUAAGUUUAUACUAUAUCUACUUAUCUACACUAAAAAUAUGUAAAGGGAAUUAGGAUGGAAGUGAGAUGGACAUGUGAACUAACUUGUUAAAGAAAGUGUGAAUGAAGGUCUCUAUAUAUUAGGCAAUUAAGCUAUGUGAUAGUCAUGAUGUGAUAGAUCUCAAUUAACUAGCUUAUGAUUAAGGUAAGCAUCUCUGGGUGUCUUAAACGCCACACUUGCUCGCCUCUUGGAAUGCAAAUGACUAAGCUUGGUUAAGCAAGGUAUAUCUAUAAGAUUUUCCUUACAAAAGUUAUAAAGCUUUUCUUAUAAGGGUGAUAACCUCUCCGUGUCAAACACCCAUACUUGUUCUCCUUUCGAGACACAAAUGAUGGAAGUUAUCUCGUAAGGUGGAGUUUGUCUCCAAACUCCUCCUUGUGCUCAUUAGCCAUGUAACGAUCCAACUUUUCUAACUAAGUCGAAGUCAUUAAUUUUGACAAAGAGACCUUGAUUGUCACAAAAUAUAGUAAAAUUCAUUUGAAAUCAUACGAUCAAAGAAAACAACCUUAAGUCGGGCCCUAUGUCAAAUAGCCAAAACUUUAAAAGUAUUGUUUACAAAACAACCAUUCAUAAACUCGGUUCCAUCACAAAAUUUUUAAACAACCUCAUGUACUAAGAAAAACAGGAAAAACAUAAGCAGAAGCAUUUGAAGGACAUUCCCCUAUGACAAUCACGUCUCCUUAUUGUCCCUCGUUGGUCUACCUCCUUUGUUACCUUUGCCUGAAAUAGUUAAACAUCAAAGGGUGAGUAUAAACAUACCCAGUAAGAGACUCAUUACUGGUCUCGUUAGGGGAAAAAUAAACUAUUAACUUCCUGUGGAGUACCCUGCACAGUUUAGGGAUAACAUACAGUCAACAUAUUCUUCUUUAUAGGUGAGUCCAUUUGUAGAAAAUCUCUUUCUAAUACAUAAUCCGAUCUUAGCGUAACGAUUUCUCAAAUAGAUAAACUCAUACAUAAGUGUCACUCAUCUCAGUUCAGUUAAUCCAGUCAAACGUACACCGUCCAUUCUUUAACAUAACAGUCAAUCAUCAUCAGUUCAGUCAACAAACAUUUUUAAUUUAGUCAAUCCAUCAACACACUUAAAACUACUUUAAGCAAUUAAGUUUCUUAAAACAUAUCAACCUACACUUAGCAGUCAUAUCCUUUAAGUCAUUCAAGUCCAUGCAUAACAGCCAAAUCGUUUUAAUCAUUAAAAUCCACAUAUGGGUCCAGUAGAAAGUCCCUUAUCUGUACGUUACCUAAGGUUCUUAAUCGAACCAAAGUCCCACAAAGAAGACCAAGCUAAUGGCGAAUCGAACUCCAACAAAUCUACAAUUUGAUUGUGAAUCCAAAGAACUCAACGUUACUUUCAACACCUUCAAGAACCAAUUAACAAUUUAACCAAUUAAUCCAACCAUAACACUGGAAUUAGUUUUGAAACAACUACAACCCAUAACUUAAAUUUCUUUACCAACAAAACUUCGACGAAUCUUAGUAAAAUAGGUGCAGCGACAAUCGAACCUAAACAAAAAAAAUCAUGUGAACAAAUCAGAGUGUAAGUCGGCUUGCGAUUCGCGUUGGGAGACGAAGAGUCAUGCGACAAACGUUUCGACGGACACGAUGGCUCAGAUCUGGAUGACGUCGAGCUUCGAUUGAUUUGCAGCUUCGACAAAAAUGACAGAAAUGAAGAAGACGGUUUGACCGGCGACGUUCCUCAACACCUGAAGCAGAGACGCGGCGGCGCAAAAUGGUUGGCAGACGACGCGGUGGCGCAGACGGCUGGCAGACAAAGAUGUGGCACGACACCUUGCAGCUGCAGUGGCGAAGCUUCAGUCGUAGAUGAACGCUCCGACUUUAGCUCAACUACGUGAACAGAGAUCGGCGCGGGCGAAAUUAAACGAAGGCGCGAUGGCUGCGGAUGGAGAGGCGGUGUGGCUCGACUGGGUUUCGUCGGACGGGAAAGAGAAGGGGAAGGGACUGCGGGCUAGGGUAAGGAGGAAGAGGAAGAGAAGAAAAGAGGAAGAAGAAGAAAGGAACCUAAUGGACCUACAGAUCAGAAGCUACAACGAUAUGAGAUUAAUUGGCUAAACUCAUUAACCACAUUAAUCAAUAUUCGUUAACUGCAUGUACACUCCACUAAAGACUCACAGCUGAACUCUUCUCACUGUAGAUAUAUUUCUAUGUCCACGGAUAUAGACUAAUAACAGUAAGUUAGUCAUUCACGAGUGUUCGUAACAUCAGCUGGGUCAAUUUAUUGUUUUACCUUGGGUUACCUCUAAUCCUUAAAUAUCAGUGUUCAUCCAAUGAACAACCUAUUUAUGGUCCUACCAAUAAACAGAAACCUCGCUCGUGCCAUAGAAAUGGUAGGGCCAUAGAAAGGGUAGGGCCCUUUGUUCAAGACCUUAAGACACCAUUUACAGGAACACUCAUCUACUUACCCUAAAGUAGGGAAGGAGUGAAUUCUAUCUUGUGUAAUUAUGUUCCCAGCUCUCUACUCGGUUUUGUCCCCAAAAUGAUAAGCUUAUUGAGUCGGCGAUCUGGUCACUUUCACUCGUACAAAUCAAAGGACAAUCUCUCGCGAACAGGAGUUCAUAACACACUUAGGAUUAAGACUAAGUUACCUAGGUCAUCCUAGUUAAAUAUAAAUCUAACUAGUUAACGGAGUUAUAUCUAGUGGUUACUAUUUCGCGGUCCGGUCUUAUGCAAACUCAUUGCAUAGGAUACUCUCACUCGCAUGUCAACUACAUGAAUGCGUUGGAUCAUUGCGUUUGUACCAAAUACAAAGUGAGGCGUAUCAAUAGUGUUACCAGGAUAAGGUACCCAGCCUUAUCCCUAUACUAUAGACCCUUUAAGCUGAUCUUGAACAUUGAUCUCUGUAUGUCUCUAUAUACUGUUCAAGACUCAUUAAACAACUUAUGAUGUUAGUUUAUUGGAUUUGGGUUAUUAAGACAAAACUAAUAAUUUAAUCAAUAACAAUUAUUACAAUAAUAACACUUUAUUAAUAACGGUCAGUGAAUUAUAUUUACAAUCUACAAGUUUUAGGACAUAAAUUCCAACAGAAUGAUCACCUUCUAAGCCUCUAAAAUAGCAAAAUGGAGUGAAGAAGGGAAGAGGAGGCCAAAUCAAAUAGGAAACCUUAAGAAAUAGUCUGACUAAACCCUUGGCAUUCCUUAAACCAUUCAGAUAAGAUGAAGAAUAGAUAAAACCAUCCAAGCCACACCUCAAAGCCACUAAAUUACUGGCAUGCACAUGACUAAAUCUUUUAUAAACCCUAGCAUAAUUAACCAACCAUUAAGAAAACUUCCUUGAAUUGGCUUUUUCAAACCCCAGUUUGGCCAAACCCAUUAAACCCAUCCUGCUAUCAAUUCGUUUAUAACCAAAUCAGCCUAGACUCACUAAAUCAAUCCUAAUCAACCCAUGUCAAACACUCACAAAAGUAGUACCCUCAAGCCUAACCACAAGCUUAGCCUUAGAAGACCUAAACCUAGCCCCUACUAGUCCACAACUUAGCAAUUUGAGCCAAUCGUCAUUGUCCAACCUAACUAGUUGGUCCAACAUAACAGUCAACGUUUUAAAGAACCCCAAUGAGCUUCUUCUUCCUCUCUAGUUGAUCAACUACCUCCCUCAACAGCAAAGCAUUACUAAAACCCACAUCCUCCUUAAUAGCAGCAAGCCCUUCCCUCUAGCUCCCUAAAGACAAAAGGGCCACUAAAGGGGAAAACACGCCCUCUCUUGAUGCAAUUGUUGGAUCUCAAAAUAGAAUGUGUGGAUUUUAAACCAUGAAAUUGAAAUCCUAGAUGUUGGACAUCUUGAAAUGGAAAUUGGACGUCUAAAGUACGCGGCCAAGAACUCUUCUCCUAGGAUUUGGACGUCUAGACCUAGUCCCCUAGAGUACUUCAUCUCGUAGAAUCUAGACGUAUUGAAUUUUGACAUCUAGGAUUUGAACGCCUCAGGUAUGCGUCCAAAGCUGCAAAAUAGAAACUUGUGACAAUGAAUGAGUCAUGGUUGACACUAUCGGUAAGACAUUUAACGACUUUACCUAAAAUGCAAAAUAUUUGUAAUUGCCAAGCCGUUCCUAGGUAAAACAGUCAAUUUGAACGAAACUGCACCAAGAUGAACUGGUGUACCAAGAUCCUUCAAAAUAUCCUCGAGAAACAAAGAAAUAAAAAUAAAAAACAAAGGAAGAGAGAGUUUGUUAUGUGUUUCUUCUGAUGUGUUGGCUGAAAUGAAACCAAAUGAAGACGUACAUAGUGUGAACGACUAACAAAAUGUAAAAGAAAUUGUUCAACGGCUGUAGAUUAAUAGAAAGAGUUUGGGGGCAAGUGAAGUGGCUAUUAAUGAGAAAAAAAUGUAUGAAACGGCCGACUAGACAAUGAUAAAAAAAUCAUUGUGCGGCUAAAUAAUUUUGCACCUAAUUCAGUGGAUAACAUUAGUAGAUAAAUACUUCAAUAGUUUGUGUUAGAUUAUUUAAUUAAAUUAAUUUUCUAAAUGCAAUAUUUCAGGUGAGUGGUUAAAAACAUAUAUUUUAUACGAUAUUUACGUAGAUGUCAAAUAUUUGAACCUUUCAACUCUCACUCUAUAUUCCUAGUCUAGAGUCAUUGCAAUAUUUGUCUUAACAUAAACAUAACAGAAAUUCUUAUGAUUAAAAAAAAAGUUAAGAAAAAUUUGACAAAUUUUGGUAUGUUUUUAAAUAGUUUUAAUUUUAUUUUUUUUGUUAUAUUUAAAAAUAUUUCUAAACAUAAUUCAUUUAAUUUAUGUCUCAUCAACGUUCCUCCUUCACUUCUCUAUGUUGUUGAGCUCUAAGAUAUUUUCUCACCAAUAUGUAUCAUACCUCAAUUUAUCACAUCAUCUAACUUCACCAAAAGCUCAUUGUUGGUACUGAAAUAUUGUUGAAGUGUUGAAAAAGAACUAAAUAAAAGAAAGAAAAGAAGAUAACAAGAAUCAAAAGUGUAGAGUUUAUUCAUGACGAGAAAAAGAAAAGGAGAAACCCCAAAAAGAAAAAUCAAUUAGUUUUCUUAUCCAUGUUCCCUAUGAGUUGCUUCAUUUGAAAUCUCCAAAACAAGAAAUAAGCCAAUCCAAACCCAACCAAUACAUAUAUCCAAACCCUUUCGUCUUCACUCUCUUUGGGAGACCUCAUUUCCUCAAUACCAAACAUCUCCCUUCCCAAAUUACCAUUUAACCCCUCAUUCACAUACCCAUUCAAUACAUACACUCUCCCCUCAUUCCCUACAGCUACAGCAGUAGCAAACUUCUCUUCAUCAAGGUCAAUUUCGUCAUAAACCACUCCCUCCCCCCAACUAUCCUCACUCUUCAAGAACCACAGCUUCCUAUACGACACCACCAAAACGACGCCGUCUUUCCUCGCCGCUAUCCCGUCCGCCCCUUUCAAUUCUUUGUUUAGCAAAACCAACCUCGCCGUUCCGUCAUCGGCGUCCACUUUGAACAUCUUUCCGGUGUUCGAUUGCACCACCAGAAGGUACCCUUUGCUUACGUAAACGGCGCCGUUUAGCCCUGAGGACGAGUACACUUCGUUCGGAGUUGCGGGAUAGGAACUGUAACUCGCGGAUUUCGAGAAGAUCGAGGCGGAUCCGUCUUUGUCUACCUUCCAGAUGAAGUUUCCGCCGGAGUUCGUGAUGAAAGCGUUACCCUUGAAAUCAACCGCGACGGCGUUCGCGACGGGGCGAUGACCGGAGGUUCCAUCGGAAGGGAGAGGUGUUAAGGAGAUGCGAUGGCGAGAUCGGAGGUCGUAGGAGGCGAGGGCAUUGAAUUCUGGGAGAGGUGGGGCGUGGACGGCGGCGAGGAGGCGGCUGUUGACGGAAUCGAUGGCAAGGCCUAAGAUCGAGGCGUUUUCGGGGAGGCUGGGAUCGCGGAUAAGAGUUUCGGCGACGCCGGCGUCGGAGACGGAGACGAGAGUGCGUUGGUGGAGUGAGCCGACGACGAAAUGCUGGGCUGAUGUGUCCCAAACGAGGCCCUCCGGGUAGAGAUUUGGGGAUCGGAAAUCGAUAAGGUGGGGCUUUCGAGCUAGGGUUUGGGAGAGGAACAAUUGGAGGAAGACGAAUAGGAGAAUUGGAGAGCGAUUAACGGGCGCCAUGGGAUUGAUUUGAGAUUAGUUUUGAUGGACUAGUGAAAUGAGAAAGGAAUGUAUAUUAUAAGAACGAAGCUGGAGAACCGAUUCAUUGAAGAAUAAGAACAACAAAGCGAAGAGGAAAUGGAUUUCUUGUCAAAGGGGCUGGGUUCUACUUUCUUAAUUUUAUUUAUAAAGUUAAGCUUUAAUUAAUACAUCAAGUCAAACCUUUGAGAUACAUAAAUGAAAAUUGACCAAAAGAGACCUUCUUAUCCAAGCAAAUUUACUAUUAUGUACGCUCUCCUACCGACCUAUACAUUGAUUGUCACACCCCUAAUUAGGGGUACACUCCUAACUAGGGUUGAUAUUGGGUUGGGUUGAAUUGAGAGACAUUCUCAAUCCAACUCAUAUUUUCUAUUUAUUUGGAUUGACAACUUGAAUAAUCCGAAUUUAGUUUCCAACCCGUAGAAUAUGGAUUGGAUUGGGUUGUGGGGUUAGAUAUAAGAUUCAUCUUCGGUCUUGUUGUAUGGGGUUUGGAUGGAAAAGAUGCAUCUCGAAUCUGAGACGGAGGAAGAGACGUCAGAUCGAAUCUAAGACGGAGGAAGAGACGUCAGAUCGAAUCUAAGACGGAGGAGAUGCGAAGAUUGAAAUCGAAGAUGGAUAAGUUUUGUCAUCUUGGGUUCGAAUGAAAUAGAUGUGUCUCGAAUUUGACACAGAGACGUCAAGACGGAUGGAUUUUGUCUAAUAGGGUUGGGACGAAAUGGAUGCGUCUUGAAUCUGAGAUGGAGGAGGAACAUUGGAAUAGAGGAGGAGACGCCAGAGGUUGCACGAGGGAGAGGCGGAGGGAUGCAAAAUGAAAUUGCACCCUAAAAGAAACCUAAUUAUUUUUUAUUAAAUAAUAUAUAUAUAAUAAUUAUUGUUAUUAUUUAAUUCGGGUUGGAUUGGGUUGAACCGAAUUGUUCAACCCUCCAACCCAAGACCCAACCCAACCCGAAAAAAUCAAAUUUCUUUAACCCAACCCAACUCAUAUUUUAAAUCAACUCAACUCAACCCUUAUAAUAUGGGUUGGGUAGUUCGAGUUAUUUGGGUUCAACCCAUCUUCUUACACCUCUACUACUAACAUUUAAAAAUUCUUCGAGUUUAUAAAAUAAAUAAAUAAUUAAGGAGUUUUUUAAAAAAUAUAACAAAGUGACAAAAUAUUUACACUAUAUAAAACAAUUUCGAAAACGAAAAAAGCCCAUAGGCCCCGAUGCGAAAUUCCAAAAAUUCUCCCGUCAACACGUGAUUAAUUGGCAACACUCGCACGUAUUCUUUUUCUAAACGAUCAUGAUACACGAUCGUGUAGAUAAUGAUACACAUCGUGUAAACAAUGGUGCACGAUCGUGCAGGUAGUAUCAACACUAGUCACACGAACGCUUGUCAUUCUUCUUCUAAAUAAUCGUGAACUAAGAUCGUUUAGAUAUGGUUACAUGAUCACGUACUAAAAGCUAAACGGUCAUGUAUACAAUCUGAACGAACGAUCUUGGUUCAUGAUCGUGUACCAAGAUCUUUUAUAUUUGGUACAAGAUCUUGAACCAAGAUCGUUUAGAUAUUGGUACACGAUUGUGAAUUAAAAGUAACAUUCGUAUAUAAAAUCUAAACAAUCUUGGUUACGAUCGUCUAUCAAGAGCUCAAUAAUUGUGUACCAAAAGAUCUUGAACCAAGAUCGUUUAGAUAUUGGUACACGAUUGUGAAUUAAAAGUAACAUUCGUAUAUAAAAUCUAAACAAUCUUGGUUACGAUCGUCUAUCAAGAGCUCAACGAUUGUGUACCAAAAGCUAAACGAUCGUAUAUUUAUCACAUGUGCCUUAUCUAGAUGAUACAAAAUUUCACACUCAUAGUCUUUCACUGGCUCUAGUAAUCUAUGUUGUCUCAUAUUUAACUCCUUCUAGAUGAAGAAGCACGUCAAGCUCUUGAGGCAUAUGAAAAUUUGUACCUUCUCUCCGUGUAAGUGGUGCUUCAAGUCUUUAGAGCAAAUGCUAAUGCUGUCUACAAAGUCUUAUUAUUUAAUUAACAAAUUAAAGGAUAAUUAAUUUAAUUAAAUAUCUCAUAUUUCGUCAAUAAAAAAUUGAAUCAUAUUCAAAUGCAUAUUUCUCUUUUACCCUACGAUUUUAAUAUAAAUAUCGUUCAUAUUAAUAUAUAACAUAUAGUCUAGUAUACAUCUCAUUCAUAUUAACUUAAUACAGAUUAAUUCUUCCAUGUUAUAUAAUUUAAAUUUGAAUCAUUUUCAUAAUUUACCAUAUAAGUUACCAUUGUCAUGUUUCAUUUGGAACCUCUUGAUUGCAAGGAUGGAUACACAAAUGAGGUUCAAAUUAAACGCUUCGCUGAUGCUAUUAUAUUAGGAAAACCCAUAUGACCAAUUCUAUUUUUGGAUUUUUGUUACUCAUGAAUUAGCUUCCCAUGCUCAUAUUGGUUAGAAUUAUGGUGUGUGACUUGAAAACCACAUUAGAUGAGGAUUAUGCUUUCCACUUCACAAGUUCUUUUGUUUGUGCUAAAAAAACUCCCUAAAUUUAUUUAUAAUAUUUUUAUGGAACAAAUAUCAAUUUAAACCCUAAAAUUCAUGGGUCAUGUUAAUUUAAAUUGGAUGAUAUUAUCAACCCAAUCCAACCCAUAUUUUUAGAUUGUCGAACACAAUAACUCGAAUUAAGUUUACAACUAAAUCACUAAAAUAUGGAUUGAGGUGGGUUGUGGAGUUUGUAUUGUUUUUUUAUUAUUAUUUUUAAAUUCUAGUGUAUGUAAAAUUUAAAAUUGUUCCUUUUGAAAACAAAAAGUAUCAAAUUGUUGUACUCUGAAAGUUUCAAACCUCCCUUAAAAUAUAAUUGCAGAUUUCAAGAUCUGGUAUACUAUAAUCUCCAAUUCUCCGUAUAUAGCCCAUCAAAAUAUUGGCCUGCCUCCAGAUUAUUAAGCUUUAGCCAUACCUCUAACAUUAAAGUUUAACUUUUGCAUAGUAAACAAUUUUAGUAUACCAAUCAGUUAGCCGUUGGAAGGAGAAUCAGAGGGAGAGAGCCAAAAGCUAGGGAGACGACGCGAUGUGAGAUGAAGAGGGAGACGACAUGAUGAAGAAGGAGAUUGCACGAUGAAGAGAAGAGGGAGACGAAUGAGAACGACGAUAAUGAGAAGAGGGAGACGACUGAGAACGACGAUAAAGAGAAGAGGGAGAUGAGUCAAACAACUGAGAAGUGUGAAGAAGAAGAAAUUAAGAAGAGGAGAUGUAGGACUGAAAAGUGAGAAACUAAGAAGAGGAGACAAAUGGCACAAGAGGAAGAGAUUGAGAAGAGGAGGAGACGCACAACUUGAACCUAAUGUUUUAACUUUUAUUAAAUAAAUAAUAUAAACAUUACAUUAAUUUGGGUUGGGCUGGUUUGACUCAAAAUUUUCAACACUCCAACCCGAGAUCCCACCCAACCCUUAGUACAUUUUAAACUAACCCAACUCAACCCAUAUAAUAUGGGUUGUGUAGUGUGGGUUAUUCAUUGUAUUUUCACACCCCUAAUUGGCAUGUAUCAUUGAGUCGAGACAAAAUUACCUGUGUAAAUGUGGUCCUUUAUUCUCCAUAAACAUGUCUCUAAACUAACUUUACCUUUUGACACUUAGGAGGCAUUUGGAGGAAGGAUUGAUUUUUGGUAAGGUUAGCAUUAUGAUAAUCUCACUAUUAUAAUAGUCCUUAUGUUAUGAUAAUAUGCGAUUUUGGGAAAAGAGUAUGAUAGAUAGUGUUAUGAUAUUUUUUUCUCAAAUAUAUAAUAUAGAUCCAAUACACAAAUUUCAUAAAUUUAUUUUAUCAAAUAAUCUUACUUUUCUUAAAAUCAUUUGCCUUAAUUUUCUUACUUACAAUGUUCAUUUCAUAAAUUUUGUUAUUAAAACAUUAUGUUUCACCCUUAUUUUUUAGCAUACACAUGUAACUCAUAAACAUGUAAACAAAACCACUGUUAUUAAAAUUGCUUACAUACGAUUCUUAUGUCAUACCCCAAACCAUACUACGAUGAUAACGUAGUAGAAAUAAGGUGCAGUUUGUUACGAUCUUGAAAUUUCUUAUUGCAAAAUCAUAUUCUCAACUCCUUUUAAACUAUCAACAAAACUCAAAACGCAAACGGUGGUCAACCUAAAUGCCAAGUAUAAUAAAUACAUACCAAAACGUAUACUUUAUUAAUAACAUACGUUUGAUACAUAAUUACAACACUUUGACCAAAUAACUAAUGUUUAACUAUUUCCAAAACAUCUGGAGUCAUCUCGCUGCAAAUCAUUCAACCUUCUUUUCUACUUGGCCUAAACGCCUGAUCUUGGAAGAUGAGAUUCUUAAAACGUAAGUCUAAAUGACUUAGUGAGAUUUUAUGAAAUCAUUUUCACAAUGCCCUUUGAUAAAUCAUUUUCAUCAAAUCAUAAAUAAUAAUACAAAUCAGUUUAUCAAUUAAACACUUUAUUUUGCAAAACAUGUCAAAACGCAUGUAAUCAUUUUCAUAAUAGAAUUAAAUCAUCUCGCAAACCAUAUCAAUAUACAUUUGCAUAAACACCAAUUCGCAUAACACAUCUUUCUCACAUAAUAUAAAUCAUUUCAAACAAACACACAUUAGUUAAUUAUUUUUUUCACAAGUCCCAAAUCGUUUUCUACGCCUUGGUCUCAUUAUCUAACAUUUAGACUACUGUAUCAACAACAUCCAAGAACAUACAAAUUCGCCAUUGUUGCUCAAGCCACUAAGCUUUAUACGCUUCUUUCAAUGCAUAAGCCAACUACUUAUCACCAUGUAGCCCGUACAUCCCAUGGUGGUCUUGGCUCUUUAUGUGAACAUAAAAGUUAGCAUCAUCUCAAGAAAUCAACUAAUGUUUUGAAAACCAUUUUAUAGUAUGAAAAUCAUAAUCAUCAAAUCAAGCUUUAACAUUACAAAUCAUGUUUGAAAACAUAUAAAUUUUUCAUAGAAUUCUCUUUUGAAACACUUUUCAUUUGAAUUCUUCUUUCAAAUCAGUAAAGAGAUAUCAUGAUAAAGUUUUUAACAUAAAUUUAUUUGAGAGAAAAUAGUCACGAAGCUUUGAAAGAAAGCACUCACUACCAAAAAUCCUCAUCUUCCUUCUCUUUUCGUGGAGCCUUCUCGUAAAACAAUCAUCAUACUUAGCACUUUAUUUUUCUUCUUUCCGCCAAAGCCAAACGACAACAUUUUAGCUCUCUUUUUUUAAAAUAAAAUCUUUUUGUGUUUACUUAAUGACCAAGUCUUCCAUUUAUAUAGCUCUUAAACUAUCUUAAUCAUGCUUAAACUUUUCUUAGUUUGCCAGCUCUUGCUUAAAACUUUACACGUGUAAAUUUAAUACUUAGCUCAAUCAUGCUUAACUCCUUAAUAUUACACGUUAAUCCUUGUCAAAUAAAUUGACAUUUUUUCGUCAAACCUUAGUUCUUGUCUAACUUCAUACCGCAAAUAACUUUAACCACUUAACACUUCUCACGAAUAACCUUAUUGUAUUGUUAUAUUUUUACUACAAGAAACAUUCCUCGCAAACUAACCAACUUUUACUGGCUUAGAACACUUAUCGCGAACUUAAACUUCAAGGCUUUCUCGCAAACUUCUUCAUCACGAAACCCUUGGUUUUUAUCGCGAAGACUACCCAAAUGCCUAGUCGUUUUAGUCAAAACUUCACUUCUUAACUUACGUGAAAACUUUAUGUAGAACAAGAAAUUUCAGUCAAUUAAAUUUCGCCAUGCCAGCACAACAAAAUUGUGAUGAUUAUAAUUUGAUUGGAUCUGGUUAGUCAAGUUUUUCCAUAUUCAACCCAAUUCAAGCCCUGAUGAAAAAUUGGACCAAACAAGAGGGCCCGAGCCCGCCAAGAAAGUGGGCCCAAGUCCAAGUUCAAGCCCAAGCCCAAUAAGACAAAUGAGUCCAAGCCUAAGCCCAUCAAGCAAAUGGGUCCAAGCCCACUUAAAACCCAUGAAAUUUCUCUAUAAAUAGAGACUUUUGCCACUCAUUUGAGGAGGUCUUUGGUUGAAAGAAGAAUUGAAGCUCUAAAGUAAUGAACCUAUGAAGAAUUGAAGAUUCAAACUCCUACAAACUCUUUAGACGUUCAAGUUCGUAUCAACAUCUUCUAAAUGAUUGAAGACUUGGAAGAUUGGAAGAUUAAACUUUCAUUUGAUUCCAGAAGAUCGAAGUUCAAAUCGAUAUGUAACUACAACAUCCUGAUGACCAAAGAUCGAAGACCAAGAAGUUCUAAAUUUUUUAUAUUGUAUUCAAGAGAAAGCAUCAAAGGAGUAAAUACUAGAGAUUGUAUUCACAAUAUUCAUCAAUAUAUUAAAGUUUAAUUCCACGAAAUACAUUUCUUCGAAAUCUCAUGUGAACAUUUUCUUUUGAGAGUGUUUAGACUUAUACAUUCUAUACAAACCCUUCUUUUCUCAAAACUUCCUCACGAAUUAACUUCUUAAUCACAAAACUUAUACUUAACCAUAAAAGAUUUUAUCGCUUAAUCUUUUUUGUGGAUUUAUUCAAACGCCAACUUCUUUAAUAUUUAAUCGAAUUUUACUUCCUAUACUCAAAUUAAAAACGGGUUUUACAUCUUACUCGAUUAAAUUUUGACCUAACUCGACACAUUGCAUACAACAACAACUUAGGUUAUUUUGCGACAUCUUAAUUGAAGCAUAUAUCGAUAGUAUUCGUAACUUUGGUAGUAAGACAAUGCAAAUAACAUUCUAAAUACAAAUUUCCUGAAACAUAACUUCAUUAAUACAAUAAUAACUAAAAAGUGUCUAGGUCUAAUUGCUUUUGUUCUAAAGCAUCAUUGUUUUUACUUUUGUCAAAAUGUUAGCACAAAAAAUGAGUAUAAAAAUCUACAUUACAUCUAAACAUUUUUUCCUUUCAACCACGUACUAAUGAUAAAUAUUUUUAACAUUUAAAAAAGUUUCAUGGAUAUUAAUAUAACUUAAAUAUUUUUAAAAACAAAAUAGAGUAAGUACUAAUUUUUGUAAAAAAAAAAAAACAAUAAAAUUCAGGACAAUUUUCUAUAAUGAGUUAGAAAACAGUAUGUAAAAGAACUCUCUUAUCAUAGAUUAAUUUAAUUGAGAAAGAAAAAAAGAGAAAGGAAAAAGAGUGAAGAGUUUGGGAGAUAAGGAAAGAAGUUUGGGGGACUAAAUAACAAACAGCCACUAAAUACAAAGUAGAAAAAGAGUUCUUCAAACCAAACUUUUUGUUUAACACUUCUUUUUCAUUCUUUUUUCUAACAGUCGAACCUCUCGCAAGUUCUUCCUCUCUUCUCUUUUUUCAGUUCCCCUUCGUCCUCAAUUUCUCUUUAUCUUCCAAUAUAAUCGUCAUUUUUUUUUUAAAUUUCCACUGUGAACCACACAUUCACUGCCGGCAAUGUUUUCUCUUCACUUUCUAGCUUCUAGAUGUUCAAAUAGGUCUAAUUUUGGAUUUAUGAUGCUUCACAAGGUCUUGUUUUCAUUUUUAUUCAUACACGCCAUGACGGACGCCUAUUUUUCUUAUUUGCAGACUCAUACAAUCGCAAUUCUGCUUUAUCUGCACACUCAAUUAAGUCAUUUGGGUAGAUGUAUAUGCUGAAUUUGUAUAGACCCUCUUUCGGGCAUCUCUGGAAAUGCUGUGAACAUAAGGAUUUGUGCGGCUAUUCUAGAGGGUUAACACGCAUUCCAAUCUCUACUGCUCGCUGCUUAGGUUCCAGGUAUUUGCAUGGUUUCCUAGAAUCAUCGUGUAUGUUUAAAAGAAGUUCUUGGUUUAUGCAAUAUGGAAUAAGAAAAUAGAGAAUUUGAGAUCAUGCGCCCUAGUGGCAAAAGAGGGUCACGUGCUUAAUAAAAGAACUUGGAGGCAAUGAGUUCAAUCCAUCGUGACCACUCAUCUAGGAUUUAAUAUCCUAGAGUUUCUUUGGCACCAAAACGAUGUAAGGUGAGGUAGGUAGUGUCGCGAGAUUUUUGUAUGUGACCUAAGCUGACUUGGACACUUUUGAAUAAGAAUAAAAAUAAAAAUGAAAGGAAAUUCAAUAGAUACUGACUGCGUUUAUGUGACGAGUAUGGUUGUAAACUAGAGACAAGAUGGUAAGAAGGGAGGACAACUUUGGGAACAAAGUAAGUGUUGCAAAGUGAAGGAAAAGUUUGCCACUUUUUGAGUUGAUUGUUAUUUAGUUUGGAUUAUAUUAACAUGUGCAUUAUUGCGGUUUUUGGAUGAUUACUAGUUAAUAAGUACACUAAAUCAUGUAUCUUAGGAUGUGAAAUCGUUGACAUGUGUUAGACCUAGAUUUCAAUUAUAGUUGAUGGUGUAUCAGAUGUUAGACGUUUGCCAAACUUAUGAUCCACUUCUUAAUAUUUUCUUGUUCAUAUUGAUAUAAUAGCAUGUUAAAAUAGUAAGAUCUUUUAAUUUGGUCCAACUUCUAAUUGCUUUUAUAUCUUUAGGCCAACUUCCAUGUCACAGGCAUUAACAGAGUUUGCCAAACUUUUGAUCCACUUUUAGUACUAUCUUGUUCGUAAUGAUAUAGUAAAACAUUUGAUGUCAAGAAAAUUAGACAUCCUGUAAAAUUUUCAUGUAAAAGUUUCUUUUUUUUAGUGUAGAGCUCAUCGGUUUGUGCUCUAAAGCUUUGUAGUGACUUGUUAGUUUUUCUCUUUGUUGAUGACUCAACUUCAGGAAAAUUAUUGCCAUGUCUGCAUCUGUGUCAAAAGAUUCUGGGAUAUCAGUUGCAUCAGCAGCAAUCCAGCCUCCAUCUCACCCUACCUAUGAUCUGCGUGGCAUCAUCAAAUUAGCCCUUGCAGAAGAUUCUGCUGACUUUGGUAUGAAAUUAUUAUUUUAUUAUUUAAUUUUUUGAAGAUUUUAUGGUGAUGUUUGGGAUUAUCUCCCAUUCAAGAAAAAAGAAAAAUGAAAAAAAAAAGAAAAAGAAAAGAACUAGUUGCUGAAAUUUUCAUUUGCCCAGUAAUCCUUAGCAUAGUUUUUGCUUCUGGUAUGGGUUUGAUCUUGAGUCUUAUUUUUGUUGGAUAAGAAGUUUACAGAAGCAUUCACAUCAUCAAUGGUCAAUUUCUAAUUCCCAACAACUGUUCUCAUGGGUCAACUUCCAACGAAAGACCUAGCAGCCUGCAUCAGAUUGAUUAUAUCUGCAUGUCAUGUCGUGCCUGGGAUGCUUUUUCAAGAUUGAAUUCCUGAUGCAUAAUGUACCAGUUUUACUUUUUUUAGAUGAAGAUGUGUGUAUGAGUGUUACAGGAACCAUAUAAUUGAAAUAGAGAACAAAAAGUUGAAACAUAAAUUAUAUUGAUAAUUUGCAGGAUAUGGAAAUACAGAAAAUACAACUCCCCAAGUUUGAGGAACUUUGAUGCCUCCUUGAGCAAACUCAAUUUCAAACAUCUAAUUAAUCGCUUACUUUCAGCCCAUGCGCACAGACUUUUUGUAAUCAUUUUCUACUAAAAGAUGCUUUGACCAGUGACUAACAUAUCAAUCCAUAGAAUCCUUUUAAUCUUUUAACAUUUAUUCUCAAUUCCUAAUAGUAUUCUUAACACAAUUGUAGGUGAUGUAACAUCUUUGGCAACUAUCCCUUCUGACAUGCUAGUGGAUGCUUUCUUUUUGGCCAAAGAGGAUGGCAUUGUUGCUGGUAUUGCUCUUGCAGACAUGGUUUUCCAGGAGGUUGAUCCUUCAAUUAGGGUAAUGUUAAUGCUCUCUCUCAUCACUCCCUCCCCUCUUGUUUUUGGUACUUAUUGAGUUAUUUAUGAGCUGGGUGUUCCCAUUCAUCCUAAUUCACGUUUUGUCUUCAGGUGGAAUGGUCAAAAAAAAUGGAGAUUAUAUUCAUAAAGGAUUGCAAUUUGGAAAAGUUUCUGGUAAGAAUAGAAAAUCUGUAGGAAUCCUAACAAAACUCCAUGUUGAGCAUUGUUUUGGUAUGGGAUACUCCAAACACUUGAUUUGAGCUUGAUUUUAAAAUUUAUUUCAUUAUUGUUAGAGUUAGUGUGCUUAAGCCCAAGGAAGGAUUAUGUAAGAACCCCAAUUAUCCAUACCUAUAGGAGGAAGGGUAGAAAGGUAACUGCACAGGACAAUAUUAUGGAGGAAUGAUUGGAAGGAAGAUCGUGCUGGGUAGGGCCCAUUGGGCUGAGAAAUAGGUGAGCCUAUAAAUAGGAUUAUUAGGUAUGGAGUAGCUAGGUAUAUUUUAUCUUUUAAAAGGUAGGGCUGCAGCAGCCGCAAGGGUCUCUUAAAUCAAGGAGGCCGGUAUGUUCUUUUCUUGAUUUUCCUUGUGUUCUUUGUUGUUUCUUUUCAUCUUGUGACGUUGUAAGCAUUUGGCUAUAUAUAAAUAAAGUAAACCAGGGUACCGCCUCUGUUUAAGCCAUUUUUACAGUAUUUUCGGUCUAAAUCAGUGUAUCCUAACAGAUUAACUCUAAUAUUCCUUCUUUACAUUAAGCGUGUUGUCUAUUUAUUUUCCCCUAUUGUACCUUUUAUAUAUGAGAAAAUAUUAAGAAAGUCAGAUCGUGAUUUUUCUCCCGGUCCUAUGGUUUCCACCUAACUCAGUGUCAUAUUUUCAUUUACUGCUUUCAAUAUGGUAUUAGAGCGGGGUAAAGACGAAACCCUAGACACCAAUAUAGAUGGAACCCAAAUAGAGACUAAACACAUGACAGCCGUUGCUGUCGUCGAGAUCAAUGCCACCGUCGCUGCCACCAUCACCAUGGAAAAACUAUUCCACUAGCUUCAGACGUUGCUGGUGAGUAGUCUUGACCCUAGUGAAUGAUUCCAACCGCAAGUGCCAAGCAAGUUUGCCCAUGCACCGUUGCUACCAAGCGCAUCUGUCCAUGUUCUACUGUCUAUCUUCUCUAAUGCUCAGUGGGCCUACUCCCAAUCGGUCUCCUCUGUCUAGUCGCAUAACCCUUUUGGUUAGCUGUCGAUUCAUGCGCCACCAACCCUAAAUCACGCGCCACUGCUGCCAAGGUCAUACAUCUACAUGCCGCCACUGCCCUCUUUUCACACACCGCUACCUUUUGACUUGUUAUAGCAGUCAUACAUACGUGGUCUCUGAAUUGAUCAGCUCCAUACUAAAUCAGGGUUUGAAGUUGCCAAACCUCCAAGGUUUGAAGCACAGUUUGAUUAUCGGGUUUGCGAACUUUAGAAAUCCUUGUAUGGGCUGAAGCUGUCACCAAGAGCAUGGUUAAGUUUACUAUCUUUGUCAAGUCCAAGGAUAUAGUCAGAGGCACUUUGGUCACACUUUGUUUACAAUAAUCUCCAAGGUUGGGAAAAUCACUGUGUUGAUUGUCUAUGCUGAUGACAUUGUAUUCUCUAAAGAUGACAUCGUCGAGUUCAUCCAAUUGAAAAAGAAGAUGGGUGAUGACUUUGAAAUUAAAGACUUGGAAAAUCUGAAGUAUUUCCUUGAGAUGGAGGUAGCUAGAUCAAAAGAAGGUAUCUCCGUAUCUCAAAGGAAGUAUACCUUUAUUUGCUAACUGAAACAAGUAUGCUGGGAUGUCAUCCUGCUGAUACUCCUAUUGAGUUCAAUUGUAAAUUGGGAAAUUCAGAUGAUAGAGUUCCAAUUAAUAAAGAAAAAUAUCAGUGGCUCGUGGGAAAGUGUUAGACCACCUAUUAUUCUGCAAUAUAGUAGAAAGGGAAAGACAGGAAUAACACGUGUAAAGAGGAACUUAGACAAUGAGAAGAGGGACCACAGUGGGACCCAAGGCAGUUAGAGUCAUUGUGUCUAUUAUAAAUAGAAUUUCAGUAGGAGGGAAGGGCAUAUGUGCAUUUUGGUGAGAAUUCUGUUUCAUCCUUAAGAGAAAGGAUAACAGGGGUGAGAGAAAGUUUCUUUGAAUUUUCAAUUCCUAGUUUCUCAAAUUGAUCUCUUCAUCAAUUCGAUAGUGUAAUUCAUUCAUCGUUUAUAUUGAAUAAGAACAUUUUAUUACGUGAUCGUUUACAUUUUUCGGACUCCAUCAUAUUGGCAUCAAAGCUUUUUUCUCUAGGAAAUCGAAAGAGGAUGGCGCAGAAGCGAAUUGAAGAAAAAUUAUAGAUGUUCGACCAAGAAAUAUUAGGAAUUCGAAUGAAUUGCACAAAUUACCAACCAUUGAAGAAAACUUCACGUCCUUAGCAAAAAGUAUUGAGAUACUGGAAAUGCAAGCCGAGAACAACAACUGUUGUUGAAGUACGUUGAAAACACAUCAAAGGAAAAGUCAGCGAUGAGCGAAGGAAUAAUAGGAUUUAGAGGCCAAGGGUCAACGAUGACGAAAAUGAUGGAAGAAGGUAGUACUCCAAUAAAAGAAAUUGGAAGCGAAAGACGAUCGAAGAAAAUCGAAAUCAAAGAUAAUCGAGUGAUGGAAGCAAGUUCAAGAAGGUAGAAAUGCCAGUUGAUCCGAUUCAUGGCUAUUUAGAGCAGAUUGGUAUUUUGAAAUACACAAACCUGAUUCAGAGAAGAUGAUGUGGCAGUCAUUAGCUUUGAUUGAGCAGCGUUAGAUUGGUACAGGUUGCAAGAAGAACACGAUGAGUUUAAAGACUGGGCGGACUUAAAGCAGAGGUUGUUGGUGAAAUUAAUCAGUCAGGUAAGGUUCAAUUUGCGGAAGAUUCUAAGCAAUCCAACAGGAGUCAAUUGUGGAAGAAUAUCGAAAUCUUUUGAUAAAUUAGUGGCACUCCAUGGAUUAAGGCCAACGUUGAAUGCUAGGAAUGGUUGGGCUAGCACAAAUGAUGAAAUUAGCCCAAAGAGUAGAAAAUCGGGAAAUCACAUGAGAGAGAGGCAAAUUUAAAGGAGAAUCCUGAAGGUAAGUAUCAAUCCAACUAUUUGAAUAAUAGUAAAUCUGUUAAUUUGAUAAGACUGGAAAUAUAUUUCUAAUGAGAAAAAUUACCCUAAGAGGGGUGGCGGUUGGAGAAAAUCGACAGGAAGGUCUAGUGAACAGCUUUUUGAUGCUGAAUUUCAAGCUCGAAAAGAAAAUGAAUUAUGCUUUCGUUGUGAUAAAAAUAUAACUUUGGGCACAAAUGUAAAGCCAAAGAACAGAGAGAAUUACGAAUGUUUGUAGUGCGAGAGAAUAAUAAAGAAGUGGAAGUUAUAGAGGAUGAUUUUGAGAGGAAGAGAGAUGAAUUCGUUGGGGAUAGAGGAAGAAGUUAGAUCAAUUGUAGAGUUGUCUAUAAACUUUGUAGUUGGUUUAUCCAAUCUGGGAAACCAUGAAAGUGAAAGGAGAUUAAGGGCAAAGAAGUGAUCGUGUUAAUUGACUGUGGAGCUACUCACAAUUUCAUAUCCAAGAAGAUGUUUGACCUUGUAGUUGCCAACGAAGGAAACUCUAACUAAUAGGGUUAUAUUGGGGUCAGAGACUCCUAUAAAAGGAAAAGGAGUAUUUGAAGCAGUACUUAUGAAUGGAAAGUAGUGGAGAGCUUUUUGCCUUUGGAGCUUGGGGAAGUAGAUGUCAUUUUAGGGAUGCAAUGGUUAUAUUCAUUGGGUGUUACAAAAAUGGAUUGGAAGAAUCUUACUACGAUGUUCUAUCAUGAGUGAAUAACAAAGUAGUCAUAAGAGAGGAUCCAAGCCUAAGGCCAGAGUAAGUUUUGAAAGGCAUGAUGAAAACUUGGUCGGAUUUUGAUCAAGGAUUUCUGAUGGAAUGUAGAGCUCUAGAGGGAGGAAUGACCUUGGCAAAACUAUAUGGGGUAGAUGCGUGCCAACCAUACAAGAGUCCAUUCCAGCAAUAUUAGCAAAAUUUGAAGACGUGUUUGAAUGACCAGAAGAAUUACCUUCGAGGAGGGAAAUUGAACAUUGCAUCCACUUGAAGAAUGGUACAGACCUAGGGAGUGUAAGACCCUACAAAUACGUGUAUCAAUAGAAGGCUAAAAUGGAGAAGUAAGUGGACAAAAUGUUGACUUCUGGGGAAUUUGCCCAAGUACCAGUCCCUAUUCAAGUCUAGUGUUGUUAGUAAAAGAGAAAGAUGGAAACUAGAGGUUCUGUGUCGAUUACAGGGCUUUGAACAAUGUUACAAUUUCGGAUUAGUUUCCUAUUCUGGUAAUUGAAAAGUUGAUUGAUAAACUAAAUGGUGAACUUUUGUUUUCGAAAAUUGAUUUGAAAGCCUGAUAUCAUUAAAUUAGGAUGUUCACAGAUGAUAUAGAGAAAACCACAUUACGAACUUUUAGUCAUAACUCUUUGGUUGACUAAUGCCCCUUCCACAUUCAAUCAUUAAUGAAUACUAUCUUCAGAUCCUAUUUGAGGAGGUUUGUAUUGGUGUUUUUCGAUGACAUAUUGAUAUACAAUAAAGCUUGGAAGAGCAUUUGUAGCAUUCGGAGUUGGUGUUGGAGAUAUUGAGAGAAUAUGAACUAUAAUGCAAAAAAGAAGAAAUGUAGUUUUGCACGAUCGACAGUAGAAUACUUAGGGCACAUAAUAUCAGGAAAAAGAUGGAGGUCAGGAAAUUAGCCUUGAUUACAUCCGCUUACUCCGAUGUCGAUCCUCUAGAAGCCUAUUGUCCCACUAACUCAACACUUCCAAGCUGGUUCAUUUGUAGAAGAUGUGUGCAAACCCAGGACAGCCAAAGAGGAACUUGGAAUAUGUCUAUCAUCAGCCACAAUUUUGGAAUAGGAAAAAUUGGUCCUAUUAGAGUCCAGAAACGCGAAAUAUUGGAUGAAUGGUUGUGGUAAGGCCAACCCAUAUGCCACAUGACCAAUGCUCGCCACAGGACCAAUGCGAGCAGCCACCAGAAAUGGACCAAUGAAUUGUGGAGCAAGUUUAGGAUGGUGUAGUGGCCAAUAGCGAUUGGAGAUAAGGACGAAUUUGACAUAUAUCCAAUCAUUGACUCAAACUGCAUGUUCCGUCAUUUAGAACUGGCGUACUUUAGCAUUCUUUGCUGGGCCUUCAUCAAAUUCUUCUUCAAAACAGUGAGCAUAACAUCCCUCUCCUUAGUGUCCUUUAGAAGAUGAUCAAUUUCAUUCAUCGGCUGGAUCCCUUGUCAUAUGGAAUGGAGGGAGGUGGGCAGUCAUAGAGCACCUCAAAAGGAGUCAUACGAAUGGUGGUGUGAUAAGCGGUGUUAUAGCUUACUUACACAUUGUUUGGGGUCCCAUGGCGAAGCAGUCAAAUAAGUCGCAAAGAAAAGCUCAAAGAAGUCAAACCCAACUGCCCGAAAACCAAUUCGAUCUCAAUCCUGAGAUAGUUUGAUUACAGAUUAUGUAGAUGAUCAAAUGAACUAAGGAUAGGACAAUGUUUGUGCUCCCAUCAAUCUUUGGUCUCAAACACUCCACAAGAUAAAUCAAUUCAGUUCAUGAAAGCUCCAAAUAUUCAUGCAUUCUAUCACAAGAAACACAAAACACAAACCUUGAAAGCUUUCAAGGUUAAAACCAUCCAUAUCACCUACAAAUUACGUAGUUUCUUGUAGCCUCAAAAUACAAUUUAUAUAUUCUAUGAGGCAUUUCCAAGGUUGAACUUUCUAAAUUUAUGGCCAUAAUCAGGUGUGUAACGUAAAAGGAAAUAAAAUGACUUAAAACAGAAAAUUCAAAUAAGAAACACCAUAAAUAUGAAAUUCUUUGCUUUUAAUCACCUGUCUAAGAAUUUGUAACCGUUCGUUAGUCAUGAAGCCCCGUUGUUCCUUAAAUGAAGCUUGAUUAUUCUUCAGGGCAAGCACAAAGCAUUCUUGUAGCUGAAAGGGUGGCACUAAACUUUAUGCAGAGAAUGAGUGGAAUUGCAACUUUAACCAAGGUACUUUUGUUUCCCUUAUUAGGCCACAAUGUAGCUUGAUAACAUCAAUUUCUUCCAUGUCUUAUAUAAAUAUAGGCAGGCAAUUGGGUGAGGCAGCCAAUGGAAUCAGACACAUGACUUUGCUAGUACCCAAUGUGUGGUCCGGCGAUGCGUUGUGCUUGCAUGGGCUGAGUGCCUAUGUGCGAUUGACAUUGUUCAGGCCUCACCCCACCAACGGCCCUAAUAGUGGUGAAUUUAUCCAAAAUUUCAUUUUGGCUUAGUGGCACUCACAUGCACCUUAGCCCCUGAAAGCGGCAUGAAUUUGAGCCUCUAAAAUGCCACUUGAAUGAAUACUUAAAUAAUAUUCAACAAGAAAAAAAGAAUGUUAGACCUAUUAUAGUUUUAAAGUUUACGCAUUUAAAAUAUAUCUUCGCUAACUUUUUCCUUUCAAAUGGUAGUUAUAUAAUCAUUGGUCCCAACCCCCUUAACCUCUCCAAAAUACUCCACUCAAUUAUAGGAGGAAAAAAAUUAUAUCUAAUUUUAAAAAGAAAAAAAGUUGCAUGCAUACGUACAUCAUAAAUGUAUCUAUAUAUAUUGGACGUUGAAUCAUUCAAUCUCCAAGUUUAUAAAAUCAUUUUUAUCAAUAUUUAUGUUGAGAUCGAUGUAUUUAAUAAGAUACAUAAUUUAGUCUUACAGCAUAUAUUGAAAAAAAAAUUGUUUGAUAAGAUAGGCAAUAAAGUUUGUAUGCAACGAUUUUUUUGCAAUGAAAAUUAGUUGAGGCAUAUGUGAUAUAUUUAAAUUAGUUCAAUUUUUAUAAAUGAAAUUUUGAUUGUUUGUUUUAGAUCAUUUUUCACUAAGCUCUCCAGAAUAAAAAUUCUAGAUUUGCCAUAGAUCCUGAUGCGCAUGCCUUUGGCACAUGCACACUUUUUUGUUCCCUUGCAUGAUUCUGCGCCCUCCCACACAAUGCUCCUGCCGCAGCCAUCUUGCCUGUGUGGUUGCUACAGUCUGAGACUCAAAUAAGCCUAUGCAACAUAUGCUCGAUCCCAUCUUGUUUUGUGACUCCCUCCUCUACUUGGUGACACUAACGCCUGUCAUCAGUCUCAUGGAUGCUGACUGCAUUAUUCUUUACAAAUACAUCACUAUCUAGGUUACAUUAACUGCCAACCUCUAGUCCAAGUGUUUAGGGUUUAGGGUUUAGGGCUAUCUAGGUUACAUUAACUGCCAACCUCUAGUCCAAGUGUUAAAAAAACAUAAAAGUCUGUAACACUUGUUAGGUGUGGCCCUCAUAACCUUAUGCUCAUGUAAGAAUUUCACAAAACCUUUGUUACCCUUUACAAAUAAAAUUAAAACAUUUCCUUGUAAACGAAAACGUUAACUUGGGCAAUUCUCUAACGAAUGGAAGACAUCACACAGACACAUCCUUCGUUGUAUACUAAAUAUGACCUGAUACUCUGGCAUAGCUCUAACUCUUCCAUAGAAUCAUUUCAUAAUGAAUUCCUUCAUUCUAAUUUUUGUUGAGGAGCUACCUUGAAUGAAAAUACUACAAGGUUUCACAAAUCCUAAUGUGGAGGGUUUUGCUUUUUUGUUGCUUAAAUGGGGUCCCACAAAUUGUAUCAUUCUUCUGUCAAAGCAUGACAACCUCAUUCCUCAUGUCUUCCAUGUGUCGCACUGGUUGAUCUUGCAUUUGAAACUUGACUCUAUGGACUUAUCCAAGGAACUCUGCAAGGAUUGGAUUCUUCUCUUGUUGCUGUUCUACCAGCUUCCAGAAGGUUGGAGGAUGGUUGUGAACGUUCAGGAAUGCAUAAACAUACUUCUGUAGCAUGCUGACCACAUGGCCGUCUGGCAUCCCCAUUUCCUUUCCAAAUCUGGCAAUUUUUGCUUCCAAGGUUACUGUCCAUUUCUACAAAACAAAAAAACUUACGAAGAAAGACACUGUUAUCAUGAAAAGAAAUAAUCUAAUCCAUAAGGUAGAAUAAAACAGUGGAUAUUGGAGUAAAGCUGGGGAUAUGCUUAGCCAAGCAUCAAAAGGAAUCGUAAGAGGUCUUGUUAUCUUAAGUGGGUUCCUUAGAGCAUGUUCAUGAGAGAGUUACAGGCUUUGUAACAUUACUCCAGUAUGUGAGAAUUGUAUGUAAUAGCUGAGAUGGUAUCUCGUAGAUUAGCUUUACUCGUGCAUUAAUGGUUGCCUUACUUGUACAACGAAGGCUGUUUAAACCUUGUAGGUGAUUGUUGUGUUGGGUGUGUUGCACCCUAUUCCGUGCAAUAUUUGCAACAAAAGUAAAUGGCAGUCUUUCCUGUGAUGUGGCUUUCAAACAGCAAAGUAUAUGGCCUUUGGUUCUGGAUGGUAUCCAUGACCAAUGGCAGGUCGUAGUUAUUUUUGGUGUCAGUACUCUGAUUACUGUAACAUCAACACAUCUCCACAGUAAUAUUUUAAUGAAAACGGUUUGACUAGGAAGUACAGGUUUAUGUAUUAAUAAUGUAAUAUUUACAAUUUUGAAGCAUCAUUUUGUUCUUAUUUUACCAUCGUAUGAUUAUCAACAUAGUCGCCAUGUUCUAACCCAUCGGUAUUUGUCGGUUUUAGUUUUAUCAAUUAGCAAAGAAAACAGUGAAAAUUAUUAUUUUUUUUUUAGAAAAAUUGCCUGCUUUAAAAUAUAAUUGUACUUUGCUACACUCUAACUGAAAACUAUAGAUCAUGAAAGCAUUGUAAUCAGCCCUUAGAUGUUAAGUACACUUAGAUUUUGAGUUAUUAAGUACAUGACAUCAACUCAUCAAGUACUUUGCAGGCAAUGGCAGAUGCUGCAAGCCCUGCGUGCAUUCUGGAAACGAGAAAAACUGCUCCAGGUUUACGUUUGGUGGAUAAGUGGGCGGUGCAAAUCACUUCCUUAGUUCACUUUUUUAGAGAAACCUUUUUAGCCUUCUACACUUAUUCCUUAUUCUUUUACAGGUAUUAAUUGGUGGAGGUCAAAAUCACAGGAUGGGUUUAUUUGACAUGGUGUUGAUAAAAGAUAAUCAUAUAUCAGCAGCUGGAGGCAUCUCAAAUGCCAUUAAAUCUGUGGACUUGUAUCUGCAACAAAGGGAACUUAAAAUGAAUGUAGAGGUACUUUCCCAAAUCUUAACCUUUUUGUUCGUUUAUAUAGUGGUAUAUUUUGUACAUGACAUCUUAAUUGCAAAACUUUCUCCAGAUUGUUUGGAGUUUCUUCUGACUAGUUGAUGUCCCGAGUACUGCUCUUUUCUUGUUAUAAAUAGAUUAACAAAGAAAGAAAAGAACCCACUUGAGAAGAAUUAUAAUACCAUAAUUUAUAUAAAUUAAUCGGACUACAUCCUAUCCUAUUCCUGUCUUUUGCAGUUUCACGAGGUUUCAUUAUAAGAUGAAAGUUACCCCAUCCUUUUUCUAAUUCUUGUUAAUUACACUCCCUUUGUUAUUAGUUAAAUUGGAAGUGUAAUCUAGAAUUCAGAUAAGUAUAAUUCUUAUUCAUUUUUAGUUAAAUAAAAGUUACAUAUUAUAUAGAGAACAAAAUAAACCCUAAACACUAUGUACAAUUACAAUAAAGGACAUAUCUUAUAAAUAUAUAUCAUAACACUCCCCCUCAAGCUGGAGCAAAUAUGUCAAUCAUGCCCAGCUUGUUGACAGCUAGCUUAUCCUUGCUCCAUUUAAAGCUUUAGUCAGAAUAUCUCUCAAUUGUUCUCCAAUCUUUACAUAUCCUGUGGACACCAACCCAUCUUGGAUUUUCUCAUGAAUGAAGUGACAAUCCACCUCAAUAUGUUUAGUUCAUUCAUAAAAUACUGGAUUAGAUGCAAUGUGAAGUGCAGCUUGAUUAUCACACCAUAAUUUAGCUGGCACUGUAAUACUGAAGCCUAUCUCAGAUAAUAGUUGGUGAAUCCAUACUAUUUGCACACAAAUUGUGUCAUAGCUCUAUAUUCAGACUCAGCACUUGAACGAGAAACAACAUUUUGUUUCUUACUCUUCCAUGAUACUAAGUUUCCACCUACAAAGACACAAUAUCAGAAGUUGAUCUCAUCUCACGAGAUUCUGCCCAAUCAGCAUCAGUAAAACAUUCAACUCUUGUAUGUCCAUGAUCUUUGUAUAAGAUCCCACGUCCAGGAGCACUUUCAGAUAACACAAAAUCUGCUCUACUGCAGCCCAAUGAUCCACUGUAGGGGAAGACAUGAACUGACUUACAAUACUUACAAAAUAAGCAAUGUCUAGUCGAGUCACUGUUAAGUAGUUCACUUCCCAACUAAUCUCCUAUAUCUCUCAGGAUCUUUCAUAAUUCUCCUUCUUUAACAAGUUGCUGAUUUGGCAUCAUUAGGAAUGUCACUUGGUUUGGCUCCUAAUUUUCCUGUCUCAGACAACAAAUCAAGUACAUAUUUUCGUUGAGACAAAUAAAUACCUUUCUUGCUUCUCAUCACUUCAAUGUUCAAAAAAUAUUUCAAUUGGCCCAAAUCUUUUCGUAUAAAGCUGACCAUGAAGGAAAGUUUUGAAAGACGAAAUACCCGAUGCAUCAUUUCCAGUAAUAACAAUAUCAUCAACAUAUACAACUAGUAGAACUAUACCAUUAUCAUAUCAACGAUAGAAAUCCGAAUGAUCAGAUGCACUCUUUUGCAUACCAAAGCAUACGAAGACAAUGUUUCAAACCAUACAAUGAUUUUCGAAGGUGACGUACUUUAUCUCUCCCCCUGAGCAACAAACCCAGGUGGUUGCUCCAUAUAAACUUCUUCUGGAAGAUCACGAUGCAGAAAAGCAUUCUUAAUGUCAAGUUGAUGCAAAGGUCAUUUAUGGUAGCAGUCAUGGAAAGAAAUGACGUAUGGAAGUUAAUUUGGCAACUGGAGAAAAUGUAUCUGAAUAAUCAGUUUCAUAGAUUUGAGCAUAACCUUUGGCAACAAGGCGAGCUUUCAAUUGAGCCAUUGUUCUAGCAAGAUUCAUCUUGACAACAAACACCCAUUUACAACCAAUGGCCUUCUUUCCUGCAGGACGAGAUACCAAAUCCCAAGUACCAUAUUAUCAUCUAAAGCAGUCAUCUCCUCAAUCAUUGCAUUUCGCCAGCCAGGAUGAGACAAAGCUUCAUGAACAGAGUUAGGAAUAGAUGUGGAGUCAAGGGACGUAAUAAAAGCAUAUGUGGGAGGAGACAAUUGGUGAUAGGAAACAAAGGAAGAAACAGGGUAAGUACACUUGCGUUGACCUUUCCGAAGAGCAAUGCGAAGAUCAUCACUUGGCCCCGGAUCACAUGAUGAAUGGGCAUUGAUGGAGGACAUGAGUCUAAAGCUUGUGGUGGAGAUCGUCGGGAGUAGACUCGAGAAAUCAGUGGGCGGGAAGGAGGUGCAUCAGUGGAAGAGUAUGGUGUGGGAGAGGUAACCUCAUAUAUAAAAAGAUUGUUAUCCUCCCCCGACACGAACUCGAUGGUGAUGAAGUAAAGGGUGUAUAUGAUAGAACACUGAUACAGUGUUUCUAUUUUAUUGAUAGCUUCACAUAAAUUACAAUAUAAAAGCAGUAAAAGAAAAGUAAAAGAACACUAACCCUUGCCCUUCCUCUCUUUCAAGGAAUGUUGCAGCCCUAAUUCUUCACCAAAUUAUUCAUGCCCUUCUUCCCUCCCCAACUUCCUAUUUAUAACCAACUAACUACCAACAAAUCUAAUUACCUUUAUACCCCUACCCGAUAUUAAUCUAGGUAUCUAACAUUACCCGAGCUUCAAAAACACCCUGUCCUCAAGGUGUUCUUACAAAUAUGAUCUCCCUUUUUCUUUUCUUUUUCUUUUUUUCUUUUGGUUACAAACUAUUUCCAGUGAUAUGCUGACCAAAAAAAAAAUCUCUCAGCUUCAGGAAAAAAACAUUUCUUUGCUUCAAUAAGAUCCAUUGACUUCGCCCAUAGCCCAGAAUGAUCUUCCUUUAAAUCAUCCACUUCAUUUACAUAAUAAUGGGCCUUCACUCUUUGAUUUAUAAAAAACUUAGAAGCCCACUUUAAGUAGUAAAGCCCAAAAUUUUAGGGUUUGUUUUUCUUGCCUCUUUCUUUCUCCUAUCAUCUUCUUCCACGUCAUUGGAAUCUUCACGCGUACUACUUCUUUACGUGAUUCAUCCAUAUUUGACAUCAUCUCCCCGGACCACCGUAACCGACCACUUGCCGGCGUUUUCUCUCUCCUCCACAUCCAGAUAACUGUCAUCAUCUUCUUUUCCCCUCGCAACCCAACAACUUCCAGCGGCUUCAUCCUCCAUCGUAACCAGCCAUUUUCUCUUUCCUCAAGCAAUAAUUUUUUUUUCGCUUGAGUCUUUGAUUCAGAUCUCUUUGGUACUUCUCGCCAAUCCUCCGCGAUCAUUUUCUCUUUGAUUGCUAAGGAUUGUCCGCCAACACCUUCUUCUCACACUGAUCAGAAACGUAAUAACAGCCUUUAGUCCAGUUCAAACCAACCCUUGAAUGCUUCGCGUUCCUCCGGUGAUCGAUAACAAUAUAAUGUGCUUCCAACAGAACUACUUAGCUUGUUUUGAUCGAUUUCUUUUCCUUCAAUUUCUAUUUUGAAUUGGUUUCGAUCACUCACCUUCUCUGUUUGUACUUCGUUCUCGGCUCUUCCUACCGGUGUCAUUCCACCGUCGACUGUCUUUAUCAUUGGUAUUUGUGGUUUCUUUUCGGCUUCAUCCUCUAACUUCUCUGUAAUCUUCUUGCUCGACCGGCUGAUUGAAUCUUCUAUUUCGCUCGUUGUAUCUUCUAUGUCGUUCGUUGUCCUAGAUUUCUCACGAAUCAUGUUCUAAAAAAUAUUUCAUCAGUUCUAUUUCUCUUUUUUUUGUUUCUUCGAUUUCUCUCUUUUUUGCUUCAAUUUCUCUCCUUUUCAUCUCUUCCUUCUCCAACGUUUCAAGCCACUCUGACAAGCGCUGAUCGUUUUCCUCGAUUUGAAUCCCCCUUCGAUCAAUCGCCUCUGUCAAGGUUUCUUCGAUUUCUGAUCUUUUUGUUUCUUCCUUCUCCAUUGUUUCCAUAAACAGCAACAUCAUUUGUUGAGUCCUCUCGUUUAUUGCAAUAAUGCUUUCCAUUGUUUCCCAUAUCGACGGCAGUUUCUCUUCCAUGGCUGACAACUUGAUAAUUCUUCCUCCAAGAUCAACUAGCUCUGAUACCAAUUUGAUAGAACACUGAUACAGUGUUUCUAUUUUAUUGAUAUCUUCACAAAAAUUACAAUAUAAAAGCAGUAAAAGAACCCUAACCCUAUACUCUUCCUCUCUUUCAAGGAAUGUUGCAGCGUUAAUUCUUCACCAAAUUCUUCAUGCCCUUCUUCCCUCCCCAACUUCCUAUUUAUAACCAACUAACUACCAACAAAUCUAAUUACCUUUAUACCCCUACCCUAUAUUAAUCUAAGUAUCUAACAGUAUCCUAAAAAAAUGUAACAUCAGGUGAAACAAGAUACCUAUUAAGGGUAGGACAAUAACAACGCUAUCCCUUUUGAACUCGCGAAUAACCCAAGAAGAUACACUUCAAGGAUUUGGGAUUUAACUUAGUAUGAUGAGGAUGAACGUCGCGAACAAAACAAACACAACCAUAUCUUAGGAGCAAUAGAAAACAAAUUUUGGUAGGAAAAAGAACACGUAGGGAAUCUCACAUUAAGAACAGAGGAAGGAAUUCUAUUAAUAAAAAAACAAGCUGUGGAAACAGCAUCUGCCCAAAAGGUUUUCAGAACAUGCAUUUGAAAAAAAGCACGGGCAAUUUCAAGUAAAUGCCAAUUUUUCCGCUUGCAACACCAUUUUGAGAUGGAGUGUCAGACACGAAGACUGAUGAAUAAUGUCAUUUCACACAAGAGCCAAGAGAGAAAAAUAUUCACCGCAUUAUCAGUGCGCAAAGUUUUGAGACAUUAAACUGUUUUUUAUAUUUAGUAUGAAAGGCACAAAAUGAGAUAAUAACUCAGAACGAUUUUUCAUUAAAUAUAACCAAGUUAGACGAAAUGAUCGUCAACAAAAGUAACAAAAUAACGAAAGCUGUUUGAGAUACAACUAGACAUGGACCCCAAAUAUCAUAAUGAACUAACUCAAAUGGAGCAUUGCUCGUUUAUCGACUCAAGGACUCGAACUAAGACGAUGAAAUUUGCAAAUUGACACGAAUCACAAUUUAAAGAGGACAAAGACCUAAAUUCUGGAUAAAGUUUCUUCGACACGAACAAAGAUGGAUGACCUAAACGACAAUGGACUUCAAAGGGAGAGGAAGACAGGACAUGCCACAGCUUGGUACUUGAUGAUCAAAGCGAUAAAGGCCUCCUGACUCAUAUCCUCUACCAAUAAUCUUCUUGUUACACGAUCCUGAAACAAGCAAUAACCAGGAAAGAACAAAACAACACAAUUUAGGUCAUGAGUAAGUUGCUAGUAAAUUAAAUUAAAGGAUAAAUUAGGUAAAUGUAACACAAAAAACAGAGAAAAUGAUGGGGUAAGAUGAAUAGUGCCAGAGCCAAGAAGUGGAACCAUCCGCCAAUGUAACAGAUGUAAAAGAGGCAGGGGACAAUGGUUUAGAAAAUAGGCGAGAAUUACCCGUCAUAUGAGCUGUGGCACCAGAGUCUAUGACCCAUUUGGUAGAUGAUGUUAGAAGACACUUUGUAUUACCUGGGACAACGGUGGAUGCAACAUGAGUCGAGGAAGAUGACGCUUGUAAUGAAUCUUAGUAAUUCUGAAACUUGGCAAACUCAUCUGCAAAAAUAGUAACUGAUUCCUCUAGUAUAUCACAUGUGGAAGCUAUUUGAGCAUGUUGAGAUUGUUGACUAUUCUUAUAUAACAAUUUUCGACAAUCACGUUUCAUACGGCCUGGCUUACGAUAGUAGUUACAAACAAUCUUUGCAAAAUCUGAUUUUCGAUGAUCAUAACUAUUCCUUUGAACAUUGCUAUCUAUUACUCGAGGUGCCUGAGGGUUAUUCUUCUUGGUAAAGAGAGCACUACUAGGUUGAGAAAUAGAUACACCAGUCGGAGAGCUUUUAAUGCGAAGGACACGAGUGAAAGCAUCAUCUAAUGAUGGAAUCUUAGAGUCAGAGAGAAUUUGUGCCUUUGUUAUUCCAAAUUCAGGUAAGAGUCCAUUCAAAAAGAUCAUAACAGCCAUCUUCUCUCGUUGAGCUUGUUGAACUUUAACAUCAGGACUAAAAGGUAACAACAAGCCAAGCUCAACAGUUGUCUCUUAAGCUGCAUAAAGUAGCUGGUGACAGACUCAACUUUUUGUUCAACACGAAAAAAUUGCAUACAAACCUCAAACAUUCUAUAUACACUUUAUCUGAAUAUAGAAAAUCUAGAAAUUCCAGAAGAUUUUUAACAGACUCACAGUGAUCGACCAAUCCAAUUAUGUCACUCUCAAUGGAGUUUUUGAUUUGAAGAUAUAAACGGGCAUCAUCACAAUGCCAAUCCUUCUUCUGCUUUGUAUUUUUUGGGGAUCUUCGUCAUAUGAUUAGGUCCAUUUAACUUAUGUUCUGUGAUCUUAGAGCUAAGGGAAUAACGUUGGAGACUACCAAAUUCUUUAUGUUGGCCAUAUUAAAGUCACACACUGAUUGUAGUACACACAAACAAAGAAAAAAUCAAUUCAAACCGCUGUUAAAUUGGAAGAAAACCCUAAAACAAUGGCGUAGCCUUCAGAUUUUGUCAAAUCUGAAUACUCUUUGAUAGACCCAACGAUACAGACUGACCAGAAGCAGAGGUUCGAGACAAGCCCAGAAGAUGGAGGUCAAAACGGAUUUCUCACACGGCGGCGCGUGGGUGAUGUGUAGAGGUAUUCCGGCAGCGCGUGAAUCUCACGCACAGUGUUUCCUGACGAUCGGCGAAGACGGACUUGGGUGGACAGAGGUGGUGCUUCUUAUGGUAUGGGGCGGUGUCGACAAACCGUCAGCGGAAGGCAACCUAAACUUAAGCCUAAUGGAGGAGGAAGCUAACGGCUAUUCGAAACCCUAAUGGCUCUGAUACCAUGUAAUCUAGAAUUCAGAUAAGUAUAUUUCUUAUUCAUCUUUAGUCAAAGAAAAGUUACAUAUUUAUAUAGAGAACAAAAUAAACCAUAGACACUAUGUACACUGUUACAAUAAAGGACAUAUGUUAUAAAUAUAUAUCAUAACAGGAAGGUUUCUUUUAUAUAGGAAGUUAGGAUUCUAUCACUCUCUUCUUCAGCAACCAAUCUUCUAUAAAUGAUCUGAACCUAACCUGUACAAACAGGGGUCAUCCUCAAAAUGGAAUUUAAAUCAUGGAAGAAAUGUUUACGCUGGUGAUAGUUUAAGUUAACAGGAGAACACCAAUUCGGUUUACAAUGUCGGGAACCAUGGUGUGCAGCCGCUAGGUUCUACUCGAAGUACUACUCAUCACCUGUUGAAGCUUGAAAGCUGGCGUGUCCUAGAAAACUUUGCACACCCUUCACAUUGGAAGGUUGUGGUAGCUUCUCUAUGACUUCAAUCUUGGCCUUAUCUACUUAAAUUCCAGUCUGCAAAAUUUUGUGCCUCAGAACAAUGCCUUCUUCUACCAUAAAGCCGCAUUUCUCCCAAUUGAGAACCAAGUUCGUCUCCUUGCAUCUUUUGAACGUAAAUUCCAGAUUCUGCAAACAAUUAACUUACAAAUCACCAUAAAUUGAAAGUUAUCCAUUCGAUAGGUUUUUUUCAGCACAUCAGAUAAUAUUGACAUCAUGCAUCUUUGAAAAGCAGUUGGUGUGUUACACAAGCAGAAAGGCAUUUGUCUAAAGACAAAUGUUCUGUAUGGACGGGUGGACAUUGUUUUCUCCUGAUCUUCAGGGCAAUAGAAAUCUGGUUGUAACUGAAGUACAUAGCAAAGCCCAUCUAUUUGGCACUUGUCAAUGAGGAGCAACAGGAAAUGAUCUUUCUUGUUGCAAUAUUGAGAUUUCUGUAAUCCAUGGACACACACCAGCCAGUCACUGUUCAUGAUGGAAUCAACUCAUUCAUGUCAUUAUUGGUGCAUAAUACCUAAUUUAGACUGGAAGUAAGCAGCACAUUCUCCUCUUAAUUGAGGGAGUCGUCUUAAUACCUUCAACCGUUGCAUCACAUUGUAAAGAUGAAGAAGAAAAAAAAAAAACAAUGUAGAACUUCAAACAUCUUUCACAAUUAUGCUGCACCUUCUAUUUUCCCAAUACCAGUCUUGCUCCUAUUUAAAAAUAUGUAUAAAGAAUUAAUUCUACUUUCCUAAAAAAAGGAAGCUCUUUCUGUAUAUUGUGAUCUUUACUUCUGCUAUUGCAGAUAUCAACACAUUGGUAGGUGCACCUGUACUGACUUGAAGAUUGAUCUUAAAACUAAUUUUUUAUGUGCGCAUCACAAAUCCUAUGCUUCACCUGUUCACCAUCUAGUAUAUUAAAAUCCAUUGAGUUUCUUUGUAAUUAAAUGUAUAAGGUUAAGCAAUUGUUCUUGAGAUUAGUCCAGGUGCUUAUAAACUUAAUACUUAUGGAUAUAAAGAAAACGUGUGCUGUAUAUGCUGCUCCUAUAACUCUGAUUUUGUUAAGUGAAGUUAUAUUGUCAUAUAUUACAACUUGCUUACCCCUAAUUUUUUUAGUUCUUAAAUUUUUAAAAUUCUCUUCUUGAAAUAUUCAACAUAUUUUAAUCAUUUUUCAGGUUGAGACCAGGACUCUCGAGGAAGUUCAUGAGGUACUACGCUAUGCAACUCAAAACAAGACAUCCUUAACUAGGAUGAUGUUGGAUAAUAUGGUAGUUCCACUGCCAAGUGGUGAUGUUGAUGUUUCCAUGCUUAAGGAGGCUGUAGGCAUAAUCAAUGGGAGAUUUGAGACUGAGGUAAUGUUUAUUAUCAGCAUAGUUUGCAGUACAAAAUUUGGAUGAUUGAACAGAUUGCUUUAUCAAAAAGUAGAUAAGUCUUGGUUAAUGGUUAAUCUAAUGUUCAAUUAAGAUUAUUUCUUUGUGAUGUAAAUAGUAAAACUCUUUAAAAGUUCUCUAGUAAUAUUGCUUUGUGUGCACAGAAAAAAAAUGGUGCACGACUGGUUAAGUUUUGGAAACUUGAAGUUCAUUGAUGGGCUUUAGUUUUGCAUAUAGAUACUAUAUAAAACUCACAUGGACGCCUUAUACGUAAAGACAUAUUUUACCGUAGGCUAACUAAUACAUCGAGUUAUUAAUGGAUUUUGAUUACUUAGAAGUGAUAAUAGUUGUAUAUUAAGUUUUGCCCUUGUAAAGAGUUUUGGUUUUGGUUCAAGUAGCCAUGAACUUCGAUAGAUAUUUGAUAAUGUGAUAUAGCAACACUUAACCCACUUAUGCUAGAGCGUCUGGUUUAAAUUUAUUGCAUGACAUUAUUUAGAAAAUGAUAGACAAGAACAAGGAUGAAAAAAUGAUAUCAAAUUUUGAUUCACCUACUUUCUGGUGGCAGCGUCAGGAAAUGUUACUCUCCAUACUAUACAUAAAAUUGGACAAACUGGGGUUACUUACAUAUCCAGGUAUAAUGACACCGAUUGAAAUAUUUUUUAUCAGCAAGCUUGCAGCUAUAGUCAAAGAGAAAUUACACUGUUUUUCUUUUAAUUUUUAAUUUAAACUUGAACUUAAAUUUUAAUAUAUAUAUAAUGUCAAUGCAAUUAAUUCUCUUAAACUUCUCUGGUAUCAACGAUUUGUUGACAGCCGGAUACUGACUUAAAAGAAUCCUAGAAAAGCACCUGCUAGGAGUUGAUAUAUUAUCCCAGCUAUACUUUCUGAGGCAUUAAUGACCUUGUGGGAAAAUAUUUCUUGAUUGUCAUACAUUAAUUGAAGUCGUGUUUCCUUCACAAUAACCUCCCAUUAGUUUACUCAUAGCAUUUAAUGUUGCUUGUAUCUUACAUUCUUAUUCAUAGCAUUUAUUGUUGGUUUAGUUGUAGAAUUUUUGAACUGAACCUUCUCCCUUCAAGGUGAAGGUAACAUAAUAUCCACAGAUUAUUGAAGUUCCAAAUCCUUGUCUAUAGCACUAAGACUUUAUGCUGCUAUUUUCGAUAAUUUCGGUUCCAACGAGCUUAAAACAAAACAGUGCAUCUUAGAUUUGAUGGUGACAUUAAUGUGAUAAUUAUUGUUACCAGAAUAGUUCGAGAUAAAAUCAUGGAGACAUUUAUUGAUUUAACCAGUUUAGUCGUGGCUCUUACUCGAGUCAUGAUGAGAUUGUUGGUCUCUGCCAGUUUUACUAAUAAUGCUCCACAAAGCAAAAGUAGUCUGGGAAAAAAUAACUUGCUGGAUUGUCGUUCAAACAAAGAGACAAUCUCUCGAGUUGAAAUACACUGUCAAGGAAACAUGAAACCUGCUAACUAACCUUCAUUUUGGAAGGAUAAUACUAGAGGGAUUUAAUAAGGGUGUAUUAGUAAUUAGUUAAGUGGUCUGCUAGGGAAGUUUGGUUACAAAAAUAUAAUGGGUGGGGAAGAAUAAAAGGGAGCAAUAUUUUGGUGAGUGAAUUAGGGUUUGAGAGUAACCUCAGGAGAUUGGAAGGAUCCAAGUACUAGGGAUGUUCAAAUGAACCAACAAGCCGAACGAUCUGGACUACCCACCUGGGUUAGUUUUGUUCUUGGAUUUGGUUGGGGUCUUGGGAUAAAUAAAUUAAUUUUUGGGUUGACCUAACUCCGAAAUAUUUUUAUACGUGUAAUUGUCUUUUUUCUAGUGUAAUUGUCUUUUUUCUAAUAUUUUUCUUUUAGUAUUCUUAUGAUAAAUGUUUGUUUAAAGCUUGUAAUAGAUAUCAUUAAUAUUUGGUAUUUAACAUUUGAAUUUUACAUGAUUUUAGUUAGUUAUUAGCCAUAUGUGUCCUGGAUAUAUUUAGAUGUAUUAAAUAAUAAUUACCAACCUGAAUUUUAAGGGUUUCUUUGGAUGCCCAAUUCGAGUCUUUUGGGUAGUUAAUGCGAUUUAGGUUGGUCUUAAAAUCCCUUCUAACCCAAUCCAAUCUAACUUAAUUACACCACUACCAAUUACCUUGAAUUACUUUGUUUAUUUUGUAGUUUUGUUACCAAUUAUAUUUUAAUAUAUUCGGGCUGUAUCAGAUUUUUAUCUAGAAAUGGAAAAAAUGAAAGCAAAAGAAGAAAAGAUUUCUAAAACAGUGGGAAUUUGGUAAAAUGCUGCCACACAAGAAGAGAACUUCUUGACUUUACUAAUUGCCCUAUGUGUAUGAUUCCAUCUCAUGUCAUAUUGUCAAUCACAGAAUGGCAUGUUUGUGCUAUUUUCUCUUUUCUUUACUACAACUUACAAGGAAAGAACAACUUUUUUUUUAGCAAAGCUAUUAAAAGUGGGGAUGAAGCUAUAGAAACUAGGAGGAGUCAUUUUCCAAUAAACUUUCAUGAGUUUUAUUUAUUUAAUUAUUUAUGUAUACUGUUUCUUGUGCAGUGGUGCGCUGACACAUUCUGUGAAAGCACUUGAUAUCUCCUUGAAGAUAGACACAGAAUUGGCCCUUCAAGUUGGAAGACGUACAAAACGAGCUUGAUUGAUGAUUCAUUCUUGUAUUUGUAUUUGGUAAAAUAUUUAUCCACUCUAACUUUACAACUGUCACCCUUUUUUCUUUUUCUUUUUUUUUAUUGGAAUUGCAAAUUUGGUUCAUAGUUUGAUAAAUUAUCUUAGGUAGUAUCUAUCGCUGGUGGUUGAUACUACGGGUGAAGUUACCCAUCUAUCUUUUAAGGAGUACUAAGUUCCUUUGAUUUUUCAUGAAGUUUUAUCAAUUAGUCUCAAUGUUUAGUUAAUCCAAUUUGCAACUUCAUUGUUGCAACUUCUACAAACUAUUCAUGUUUAGUUAAUCCACUCACUAUUUUAAUAGAAAAUGAAAUAUUAAAUCUUCUUAAUGGCGAUAAUCACUUUUUGCAAAAUUAAGUUUAUUGAGUGCAGAAAUUAACCGUGGGAUCACAUCUUCAUAACUCAAAAAAUUGAAAAAACAUCUAAGCUCACUUAAUGUACAAAUUGUAUCACUUUUUCAAGUUUAGUUUAAGAUAUAGGAAUUUUUAAAUAUAAAAAAUGAGUGAAUUUUUAAAUAUAAAUAAUUAGUCAAGUUAUACCAAAAUUCCUAUAUUUUUUCGUUGAUGUCUAUUAAUAUUUAUAACUAUUAAUAUUUAUAAGUGAUUGAAACUAUAACAAUCUAUUAGUGUCUGAUGAGGAUGAUUUCUUUCUUCUUCUUUUUUUUCUUUUUUCAUCAUGCUUCUAUGUUAUUUCUUCAAAUAAUGUUAUGUUUUCUAUUUAUAAUCCAAUUUUACAGACAUUUCUAGUUAUACUUCUAAACACCUAAAGUCACUCAAGAAGCCAAAACUCUUUUCAAAUUUGCUCAUUCUUUCAAAAUUUUACUUCCAACCAUAACAUUAAGUUAUAUAUAGUAAUUCCUCUAAAUGUUAGAAGUUAGUAAUUUUCUUCAAAGCAAUACUUGAUGAACUUUUUUCAUGUAUCACAUCAUUAUCAUCACACGCAUAAAAUAUAAAUCAAAAUAUUUUCAAAGAAAAUAAGAAUAUUGUGUAUCAAAUUAUGAGUUUAAGGGAAUAUGUGCUUUUGGUCUAAGUUUUAAAAAUAGACAUUUUUAAUCUUCUAGUUCAUAAGAAUUGACCCACUUGGUCCUUGAGUUCUCUCAAGAUACCUUUUUAGUCCAUGAAUUCUAAAAUAUAGGUUUAUAAGAUCAUAAAAGUAUUCUAUGUGAUUUUUAAAAAAUAAUUAUAUGAUAUUUAAAAUCAGAAAAAAAUAGUUUUAUGAAAGAUAUGGUCAUUAGAAAAUAUUUUUCUAAUUUAAAAUGUCAUAUAUAAAAUGAAAGUAUAAAGCUAUUUGAGAAACCUUUUAAACAUAUUUAAAAAUAUAGGGUAAAAUUUUAUAAACAUUGGAACUUAAAAGAUCUAAUUUUAAGACUUAGGGACAAAAAUGUACAUAUUUAUCCAAACAAAAAAGAUAGGUGGGAGAUGCAACUAAAAUUUUUUAUUUCUUAACAAGUUUGAACGUGAAAAAUACAUGAAUUUCAGUGCUUGGAAGUUCCUACGAAAUGUCCAAAUCAUGUGGUUGCUUUGAUUGAAGUAUAUGGUUGUAAAUAACAAAAAAAGAAGUCUUCCAUAACAUAUUUCUCUCCCCUUUCUCAACAGGCGGGCAGGUGAGACGGUUUGGGUUAAACCCACUUUUUUAGUUUUCUUUUUAUUACCCCAUGAGGAGAGAAUCACUCUUUUCUUUCACCCUAAACAAUAAAAUGAAUUUAAGUAAAAGAAAAAUAUGGGUUUUAUUUUUAGCUUUUAGUCCUUGGAAACAGUUUUUGCUUCUAUAAACCCUUCCUUAAUGCUAAUGUUAGUAGCAGCUAAGCCUCAAACUUUACAUCAUAUCUUUAUCUAUUAUUUAUUUGUUUAUUUCUACCAAAAAGUUGUUUCCUUUUUGCCACCCCCUCCCUAUCCUCAAUACUUUCUCCCCUUUGUGUUUGUUUCUUUUGUGAUUCUUUCCGACCAAUGCUCUUUGAAUGCCUUUCUCUCUAUCUUUUCCCUUAAAUGCAAAUGCCAAAUGCAAUGUUAGAAGGCUUACACACGAGCCUCUUGCUUUUUGUGUACAUUACUUUACUUACACAUCUGAAUUUUAUACGCCUAAGAUGUGUUGACCUCCCAUUUUCUAGGUUUUCUUUUGGGUUUAUGGCUGCUUUUAUAAAUUGUUAGUAUUUAUUUGUGCACAAUAUAUUUUUCUAAGCUACCUUUUUCGUUCCACUUUUAAUAAAUUAGUGAUGUCACUCCUUCGCUUAUUACUGUGCCAAAAUGUUGAUUUGUGUUAAAUCUAUUGGUGAUGAGUUUAGUAAGCAUUUGAUGUGAUAAUUUUAUAAUGUGUUAACCAUCAAUUGGCUGUUGUAUUUGAAGUGGAAUAGGCCACUUUUUUAAUUGGAUAAACACUUGUUUUUUUUCUUCUUCUUAUAUUGGUUCAUUUUCACAUAUUACACUUUCAUUUCCUAAAUUCAAAGUCUGGUUUCAAUGUGAUUUCCAUGUUUUGAAAUUUAUACUUUUAAUCUCAUUUUUUUACUAAAUAUUGACUUAAUUUUGGGAAAUUGCUAUUUAUUAAUUCAUUUUUUAAAAAAAAUUAUAAAUUAAAUAACAUCCUGUCAAUUAAUUUAGAACAGUUAAAAUUAUUUCAAUAGUGAUAAAAAGAAUGGUGAAACUUAAUAGCAAUUAAACUUAUUGAAUGAAAAAUAAACUCUAAAAUUUAUAAGUGAUAUCUUGAAGGUAAUUAAAACAAAAUUCAAAUUUUACGGUUAGAUUUCUAACAUUUUGAUAUUUUCCGACAAAAUUGAGAUUAAACUAAAAAAUGUAAUAUUUUAAAAUUAAGAACUAAAAAUGUAAUAUUAUGAAAUUCUAUACAUCAAAUGAAAACUAAGCUAAAAGCUCUUAGUGUUUGAAGGUGAAAUUACAGAUUUAAUCCUAAAAUUUUGUAAGGCUCUUAGUCAUUUUAACAUCCAGUUUGGAUUUAUUGGACAUAACACAAUGAGGUACAUCAGUAGAAGAAAGCAAACAAAUAUAUGCAUGGUGAAUAAAAAUGGAAUUAAUAAGUAGUUCCAAACAAGGGCAUAUUACAUAUGCUACUUCAUUUUGAUAAAAUGUAGAUUUUGUUUGGUCAUCCUCAUCUGUAUACCAAUCGAACCGACCAAGAUUCAUCGAAUACAUAAAAUCAUGACCAAAAAGUUAAAUUCAGAAUUUUUUGGUCAUUAUACAUUAGAAACAAAUGUACAUAUUAGAAGCUUGGGGUGGGUUGUGUAACAUGAAGAGGGUGAUGAAAAUGAAAGUUGAGGGCAAAUCUGUCAUUUAUGUUGUUGCGUUGUUGUGUGUGUGUGGGAUGGUGCCAACCAACCAACCAACCAACCAACAAACCCUUAGCUUUUAUUAUGCAUCUCAUCAGAGCCUAACAUAACAUGUUAUUUUAUUCCAUUCUCUUUUGGUGUUUUUCAUUUAUCCUUUUUCCUAUUACCAAUAAAGCAACAAUCCCUCUAAUCUUAGGGUUCCUCCCAAGUUAUUCCCCACCAAUGGUCACUGGUCACCCAUGUCCUUAACCACCACACGGCGUUCUCCAAUUGCUUCAUGUAGAGCAUCACUCACCUAAUGUCCUAGGAUUCUUUCCCCUAACUUUUUUACUACAUAAUUGAUAGUACUUCAAUAUAUACCCCUGUUAACUGUUAAGGAAGGAGUAAUUAAGUUGUUAAAGAAAUAAACAGACUUGAUAACAAAUAAUAACAUACUAACUAAACCAAUUCUUCUCUCCUAAUAUCGUUAUACUUCAAAAUGUUACCACAUUCAUUUUGUUUCAACUUCAAUCACUAAAUACUAUCCUUGAUCGAAAUUUUCUUAGAGUUAGUUGUAUUUUGCCCCCUUCUUGGCUAUGAACUUGUUUUGCUCCACAAGUUCAAAUUAGUUCUUUCCAUUUGUUUCUUGCAAUAAAGUUUCUCAAAAUUGCAGAAUUUGCUAGUUUCAAUGGUUCCACUAUCUGGGUUAGAGAAAGCUUAAAUAUUACCACAGAUGAAAAUUUUGAGUUUUUCCACAGAGAAAAACAUCUUUUUUCCUAAAACAAGUGUUGCUUACUCUCUCUACUCUACUUUCUUUGGGGGUUAAAAUCUCUGAUGCACUUUUCUCACAAAGAGAAAAAAAACUCUCAGAAAAAAAGUCUUCCUUCCUCCCUUUCUCUCUAAUAAGUUUUCUCACUUAACAUAUUCCGUCACUCAUUUUUCUUGAAACAAGAAAGUUGAGAAUAAAAUAAAAUAUUUCAAAAAAUAUCAGUUUAUAUCCUUAAAUUUUGAGAGUUAUCAGUUAAAAUUCUCAACUAAUAAAGUUGAGUUGAAGUUGAUAUAAUAAAUAAUUUAUCGGUUUUAAUUGGUAUAGGCUCAAAGUAAACAAAGCUUCCACUACUAAUGUUUCAAGCUCAUGCCCACACUUAAAUCACCAACAAAUUCAAAAGCUAAAGUUCAUGGGUUGCCGUAAAUACUUUAAUAUUUUCUCUCACUUGUAAGCUUAGAGAUUUGUAGAAAGCACAAGAAGUAGAAAUCAAGAUUACUUAGAGAUUUGUAAGCUUAGGAGUUUGUAUAUACGACCUACAAUCACUAUAAUUAAACCAAAAGUUUAAGUUGAUGGGUGAAGGUAUGAAUAUUUGACAAGUGAUAAAUAACCUAAAGUGGGAGUCCUCUCACAAGCUGCCAAGUGGUCCAUAGUUGAUACUUGAUCACACAAAAACACAGAAGCACAAAAGCAAAAAUCCAUAUUGAUUAGAAGCUCUAUGUUAUUCCUACUUGAAACUUUUCUUCUUUCCAUCAAUAAUGAAAGCAACUUUUUCCAAAUCACAGUGAUCAUAAAGAUGACGUUUAGGCCAUCUGUUUAGGCCUAUAGACAAAAUAAAGCUACAUCUUUGUAAUUGGUAACAGAAAGGGCACUAAUUAACAAAGAAACUUAUGGCAAGUAGGGAUUAGGCCAAGUCAUGUCAUUUGGGGUUUUCUAGCCGACCAAACUUCAGAAUUUAUAUGAAUUUGAUGGCCUCCCACCUUUUUCCCAAAGUUAUCAUUAUGAUGAAACCAUAAUUCUCCUAAACUUUAUUUGACAAUUUAGGAAGAUACCUUUCCUAGAUGAAAUCAUCAUAAUUAAUAAAAAAAAAUUGCUUGACUUUUUGGUUUAGAGGCUAAUUUUGUUCUAAAGUGGAGGAGAGGAAAGAAUAUUGAAUUUUCUUCUAUUAUUAGAGAUUGAUGCAAAACUCAAUCCCACAUGGGUUUAUAUUUGCAAAGGACUUUAUUCUCUAGAAUGGUAGUGCUUAAUAUUUGGGAGUAACACAAAUUGGAAAAAGUCAAAAGUACCUCUUAAAUGCUUUGGAAGAAAAGACUUCUAAUCCAAGUGCUUGAUUGAAGAGCACUAAAAAACUACUUUAAGAUUAUAAAACUAAACAUACGGUUUUGUUAUUAAUCUUUACUCUCUAAUUAUAAUGAAGGUACUUUUCCACCAGACAAAAAAAGGGCCAAACAUAUCAAUUGCUGUUUGAGAUUAUAGGUUUUUUCUAUUAGAAAAAGUAUUUGAUAUGACUAUUAAAAGAAUCAUUUAGUGAAAUAAUUUUUUUUUGUAUUACUAUUGAUUAACGGUUUCACUUAAAAACACCUUAAAAUGUUCUUUUAAGAAAUUUCAAAUGUAUUUCCGUAAUGUGACCAGACAUCACAAAAAAUUAACAAGUACUGUAAAUUAGUAAAAUGGAAGGAAAAAACAUGCAUAAUAAAUAGUCAAGAAACGAAAAAAAAACAUUAAAAAUGGGUCAAGCUCACAAUCACAUGGAGAAAAACAAUGUGGGUAUCCAAAAUUGCAAAAUUCUAUCUCAAAAAAUAAAAUAAAUAAAAAUUGCAAAAUCCAUUGGAAACACAUUUAAAUAACUCAAAAAUAUUUUUCAAGAAAAUCCCAAAGUCUAAAAAAGACGGGGUCAUGGUAUGAACUAUGUAAGGGCCAAAGUGGUUGCCAUCCUCAUUUUCCAGACAAAAACUAUCCAAAUCAUAUAUUGACUUUGGCUACCACAUCUAUCUAUAUAUAUAUAAUAUACAUUAUAAAUACAUGUCAUAUGGAAAGGAAUCUAACAUAAACAAAUGAAGAGGGCAAAGGAUUAUAAAUGGUGGGACCACAGUAGCUCUAAUUUGACAAAGAAUUCACAAUAGAAAAAUAAAACAUGUACAGUUUUGAAUACAAUUUACCCAUCAAAAAGCCAGUGACUCAAAGAAGAAGAAAAAAAAACCAUACCCUUCAAGUAUCAUGUGGAGAUGAGUCAGGCAUGAUGACUAAUCCGCCCAUGGGCGGCGCUGGCAGUACGUCUAUUUUCCCCGCCCGCCCAACCAACGCCAUUUGCAUAUAAAAGUGACGCAAACAUUUUUACAAACAAUUGGUGUGCAUUUUGGACCAUUCGCUUUGUCUACUCAUCUUCCUUCAAAAAGACCCAUUAAUAAUCAAAUCAAAACGCUGUAUUUUAAACUAAUGAAUGAAAUUUGCUGCUGAAAAACGCCAAAAAUAUAACGCAAUUGAACGAGGGGCAAAAUCAAUCGAUUCCCAAUUGAAUAAUAUUUGUUUGAAAAAGAAAAAAAGUGUUGCAGGAUCAGCUUAUCUUUCGGCGAAGCUUGUCAGCACAUACGUCCCUCUCUUGAGUGUGAAGACGUUGUUGUCUCACCAAACUAACGCCAAAAUUGAGUCUCUAUGCUUAUGUCUGUCUCCCAUCGCCCAUUGUUCAUUUCUCUCGCUUUCGCUUUUCUCUUUGGCUCUCCAUCUCACCUUUUCUUUUUUAUAUAUUAUCAUCAUUUUGGGUAAUGGCUUUUUGGAUGUAAACUUCAUUAUUAUGUUGCUGUUAAUUUAUAUAGAAAAUAGAACAUUUUAUUUCUUUUAAUUACUAUUAUACUUUUGAAAUCGAUCCAAUUAAGCAAAAAGGUAUUAAAACUCUUCAUCAACAAUCUCAUUGUCAUCCUCUUACACUGUAUAGGCAAACAAAAGUAUAACAUGCAUGAUCUAAUCUAAAACAUUCUCAUUACAACGAGAUCAAUCAAAUGAUUUAUAAGCAUUCAAAAUCAUUAGAACCAAUCAUGUAGUUUAAAUCAACAUCCACCAAAGUAUUUAGCAAUAAUACUUGACUACGUUAGCCCUAGAAAACUAAGAAAAUCGUGCAAACAUGGCUUCGAUGAGACGAAACCAAGUUUAGAAGAAUACAAAAAAAAAUACAUAGGAAAAUAAAAAAAUAAGAAAAAUAGAGAAAGUGUUAUCUAAUGAUUGUCCAAUCCCAUUUUCGAGAUGGCAUCAAAUAUCAAUCUUCGAUUGCUCUUUACAUUGUCUUCGACUCCAAAGACCUUCUGAGUUGUAGUCAAACCUCUCUCUCUCUCUCAGCUUCUAAGAGCUCAAGAAUCGAUACCCUAACUCAAAGAAACAAAAUGUGUUUACAAUGGAAUUUACUGUAGACGUCUAAGGCGAAACUGCGCAAAGAAAUAGAUGCUUGUAGCGCCAUGAUGCUAACUCACUAACUUGCUUGUUCCUCUCGGCUAUCUAGUUACGUUGAUGCUAGCAUUGAAGGGCUACUUUUUUCAUCAUUUUCGACUUUAAUUUUGUACCUCUUUUUGUGCCUUGCCACUAUUUGGAGAAUUGGACAAAACUAGCACAUUUUUUUGUUUUAUCUGUUAUGAGUAGCACGGUUUUAGAAAACUCGUAAUUUUGUUUUUUUCGAGAUCAAUCUCGGUCGCUUCCCAAAUUUAAAAAAAACUAUUUGAAUGAUUUCUCUCAAUCUUCUCUCAGCCCAGUGCAUCACCGUGAUUGAAUUUUAAUUUUAAAUAAUUGGCCUAAAAAUGACUAAUUAACCCCAAUAAAAAAUGAUUUGGUAGAGCAAGUGAUGGAGGAAAUUCCACGUUGGUCAUCUUCUAAUUUAAUUUAUGACUAAUACAUUUUUCUUAAAAGGACUAAAAAGUGUCUAUAUCUUAGUUUUUAGUUUCCCUUUUAGCUUUCAUUUUUAAAUUUAGGGACAUCUCGAGGCAACCUUAGCCCGAAGUCAUAUUACAUGAUAACUUUGUCCUUUAAUUCAAGCCCAUCUUGAGACAACUUUGUCCUGGGAUAAUUGAUAUAAUUGCUUAAAUUUUUCAACUCGGGGCAUCUGGGGGCAUAUCUCGAGGCAACCUUAGUGUGAGAUCAUACUACAUGAUGCUUAUGUUUUUUAGCCCGAUGUAUCUUGAGGCAACCUUAGCUCGAGAUUAUACUUUGUAAUGCUUAUAUUUUUUAGCUUGGGGUCAUCUCAAGGCAACUUUGGCCUAGGAUCGUUGACAUAGUUGCUUAAACUUUUUAGCUCAGUGCAUCUUGGGGCAGUGAUGUAUGGGAGCAAUUAGCCUAUAUACUUCAAGAGAGUAUGAUUUAAAGUAGUACCAUGUUGAAAUUUAUGUGUUCUAAAUUCUCAUAAUUUAUUAGUUGAUUAGUUUAAUUAUUGAUUAUGCAAUAUUAAUUUGUGUAUUAAUUACAAAAAUCCAAGGUUAUUGUAUAAUCUCGGAUCAAAUAAGACUUUAGAGCACAUAAAUCACAAUAGACCCACAAUGGAAAAUACAAAAAAUGUCUCAGUCAACACAUGAUUAGUUGGCCACUCACGCACGUAAUAUAUUUGGUACGUGAUCGUUUAGAUUUAGCUAGAUUUGGUACUAGAUCAUUUCGAUUUGGCUAGAUUUAGUUACAUGAUCGUUUAGAUUUGGCUAUCCAAAUCUAAACAAUUUUUUUAAAGAUUGUUUGAUACAUGAUCGUUUAGAUUUGACUACAUGAUCGUCGUUUAACAAUUUUUUUAAAGAUUGUUUGAUACAUGAUCGUUAGAUUUGACUACAUGAUCGUCGUUUAGGUUUGGCUACCCAAAUCUAAAUGAAUUUUUUUCAAGAUUGUUUGGUAUACAAUCGUUUAGGUUUGCCAAAUCUAAACAACUAUGUACCAAAUCUAAACGAUCAUGUACCAAUAUCCCAACAAAUUUUUUCAAGAUAUUUUAUAUUUGGUACACGAUCUUGAACCAAAUUUUUUUUCUUUCAGAGUGUUAUUUGGUUCAAGAUCGUGUACCAAAUAACACUUUGAAAGAAAAAAAAAAAUUAUGAUUGAUUGAAAAUAAAGAUCAUAAUUUCAAAAAAAUGUAAAAGAAAAAUUAUAGAAGAAGAGAAGAAAGAAGAUGGAAAGGAAAGACAAACUUGGAAUAUUUAAGAAAAUGGCCUACUUCAUGGGCUUUUUGAUUUUGUUACACCGGCCAUAAAUUUUUUGGUGUUUUGUUAUAUUUAUGAAAAUUAACCUUAUUAUUAUUAUUUUUUAUAUUUAAAAAGGAUCCUCGAUCCUCGUGCAAGAAUAUUCAUCAUCCUCUUCCUCCUUCACUUUUGAAACCCUAAUACAACCGUCCUAGCUCCUUCACCAUAUGUUUCGACGUCGUCCACCGCUCAUUGUUACUCCUCUCAAACGAAGUUGUCGGUAGUCAAGCAUCUGUUAUGCCCACCAAUCCACCCCAUUUUCUUUCAUUAUCGUGAGUCGAGUUUGCAUUCAAGCACUAUCUUUGCACACCAUUGUCUGUGACGUCCUCCUUUUCAUCACAUCCAAACCUCACUAAGCCACCUUUAGUCGUCCCUCGAUCUCACCCUCGUCGUUUCCUCAACCUCCACAUCAGAGGCGUCCCAAGCUUUUACUCGAGCCACUUAAGUCGAUUUGUUCCCUUCCCCAAGCCAAGACACAAGCUAGCUUCUUACCCUUUUCUUGAGCCAUUUAUCCAUUUGGCCACUUCGGUAUUUUUCUUAGUGAGUUUUAAUUGGAUUUUAGGUAUGCCCAUCAAAUAUUAGUUUUUGGUCUAAGUAAAUUAAUUUUUUGGAUUGAGUUAAAAUAUUUUCUUAAAGUUUGAUUAUUUUUUCCUUGAAGGGUAAAUGGCUAAAUUGGAAGAAUUAAUCUAUGAAAUUUUCUAAUUCAAGGUUGAUUUGGUUUCAACCUCAACUUUGGGUAAGUUGGAAAUCUAAGAUAAAUAAUUGGAUGAUUUGGUUGAUAAAAUUAUUAAUUUAAUAUUUUUUAUGUUUAGGAUUGGUUUAUUUGGAAAGUUAUUGACUGUUAACUAGGAAGUAAAUUUUAAGCUAAUCUCUCAAGAAAGAGAUUUUACUACUAGACAUUCGAACAUGAAUUUAAGAGCUUGCAUGUAUUUACUGUUAUGCAUUGAUGGUAGCUAAUGCAUAAUGUGAUGCUAUAGAUGAUGAUUGAUAUUAUGUUGAUGAUUAUGCAUGAUAUAUUAGUCACAUGAUUAAAGACUUUAUGAUUGAUAUUCAUGUCAUGUUAUGAUGUCUAUAAUGUGGCUACAUGCUAUGGAUUAUGGUGUUCUAUUAACUUUGACCAUUAGGAUUGUACCUACAUGUUUAGUGUCCCUCGGUAUCACCAUUUUUUGACAAAUUUAUGAUUGUGUGUGUUUGACAGGACCACAAGUUUAUCAUGCCAUGUUUUUUUAGUGGUUUGACGGGAUCACUUACAACCUAAUAUCGUAGGUGUUCUUUAAUUAAUAUUUCAGGCAAAGGUAGAGGUAGAGGAAAGCUGAAAGAAGACAAGAAGGGUUUGUGACUUGCUUUGGGGGAAUUAUGUUGUUUCAACCUUUCAUGUUUUCAGUAUUUUUAUUUUUAGUAUUUUUAUUGAAAUUUAUCGAAACUCGUUAAAUAUUUUUAUGUUAUUUUCUUUUAAAGUGAGAUAAGGUCGGAACUAAGACUAUGUUUACCUAGCAGUUAUUUCUAUUUUUUCAAAUUAUGAUUUAUAAAUGAGUAUUUGAAAUUAUUUAUUUAAGAAUUUAGUUUUCCUCUUUCUCUUUUAAAUGCAAAAAUUGUUAUUUCUUUUAAUAGUAAUGAGUUGGGUUGUUACAGAAUUAACCUACUAAUCAUGAUCUUAUCAUAUGGACACGAAUAUAUCUAUAUUGUGAGGAGUGCAACUAGAGGACUUGUGGAAUGACCCGUUAGUUAAUAAAUGUUGAUUAGCUCGAUCUAAAAGGGUUUAACUAGUUAAUCUCAGUUAAUUGGUGCCUAUGAUCUAUAGGUCCAUUAGGUUCUCAUGCUAGCUCAUAUGGAAUUAUUAACUUAUAACAGUAUGUUGGAUUAGAUCGAAUAGUUUGAAUUGGGUAAAGAGAGAGAAACUAACAAGUAUAUAUGAUAUAGCGGUCGGUUAUUAGUUUUGAUAUAGUGCUUUAUAUUUAAAUAUAAUUUAAGUAUGAAAAAUAUGAAUGCAAAUACAUAUGCAGAAGCUCGAACAUGAUGGAAAUGGUCAAAGUUGUAAUGUAAGACACUAAUCCAAAAAAGAUGUCCUAUUAAGGAAAGCCUUGUUAGAAAGUUGUUUCAGAUAAGUGUCGAGACAUCCUACAAGGAACGAUACAAAGAGAAAAGCGUAAGACAGAAGUCCUAUCAUAGGAAACUGAGUAACACGAUAGGAAUAACUGACGAGAAGGCAAUGCGCUGAGCGAGGCAUUGGUAGGGUACCGCAAGAAGUAUUUGUGUCUAAGAGAUUGAGACGAGGAAGUAAAAGUCUUGUCAUUUAACACAUUGUAGGAAAGGAAACGAGGUAGCUUCUUUGAGAAGAGAACGAGAAGAGUUAGACAUUCAAGAAUUUGGCUUCCGAAUGAGAUAAGGUGUUCAUCUCAAGGGAAAGUCAAAUCGCCGCUGAGAAUAGACUACGUGUAGAGUUUGGAUUGGUAGAAUAAUGUGAUGGGUGCUAAGACAACACGUGUAAAGCGCAAAAGUGACCCUUGGAUGUGAAAGGUCUCUAUAAAUAGGGUCAAAAGCCAAAAGAAAAAGGAAGUUUUUUCUAAACAGAAAAGUGGUAUCCGAUAAAAGUAAGAGGAAAAAGUUCUGAAUGCUGAAUAAACGAUUCCACCAACUGUUAGACGUGAAGAGGAAGCUAAAAGCCGAGAAGGAAGAAGUCAAGGCUAAGUAUUUUGAGUGAGUGACAAAACGAUUUACAAGCUUGUUGUGUAUACUACAUUGUUUGUUUUUACAAGCUUCGUUUGAAUGUAAUAAUGUAGUUUAUUAUCUUUCUGUGAAUGACCAAAUAUGUUUUAUGAGUCUUAUUUCUGUGACUGAAAAGAUACAUUUCAUAAAUAUUUUCUAGAAAUAGGUGAAAGGCUAAAUGUUUUCUACAAGCAUUGUUAAAUGUUUUCUACGAGCACUCUUUGAAAGAUGGUAAAAUGUGAUUUAUAAAUGGUGGUGAUUAGUUAUUCAAUUUUUGGUAUGAUUUGUAAAACCACUAGUUGAUCUUUGCUUUAAAAAGUGAUGUUUUAUGCAUGAUGUAUAUGUUGAGUAUUCUUUUCUCUAUGUUGAUGAUCACGAAAUACCUUAUUAAUUGUGCUAAUAUGUGCUAUGAGGAAGCAGUGGUACUAUGUCAUAUGGUUGUGGCUUGAUCUAUUGCACAAUGUUGAAUGGAAUUCUGGAUAACUCGUGUAAUACUAGCGAGAGCAAAUCCUAGGUCAGGGAAGGGAGAACUCCUAGAUCAGGGUGAGCUAUUAGAAAGAGGUGACGAGAUGUUGUUGUAUAUCCCAGGUAAUUCGUGUGAUACUGGCGAGAGUGAAUCUCAAGUCUAAGCGAUGGAGAUUCCCAGGUCUCAUAAUGGGCUUAUUAUGAACUAAUUGUAGCGUGUGAGAAAGACAUUGAUGAGACGUUGGUGGAGUGUAACUCCCAAGUUUAAGAAUGUGAAUGUGGCGAGAUGUUGUUGGAUAUCCCAAAUAACUCGCUUGGUCAUACUGAUGCGAACGAAUCCCAGGUCAGUGAGAGAAGAUUCCUAGAUCUCAUAAUGAACUUGUGAUUGUGAUUGUUGUAUGGAUUGGUAACUCACCUCGUGGUUAUUGAUUUGUAGUGGUUAUGCGACUGCGUUGAUUGUUUGUUGUGACGAACUUUAUGUGUUAUGGCUUACUAUUUAUUAAUCUGUGGAUUCCUUGUGAUUUUCCAAAAGGUUUUUCUUAAAACCAGCUAUGUGAAACCCUAAAUUUUUGGAUGCUUGGAGUCUAAUAAGGAUAAGAGAAAAUGAGAUUUAAGGGAUUAAGAAAGUUAAAUUCUUUGAAAAAGUUAAAGAUUAUGUUUAAGUCAGAGUUAAGAAAAAUUGGAAAGAUUGGCUAAGUAUCAAAGAAUGGCACUUUGCGCGUUUAGAGGCUAGUGUGGACGGUCAAUAGGCCAUAUAACCUCUAAAAAGUGUUUUUUGGGCAGCCAAGGGAAAGAAAAGAACCUCUAAAAAGGUUAUUUGACAUUUUAGGCAUGUGUUAAGUGAGAAGAUAUAGAGGUAAUCUAAUUUAAGGGCUAGGUGAGAAUAAUAGUUUGAGAGGUUAUUUGGACGUUUUGUGUAAGCAAGAAAGCUUGGUUAGAGGUUAGUCGGAUAAAACUUGCGACAAUGCAAGAGAGGCUAGUUGGCACUUGGUCUUGGUGUUUUGGACUUGUCAAGGGGGUUGGGCGUUUUGGUUUGGCAUUUUGAAGAAAGGCUAGCGAGAUGAACUAAGAGGUUAGCUAUGCAUUUUGGACAUGCAUGUGGCAAACUUAAAGGAAGCGGUUUAAAGAUAAUCCAAGUGUCUUCAUAUUAUUAACAUGCAUUUUGAGGUAGAAAGAUAGUUUGAGGUGUCUUAAGGAGAUGGUGGAUUAAGCAAGGUUGAGGUGUCAAGACAAUUUUGACGCAAUGCUUUUUAUAAUAGCUAACUGCAGUAUUGAAUUUCUCAUAAUUUACUCGUGAAAAAUUGUUCAAAUUGGCCUUGAAAGUUCAAAAUUUUUGUCUACUUUGUGAGUGAGGGUUGCUGUUCAUUUUGGAUUCAAGGAGGUUUGCGUUUUGAUCAAGAGAAGGCGAGAAGAUCAUUUCUAAGGUGAUUCUGAGCAAAGUGCACUUCCUGAAGACUAUAGAAUUUAUUACUUGGAAUGUUCCUUCGAAACUUUGAAAAAGAAAGCUAAGACAAUUUAGAACAACGUUAUAGAAGGAAGUUUUAUGAACAGAUUUAUGGAUGUUAAGUUAUGACCUUUCGAAGUCAGGUCAUAUAUUCUAAAUGAAAUUGAAGUUGUGAUUUGUAGGUCAAUGUUGUGCAUGCUAGGCAAGAUGGGCUUGAUGUUUGGUCAUAGAGGUUAUUUUGGGUCAAUUUGCAUGCACAUGACAAAGUCAUGGCACAACCGAGCGACAAGGCACGUGCUCAAGCUACGUGUAUACUAUGCCUAAAGAGGUUAGAGUGACACAUGUUGUGUGAGGAGCACCAACGUGCGCCAUGCAUGCAAGGGGCACUAGGUAGGCAGGAACCAUGCGUGCAGUGUCACAGUCAUACUUGUCUAGAGCGUUGUUUACCUAUGGUUGUAUGCCCAAAUAUCCUCGAUUUAUCUUAUCUUUAUGUCUUGUAUUUAGUUUAGCUAGUUGUUUUCCUUUUUAAGUCAUAAAGCUUGGGUGUGAUGUUUUGGCAUUUUCAUAUGCAAGCCUACCAGAGCUGAAAAUGUUCAAAAUGUAUGAUAGGGGAGGCAUAGUAGUUGAAUCCCCAUCCAAGCAAUGUCGCACUCUUUGCAAGCAAACCUUUUUCCUUGCAACUGACAGUCUUCAUUGCAUAUUGUAACGUCAAUUUCAAUGUAUUUAUUUCUUUCUCGCGUUUCAUAAACAAUUUUCUCAAGAACGCGAACGAAGGUUGCAUCAUACUCUUAGAUUAUCUAUGACUUUUGAAUUUUGAUAGGUUGACUUGUUCAUCGAAUUUGAACAAGUGUCACACAAUCGUUCGCCCCGAGUUUGAAAGGCUGUGAUCCUCCCUAUGCUAAGAAGGGUCCUCAAGCUCGCAACUUUACCAAUAAGUGAAAGUGAAAAUCAUAUAUCGCUUGGGCCUGUCUAAAAGAAGCCUCAAAGCAACUGAAAAGGUGGGCAGAUAAGAAGUUUCGCCCUCUAGACUUUCAUGCGGAAGAUUAGGUCCUCGUUAAGCUGUGGUCUGAAUAGACUUGGUUUUGAAGAUAUAGAAACCACGACCUCGAGAGAAGAUACGAGAGACUGGCAGAAGUGGAAGAAGUCUUGUUGAGAGAAAUAAUUUGAGGAUGUACUAGAGCUAGGCGAGCAAGUGUGGUAUUUAGGCACUAAGAAGUGUCCACUUUAAUUAGAAGAUGGUUAAGUAAACUCUAUCACAUCAAGAAUUACCGCAUUACUUAAUCACCUACAACGUGGCAACCUUUCUUCUCAUUUCUUUAAUGCAAGUUAGUUCACUCUCCAUAUGUCCACGAUUCCAUGUCACCUUCUACAGAAUCUCUAGCGUAAAUAGUAUAUUUAAUAAUCAUACAUACUCUAACUUUAUAUUGUAUGGAUAUUGUAUAUCGCCUAGAUGAGAAGUGGACUUUAUAACUAAAUCUUGAUAGAAAUUCUUUGUGUUUGAUCCUGGCUUACCCAGAAAAUCUCUUGUUUCGCUCACACUUGGGCAAGCAAGAGAAAAACUUGCACUACAUGCAAAUCAUUAAGAAAGUCAGCAAAGCAUAGAUAGUAGAUGAUGGAAACUGUAGACAUGCAGCAUAAUAAAGAUCGUAUUUUACUCUAAUUACAACUAAACACUUCAGUGAUUAACAUGCAUUACAACCCUUAAAUGAAACAAAAUACAGUUAAUAGAAAAACUCACAUUUGAUGCUUUUCUAUUAUUGUAAUCUUCUCACAUGCUCUUCACAAUCUCCUCACAAAAUCAAAGCCAGAUUAGAAAGAAACAACACAUCUAGGAUGACUGUGCAGGGUAAUAAUUGCGACAAGGCCCCAAUCAUUAACGUUCGAGAAUCUAAACGCAAGGAUGCUUUUGUAACAAAUCACUUUCCUUAACCAUUUUACAAAUGUACCACUUUUGUAUUUAUUGAUUUCUUUUAGUUAUGUCUUUUACUGCCUUCUUUUAUAGCUUUCUAGUUUAGAAGUUUUUGAAAAUUUAGACGAAGAAAGAAUAAGGUUACGCAAUAAGACCACUAUGCGAGCUUGGGUUAAGGUUAAAACGCAUCACUCGUUAUGGUUUUCUUGCGAAGCUUAUUGGGAAAAGAAAAGCCCAUGAGUUAUUUUAGGGUUUCAGGAAUUCAAAACGUCAAUUUCAAUUUAAAAAAGAAGGAAUGAUUAGUCACCGCUUAGGAAAUCCAAACGAUGAUGUCAGGCGUCCUAUCACAAUUAAAGCGCAGGACGCUAACUGACACGGUAACCCACCCUUAACCAUAGUUGAUCAUCUCUUUAAAAACCCACAUAAAUCCUAAUAUACACUUUUUUGUCGCUUCCACCAUUUGAAGGCCUAAGCUCUCCAUCCUUUGAUCAUCACUUUCGAUGAAGUUUCAAGUAAUUCCCUUUCUUAAUCUUUUACAUUAGACUUAAUCUAUAUAUUUUCUUGUCCAAAUGGCCGAAAAGAGGACCAUCUGCCAAGCUAUUAAGAAGUAUUUGACUUCCAAGCCUAGCAAAUCCCAAGAAUAAAUUAAGCAAGUCCAUUCUGAUGGUCCUAUGUCGGAACAAGCACAACCCAACUUCAUGACCAAAGCUUUUGAGAAAAUUUCUAAGGGAACAAUUGAUCCAACCCUGUUUCAACACAAAGGAGUUGGUAAUGAAGGGCAAGAUAAUGUUGCAUUGACGCCAUUGAUAAUCAAUGGGGUAGAAGUAAAGUUGCAUGAAUCUGACUUGACAACCUAUUGGCGAUGGUUGAAGAAACAAAAAAGGCACAGGAAGAGCAAGAAAAGAAAGAAAAAGAAGAGAAUGAAGAACCUGAAAGAAAAGAGAAAUAAAAGAGAGGGAGGAUGAGGAAGAAAGACUUAAAAGGGAGAAAAUGGAAAAACAAGGCAAGAAAGAUAAAGAGACAUCAUCAUCUCCCAUCAUCCUAACUAAGUUUGAGAGGGUCACAAAAAAGGUCCAAGAGAAAAAAAGGAAAGAUGGCAUAUGGCCUCUUUAAACUUAAGGUCACAGUGUAGGGUGUUAAGGCCCUCGCACAAGCGAAGAAGGAAACAAAGUUAAAGGAGCGGAAAGAGCUCCUUAACAAAGUAGAAAAAGUAACCCUCUCCGUGAAGAAGGGUAAGGCAAAGAAAACUCAUAGUGAAGAGUACGACAAGGAGAUGGAAAAAGAAUUAGAGGAUGAAAGUCCCUUAGAUGACGAAGUGGCCAAACCUUCAAAGAAGAAGAAGGUCACAAUAAAGAAGAAGGUUUUGAACAUGCAAUUCGUCGAAAGGCAAGAAAGGUUCUCAAAGUGAAGUUGUUGAAGAAGAAGAAGAGACCAAGAAAGUGAGAUGGAGGGGACCAUUUCUGUCAAUGAAGUAAGCAAACAAUUUAAGAUAGAGAAGGAGCUCUAUCCAUUCUAAGGCAUUUUGCCAGAGUGUUGGGAUUUAUGUCCUAAAACUCGUAGAUAGUAAAUAUAAUCCAUUGAUCGUUAUUUAUUAAUAAAGUGUUAUUAUUAUAAUUUCAAUAAAUGUUAUUAAUUACAUUAUUAGUUUUGUCUUAAUAAACUAACAUCCUAAGUUGUUUGAUGAGUCUUGAAUAGUAUGUAGAGACAUACAAGGAUCAAUGUUCAAGAUUAGCUUAAAUGGUUUAUAGUAUAGGGAUAACGUUGGGUGCUUUAUCCUGGUAACACUAUGGAUAUAGAUCACUUUGUAUUUGAUACAAGCCUAAUGAUCCAACGUGUUCGUGUAGGUGACAUGUGAGUGAUGGUAUCCUAUGCAAUGAGUUUGCAUAAAACCGGACCACGAAAUAGUAACCACUAGAUGUAACUUCGUUAACUAGUUAGGUUUCUAUUUCAUUAGGAUGACCUAGGUAACUUAGUCUUAAUCCUGAGUGUAUCAUUAGCUCCUAUUCGUGAGGGAUUUUUCUUUGAUUUAUACAGGUGAGAGUGACCAGAUUGUCUACUCAAUAUGCUUAUCAUUUUGGAGACAAGACCGAGUUGAGAGUUGGAAACGUAAUUACACAAGAUGAAAUUCACUCAUUCUGUACUUUAAGGUAAGUAGAUGAGUGUUCUCUUAAAUGGUGUCUUCCAGACUUGAACAAAGGCCUGUACCCUCUCCAUGGCAUGAUAAAUGUUUAUGUUUAUUAGUUGGACCAUAAACAGGUUGUUCAUUAGAAAAACACUAGUCUUUACGGACUAGAGAUAACCCAGGGAUAAAACGAUAAUUUGACUCAAUUGGUGUUACAAACACUCUUGAAGGAUUAACUCACUGUUAUUGGUCUACAUCUGUGAGCACAAAAAUAUAUCUACAGUGAGAAAAGUUCAGCUGUGAGUCUUUAGUCGAGUGUACAUACAAUUAACGAAUAUUGAUCAAUGUGGUUAAUUAGUUUAGUCAAUCAAUCUCAUAUCAUUGUAGCUUUUGAUCUAUAGGUCCAUUAGGUCCCUUCCUAGCUCAUAAAAGGGUAAUGAGAUUUAUUUAUAUUAGUUGUAUUUCGAAAUGUUCAAAUUUACUUUGGGAAUUAGUAUAAUGUAUGGUGAUACAUUAUAAUAUAAAGUUUAUAUUUUAAUCAAACUUUAUUAUAUAAAAUUAAUUUUGGAUAUGAUUCAAAAAUACUUUACGAGAGAUAAAAUACUUGAAUAAAUUCAAAUAUUAAUUUAAUGUGAAUUGGAUUCAUAUUAAAAUUAUUAGUUAUGAGAUAAAUUUAUAUUUGAAUGUGAUUCAAAAUUAAUUUAAGUUAAAUGUAAGAUAUUUAAUUUAGCUAUUAAUUAAAAUUAAUUGAUUAAUAGUUUUAGUUUGAUUUGAUUUAAUUAAAUUAAUUUAAAACGGUAAGAUAUUGGAGAGAUAUUCAUUAAAUAUGAUUUAAAUGAAAUAUUAAUUAAAUAUGAUUUAAUUAAUUAUUAAUUGAUUAAUUAAUUAAUUAGUAGAUUUGAAAUUUAUAUUAAUUUAAUAUUUUUUAAGUUAAUAGAAUUUCAUGAUUCUCUCUUAUUUCCUCAAUGAAAGAGAGCUAUAAAUAUGCAGAAGAAAAACAGUGUUUCUUAACAAAAUGAAGUCAAUGUUUUUGCUCUCUGCAAAAUAGUUUCUCUUUAAACCUUUCUUUUUCUCAUCCCAAUUGGUUCCCACAAACCAAUCUCAUCCCAGAGGAUAGGAAGGUCUCCGAGAGGUGGUGUCUCAAUUAGAAAUUUAGUAGAUUCAGAGGUGUCAAAUUAAGUAAGUUUUUCAUUCUCUGUAUCUUUUAAUUUGGAAGCAUGCUUAGCCUUUUAGAAUUAUGUUUAAAAAUGUUGUCAGUGUAUUGGUAUUUUGGGAUUUUCAAAUUAAUUUUAAGGAAUGGUUCUGUAAAAUCUUUUGCUUCCACAGACUUUAAUCCCUUCAUAGAGUUCUUGUUAUCAUCCAUCCGAGCAUUCAACUAAAGAAUUUUUUUUGAAGAGGUGACCGCGAUAAGGGCUGACGUAGUGAAUCUAUUCUACAAGGGACUUAUCUGUUAAGAAAAACAUUAUACACUAGUUAAAAGAAAAAUAGUUUUUUUUAGCCAGAUACAAUCAACGCAUUAUACAGAUUGGAUGAUAAUGCGAUUGAGCACGCCAUCUUUAAGAACCUAACACAGUAGGACAUAAAAGACGCGUUGAAAAGAAUAGCUUGGUCAGACACUAAGUGUGACAGAACUCCAAUUGAAAAGUACCAACUCUUCCCACACAACUUGAAUACCGUAGCCAGUUUUUGGCUUCUAUUUAUGAAGAAGAAGAUCAUUCCUACGCGCCAUGAUAGCACCAUCUCAAUAGACAAGGCAAUGCUCAACUACUACAUUAUGAAGGUGUUGGGUUUUAUGUUCUAAAACUCGUAGAUAGUAAAUAUAAUACAUUAACCGUUAUUAAUAAAGUGUUAAUAUUAACAUUAUUAACAAAGUGUUAUUAUUAACGUUAUUAAUAAAGUGUUAUUAUUUAAUUUCAAUAAAUGUAAUUGAUUAUAUUUUUAGUUUUGUCUUAAUAACCUAAAUCUAAUAAACUAACAUCAUAAGUUGUUUGAUGAGUUUUGAACAGUAUGUAAGAGACAUACAUGGAUCAAUGUUCGAGAUACAACUUAGAGGGUCUAUACUAUAGAGACAAAGUUGGGUACCUUAUCCUGGUAACACUAUAGAUACGACUCACUUUGUAUUUGAUACAAAUGCAAUGAUCUAACGCAUUUAUGUAGGUGACAUGCGAGUAAGGGUAUCCUAUGCAAUGAAUUUGCAUAAGAUCGGACCACAAAACAGUAACCACUAAAUGUAACUCUGUUAACUAGUUGGGUUUCUAUUUCAUUAGGGUGAUCUAGAUAACUUAAUCUUAAUCCUGAAUUUAUUAUGAACUCUUGUUCGCGAGGGAUUCUCCUUUGAUUUGUAUGGGUGAGAGUGGCUAGAUCGUCGACUCAAUAUGCUUAUCAUUUUGGGGACAAGACCGAGUGGAAAGUUGAGAACAUAAUCACAUAAGAUGAAUUUUACUCCUUCUUGACUUUAGGGUAAGUAGAUGAGUGUUCCCUUCAAUGGUGUCUCCAAAACUUAAACAAAUGGCCCUACCCUCUCUAUGACACGAGAUUGAGUUUAUGUUUAGUGGUUGGACCAUAAACAUAUUGUCCAUUAGAGGAGCACUGAUAUUUAAGGACUAGAAGUAAACUAUGGGUAAAAUAAUAAUUUGACCCAGCUGGUGUUACAAACAUUUGUGAAGGAUUAACUUACUAUUAUUGGUCUAUAUUUAUGGACACAUAAAUACAUCUACAGUGAGAAGAGUUUAGUUGUGAGUCAUUAGUGGAGUGUACACACAAUUAACGAAUAUUAAUUAAUGUGAUUAAUGAGUUUAACCAAUUAAUCUCAUAUCAUUGCAGCUUCUGAUUUGUAGGUCCAUUAGGUCCUCUUCUAUUUGAAAUAUUCAAAUUUACUUUGGAAAUUAAUAUAAUGUACGUUAUACAUUAUAAUAAGUUAAAUUGUAUUGUACAAAUUUAUUUUUGUAUGUGAUUCAAAAUUAAUUUAUGAGAGAUAAAAUAUUUAAAUGAGUUCAAAUAUUAAUUGAAUGUGAAUUAGAUUCAUAUUAAAACUAUAGGUUAAAAUUUAAUAUGUAUAUGAUACACAUUAAAACUAUAAGAUAUGAGAUAAAUUUAUAUUUAAAUAUGAUAUUUAAUUUAGAAAUUAAUUAAUAGUUUUGUUUGAUUUGAUUUGAUUAAAUUAAUUAAAUUAAAACUAUAGACUAUGUGAGAGAUAUUCAUUAAAUAUGAUUUAAAUGAAAUAUUAAUCAAAUAUGAUCUAAUUAAUUUAAUUUAAUUAUUUAUUUUAAUAUUAAUAUUAAUUUAUUAAAUUAAUAAGGAACGCGUUCCUUUAUUCUCUCAACUUUUCUCUUCUUUGGAGUUAUCGCCAGGCAAAAAAAUGCAGCCUUUCUCUCUGGAUUCUCAGUAUCUGCCUCUGUGAAUUCUCUUAAGGAAGAAAAAUUCUCUCUAAAAAAAUUCUUUUCCAAUUUUAGGUCCCACAAACCAAAUCUCUAGCUUAGAGAAUAAGAAUGUCUCCAAGUGGUGGUGCUUCAACAAUUUGGAGUUUUAGUAGAUAGAGAGGCAUCAAUGUGAGUAAGUAUGUUUCUCUUCUUUGUAAUUUUCUUUUAAAUUAUAAAGCAUGUUUAGCCUUUAAGCCUUAUAAAAAUUUCUUUUUGUAAUUGUUUUCAAUAUACUGGUAUUUUUAGUUUUCAAUUAAUUUUAGUUUCAAUUGGUUCUGUAAAAUCUUCCGCCGCAAAGGGCUCUUAUCCCUUCAGGAAAAUAUUUCAGUGAACGUGACGAAAUUAUUUGUGAGCACAUCCUCGUGUGGGUCAAGCAUCCUCGUGGCAUGAGACCAUUUCCACAUUUAAUUAAACGAUUGUGCUUAAAGGCAUGCCCGACUUUAGAAAAACUCUCCAAGACAGUGGUGAAGGAUGUGGGUUGCGUACUGUAUCCAAUCUUCUUCGUGUAAUCAAUCUCCACUUAAGCAAAGCGAAAGACAAACGCCUCAAGACCAAGAAAGAGGGAAAAGUAGAGGAAGUUAAUGAAGUGGAGUCUAAAGAAGAAGAAGAAGAAGAAGAAGAAAUGGAGGAUGAAAAGCAAACCCCACUUAAACGCAAGAGAAAAGGCAAGGACGAGACUUUAGGAUCAAGAAAGAAAGUUAGGAAACUUGAAACCAAUGACUCUAAGGAUCCUUCAUAUCUUGUAGUCAUCAUAGUGCCAGAUGACCAAAUGCCUAAGAAAAUCAUCUCACCGUCGCCAUCCAAAACCCUCAAGCCUAAUAAAUCCAAAACCACCACUUCACCGUCUAAAGUGUGAGACCCAUACCUAAAUCAUAAAGACUAAAAGUUGAUGAAGUAUUUGAAGAAGGCGUUUUGAGUAAAACUGGGUGAUAAAAAGUUGGUGUUAAGAUAGUUCGCGAGGAAAUAAGGUGGUUUGAUAGGAAUUUUGGUGUUUAAGUGUUGUUAGGCUUUUGAAGUUCUUCCCGAGAUGAAAACUAGGUAAUGAAGAGUAAGGAAACUUCUAGGAAAUUUCCUAAGAUUACUUCAUGGGUUUACUUGUAAGGUUAAAAGUUAAGCAUGUUUAAGAUAAACAUGGAACUUACACGUGUGUCACUAAGAGUAGGAGCUGGCGAAUUCUUAAGAGUUUAAGGAUGAAUAAUUUGAUUUAGAGUUAGUAUAAAGAGAGGAAGUAGAUAGAUUAUUAAGAGACUUUGCUCUAAGAAAUUGUAAGGAAACUAAGUGCUAAGUUGCUUCUAGGCGAGAAGAAGAGGAAAAAGAGAGUCGAAGCCAGACAUUCUAUACAUUAAGGAAAACCAAGUUGUUGUGAGUGGUUUUCAUUUUGAAAGAUUUUGUUUAUGUUAAAAAGUUUUCUUUAAAGUUCUUACUGCUUUGAAAUGAUGUUUAAUAUACGAAUGUUUUAAAGAGAUUUUGAAAGAAAGUUCAUAUCAUUUUUAUCUGAGUGUAAAUGAAAUUAUGUUCAAACCAUUAGUCUUCUUCGUGUUAUUGAGCUAACUGUUAUGUGCACAUAAAUGAGUAAAGGCAGCCAUGUAGAAAAUGACUGCAUGGUAGAAUGAAGCCGGUAAAUGGAUAAAAGGCGUAUAUUGUGUCAGGCGGCCUGAGCAACAAGGGUGACUAAGCUUUGUUUAAAGAUCAAUAUAAAUAGGGGUCUUUUUGCCAAAUUAUUAGUGACUAUGUUAUUUUGAGAUUUUGAAGAGAAAAGCUUAAGUGUUGAAGUGUUGUCAUUUUGUCUAUGCGAGAAGAAAAAGAAAAGAAGCCCUUCAAGUUUAUUUUCCAAGUGUUGUGAGUGUUUUCUUUAAAUAUUUGAAUGAUUUUUAGCAUUCUGAUAGAUUCUUUGAUGAUUGGAAAUUAUGAUUUCAAUAUGAAUGCUUCUAAAAGAGAUUUACAUGAAAAGCUUAUAUGUUUCAAAGUAUGUUUUAUGUGUUCCAAAACAUGACUUGUUUAUGAGAUGAUGUUUAAACUGUUAUUUACUUUCUAUCAAUGAGUUAACUAUUAUGUGUACAUAAUGAGUCAAGACAACCAUGAGGUGAAAGGGGCUACAUGGUGAUGAGAAGCUGGUUAAUACGUUGAAAGGAGCGUAUUGAACUUAGUGGCCUGAGCAACAAGGGUGAAUCUGUAUAUUCUCAGAUGUUAUUAAUACAGUAGUAUAAACGCGAAGUAAUGAGAUUUAGCAUAGAGAAUGAUUCGAGAUAUAUCCUUGGCGAAAGGAAUGUUUCGUAAUAAUGUGUGUUUAUGCGAGAUGAAAUAUUUAACAGAAAUGAUGUGUUUAUAUGAAUUGAUAUAUUUUUGUGUAUGUUAUGCUUGAUGAAAUGAUAUUUGCAAAGGAAUUGUAAAAAGGAUUUCUUAAGACCUCACUGAAUCUGUUAGACUUACGUUUUUAAAUCUCAUCUUCCAGGAAACAGGCAUUAAGGCCAAGUAAGAAAAGUUGAUGGGCUUACUAGGCGAGAAAAGAUGUUAGUUGGUAUUUUAGUUUAAGUUUUGAGUUUUAUACUUGUGUAAUCUGCAAAGUGUUGUAAUCUUAUAUGACUUAAGAUUUAUAAAGGAAAUGUUUUGUUACUUCCUAUGUUAAGUUGUUUAGAUCACCUAAAGUAUGAUUUCUAAGUUUAAGUUUAAGAGACUAUGCGAUUAAGCAAAGCUUAAGGAUCUUAAGACCAAGUAUUUUGGCGUUUAAACACAUCAGAACACUCAAGUCACAUCACGUCUUGCAUGGCAAACAAGGGUGUCUGCAGGGCAAGGUGUGACAAAUAGACACAUCUAAAUUAGCAACAUUAGCGAAAUUAAGGUCAUUCAUAUAUUCAUAUAACCAACUCAAGCAACCCAAAUUUUCGAGUUGGUCCAAAACAUCUUCUAAUGAAUGCAACUUAUCUACACCUCUCCUUUCAUAUAAUCAUAUAUCCACUCAUUUUACUUCACUCGGACCCAUAAUUGUUAUUAAUUUCUUGUGAUAUAGUGAAAGCAUUACUAAAUUUACCUAAAAAAAUAUGUAUUUUCAAUUUGGGUAUGAUAAAACUUGAUGUUAUAAUUGACAAAGAAUUAAUUACUACAACUUAUACAACAUGCUCUAAAAAUAUAUAUUCAACUUUAAUGACCAUCUAUAUUCAAAUCCCAUGGUCUAAUAUGUGAGUGACACAAACAACCCCACUUCUUAUUAGAGAAAAACAUCCCCAUAAGCUCAUUCACACUCAUUAUAAAAUGCUUCAUUUCCCAUUUUUUUAAGAAACCAAUACCUACAAAUUAACCUUAGAGAUGCAUUUACCCUAAACAAAUAUUUAGCAAAUUAUACAAACACAAUUAUGUAAGAUUGUGUAUAUAUAUAUAUAUAUUAUAUAUAUAUAUAUAUAUAUUAUAUACACACAUCAAAACAAUUAAAAUAUAACCAAAUAAAGAUGCUAAAAAAAAUUAUCAUUGGGAGUAUUUAUCUAGUUAGAGAGAAAAAAAGAAAAAGAAAAAUAGAACUCUACCAACUCCCUUUGUUUGAAUAUAAUUUUCUUAUCAUUUAACUUGGUCUUUAGCUCUAAGAUUGUCAACCCUCUUUUAGAUGGAAAUCAUUUUCUCAAUAUGUGUGUGUAUAUGUAUAUAUAAAACAUAUCUCUACCAUUUAUACUUUACUUCAACUUGCAACAGUGAGAUGAGAAAAAAAAUUAUAUUUAUUUAUAGCUACAAUAAUUGACACAAUAAUAUAUAUAUAUAUAUAUAUAUAUAUAUUUUCAAAAGGUAAGAGAUAUAAUUAAUUAAGCAAAAAGGAUAUUGUUUGUUAAAAUAUUGUUGCAAUUAAUGAAGUUUCCAAGUUGCAACAACCAACUAUUUUUCCUCUCAAAUGUAAAUUUGAGAACUCACCAAAGUUGAAUUAUUUACGGAGGGUUGCAACGUAAAAUCAAAACAAUAGUAAAAUAUUUGAAUGUAGUAAAAAAAAUAUAUAUAAAAGAUUUUGAUAAAUUUAGUUAUUAAAUAGUUUUAAUAUUUUGUUAUUUUAAAAAAUGGUUGGAACUUUUCUAAUAUUUUUACUCAUAUAUAUUGCAUCUAUAAGAUAUGAAAGUAUACUUCCAAAAUAAAAUUUAAACCUCACAAUUACAAAAUAAAACAACACCCAUUAACGGUUGACAUCUUAAACUAAGAUUUAAAUCUCUGAUAUGGGUAACAAUUAUUUAAUUAUCAAAUACUCAUUCAUAAAAUUUUAAAAUAUGAUUUUAAAUUAUUUUAAAUAGUUACUAAAUACUUAUAAAUUUCAAAAAUUAAAUAUUUGAAAAGUUAAAUGUAACGUAACUUAAAUUUAUAAUGUCAACUUAUACUAAUGUUUACGUGGUUGUAGGAACAAAUUUAUUAAGGGAGGCUGGCUAAGAGUACGCGUCCCCUCACAUUUUUAAUUUUUAUAUUUUAAUAUUAAUUUUGAAGUGUCAGAUUACAAUAUAUAUUAAAUAAUGUUUUAUUAUUAUUAAAUUCUUCAAAGUUGGAAGGUUUUUGGUUGGAAUCAUGUGCACUACAUCUAUUUUUUUAGUUGUUUUCUGUAAAAUGAGGCAAAUUUGAUUAUUCUUUUUAUAUAUGAUUUAGUUUUUAGAGUAGAAAAAAGUUAAGAAAAAUGUGUGUAAUUAUAUAUAAAUGCGUAAAUAAAUAUCAUGGGGACCCUAUAACUUGUAACAACUAACAUUAAAUAUUAGUAAUCCUAUAAUUUAAUCUACAAUAUCUCCCAAAUUAACUUUGUAAUUACUUUUCCUAACAAUAAAAGAAAAUACUUCAAAAAAAAUUAAAAUAACUAUUUAAGAGUUGAUAUUUCUUUUUGAAUUCUAAAAUUUUCAUUAUUUAUUUAAAUACACAAAAUCUAAAAUUAUAAUUGAGUCCAUAAACCAAUAAUCCUGAUCUACACUUGCUUUCUUUUAAGAAAGAAACCAACAAAUUAAAUACUAUAAAUAAAAAUCACCCCAAGAUAUAUUACAUUUGUGAAAUAGGAAAUAUAAUUAAGAACAGCCACGAAAACGACGUAGCAUGAGGGAAUUAAAAAGGCAAGGAAAAUGUCAUACCAAAUCCAAGUAGUGCAUUACCACAUUUUUUUUUUAUUCUAUUCCAUUAUUUGAAAAACAUUAAAAGUAUCUCAUUUAUUGGACCCAUAAAGUAAAACAUUUAUAAACAAAUUAAAACCCCUAAAUAUUAAUCAUAUUAUUAAUUGUUGCUUCUUUGCAAUUUUAUUCCUUAAAGAAACAAAGAGAAAUCUUUAGCUUCAAUUUGACAUUGGGAUACUUUGAAUCCAUAAAAAAAAAAAAGAAAGUAUAAGGUUACCUUAUAAAUAAAUAAAUAAAUAAAUAAUAUUUAAGGUUUUAAUGAGUUUACUAAAAGAAAUAUUGACUUUUAGAUAAGAUGAAAAAAUAGUAUUAAUGAAUAUAGACCAUUUUAUCCAAAAAGAAUUAUGAACUAAUAUAGAUUUGAUUGAGUUUAAUAUUACUUUAACUCAUUCCACUAAUACAAAUGCUGAUGGGGAAUCCAUGUGGCUAAUAGGGAAAGAGCAUUUUAAUAAUUAUUAUUUUUAGCUGUGAUAAUAACAUUUUUUUUUAUAUAAAGAAACGUAUAAUAUUUUAUUUUCGAGAAAAAGAAAUAAAUAUAGAUUGGAAAAGAAAUGGAUAUAUAUCUUUUCUACAUUUGUUGAGAAUGGUUUUGAUGAUUUAAUAUAAAUGACCGAAUAAAGUAUCAUAAACAGAUCUACAUACUUUUCUACUUAUAAAUAUCUUGAUAAUGAUAUUGUAUUCAAAAUAUAUAUAUAUAUAUAAAUUUACAUGUUCAUGUUUAUACUUUAUAAUAUAUUUUUUAAUCUUUUUCAACUUUUAAAUCUUUUAUUUUAAUUGUUCUAAUUUUGCCUUAAAAAAUAACAUUAAUUACUUGCUCAAGAGUCGUUCUAAAAUGUGAUUGUUGUCUAUUUCUUGUAUAGUUUGAAAUAUUCAUAUUGAAUAAUUGAAUUAUAAAAUAUAGGAAAAGUUAUCCGACUUAUUAUAUCUCAAUAAAAAAUAUUAAAAAGCUAAAUAAAGAAAAUACUUAUUUUUAUUAUAAAUAGUUUUCUAUAGGUGUAAUUAUUUUGUAAAAUUUGUUAUUUGUUAUUUUUUUUCUUUUUUUAAAUAUGAUAAUUUCUCUAUGUAUUUAUACUAAGUAAAAUAAAUUAGAUAAAAUUCCACAACUAAAAUAUAAUAUUUGAAAUUUUUGUGAUCAAAGUAGGAUAAUUAUAAGUCUUACGGACAUAUUUAAUAUAUUUUACCAUAAGAAGAAGUAUGCAAUACAAUACAUUCAUCACGCGCGUAUAAAACUUUACUUCACAUAAAAUUUUUCUUUAGAACAAUCAUUCCUUUCAUAAACGUCAGUCAUAUGAAAAAACACAUCUUUACAAAUGAACAAAAAAUUUAGAAGGAUGUUUUGAAAACAUUAAACAAUUGAAGAAUCACUCACAAUCCUUAGUUCCCUUUAGCUUAGAGCGCCUAGUCUUCGAGCUUUUUCUCGCCUAAUACUUCUUCUUAGUAGAAUAACACUAGAUUCUUGCACAAUCCUCCUUUAUCGUCCAUUUCCUUCUUUUUGUACUAAUCUUCAAAAUAGAUUAGUCAUCCUUAAGUCCUUAAUAACUUGCUAGCUUCUACUUGAAGUUUUUACAUGUGUAAGUUCAAUGCUCAUUUUGACCAUGCUUAAGUUUAACCUUACACGUAAACAACUAUUAAAUCAUGAUUAGACGUAUUCCUCACAUAAUCUCAUCUCGCGUUAUACUUCAGAAUGCCCAACACUUUGUUAAACACGUACUUCUUUAAUGCGUCACCUCCCUUGAUCAAUGCCAGCUUCAAAAGACACGCUCCCUUUGAAAACAUAUUUUCCUCACACUUAGUCAAAAUGACCCUUCUAUUCAGACACGAGCCUCACAAUCAGAGUAUAACAGAUUUUACAGUAUAAUGAUGGAAAGAUCUCUUACAUAGGUAUGCAUGAAAAAUGAGACUAGACUAAGAGAAGAUGAAAACGAAAGUUAAGUCUAGGAAAGACGCAAUAUGUGUGAGAUUUGAGGGAGAAUUAAAAAAAAAAAAAGGUUGAAAAGACCAACUUAAAAAUAAAUGUAAAAUAUAGAAAGAAAGAAACACACAAAAGUUGAAAAGAGAAAUGAUAAUUGUGGGUGUAAAAUUUGACCCGUUAGCCCCAAUCAACCACAAUACCACGUUCUAGAUGUCGUCAAAGGCGCGUGUAUCACACGUGAAUCCACCAAUUGUGGGCCCCAAAAGCCAAACGAAAAUAAUCUCUCUUUUAAGAGACCCCAUUAUUGUUUUUACCAAACAAAACAUAUCAUUAACCCUUAACUCUAAUUUUAAUUAUUUUCAAUCCAUUUUAAAUUUAAUCUAUAUACAAACAAAUGAAAACUUUCAAAACCAUUAUUUUAUUUUAAAUUUAGAGCAGAAAAAAAGUUUAUAAUUUUUAUAUAAAUUCUAUUAUCAUAAUCUUUUUUACUAUUUUACUAUACACGUUUUAACGUUUAUAUAAAUUUGAAAGUUUAAGGGUCUGACUAUAAUUAUCGUGUAGGUGGUACCGUUUAUUCAAAAUUAAUUGGAGGAGACAAACUAUGGGAGAAAAUUGAAGGUGCAUGUUUUGAACUAAAAUUAAAGAAAGUUUUUAAAAUAUAAUAAUUUGGGAUGAGAAAUAUAUAAUAUAAUUUAGAGGAAUUAAAGAAAAAAGAGGAUGAAUUAGAGCUGACUAUGCUUUCUCAUCUGUCUGACGCUGAGUUGCUGACCAAUCUACAGCAUGGAUUGAACUAAAGCCCUAAAUUAAAAUAUCAAAAAAAAAAAAAAAAAUUAUAAUUAUAAACACACAUCGGUAAACCCUAUUAUUUAUUUUAUAAUCUUAAUUAAUCAGCUUCAUAACAUUUACAUAAUUUCAUUUAAGUGCAGUCAUGUUUUCAAUUUUAUUCCACUUUUGUUUUCUAAUUUUUAAGACAUAUAUUUAAUAUUCAAUUUUUUAGAUUUAUUCCAUUUUGAUCAGGUUUCUAUAUUAGCCUCUACCUUCAAAUAAAAAUUACAUUUUUACUUUUUUUUUUCCUUAAAAAAUAUAACAAGCUGUUGAAAUAUUUAUUAUAAUUUGAAAACUGAAAAGAAUCUAAACUAUUUUUUCAGUAUUUUUUUAUAUUUGAUACACAAUUAAUAACAUAAUUUUUUUUUGAGUAAAUGAAAAAAGGAAAUAAAAUAAGAAGCAAAUAAAAUAAACCUCAAGGCUUUUCUUAAGGAAUAGAAAGGAAAUUUAAAGUAGAAAGGAAUUAGAUGGGAGAGAGAGAAAGAAAAGUAUUGGGUUCGGUUGGUCUGGUUCGCUCCGGUUCGAUUUUUAUUGCUUUUUCUUAUAUGGGCAUUGGCCGCAUAGAUGGAUUUCUUGUUCAAUAGUAUUAUGAAAAGGAAAAGGAAGCAAGGAAGCAGAGAGAGAGAGUAGAAGAAUAAAAAAGAAAAAAAGAGAAAAAAAUAAAAAUAAAAAAGCGAGCUGAAACUCAGAGAAAGAACUGAAGUGAAAAAUCAACCAACAGAAAGGAAACGAAAGAAUGGUGGAUUGAAGAAGAAAGUGGUUCCUUCUUCAGAUGGGAAAGACGAACAGUAGAAGAAUUUAUGGUUGUUGUUUGGGUAACAAAGAAGGAAUUUUAAGCUUCGAGAUGCGAGCUACUGAUUCCGGUAGAAAAGGAACCUUCUCCGUACUCCUUCUAUACCUCCUUUUGAUUCUCAUUUUACCAAGCAUUUAAGUUUCAAAAUCCCUUCACAAAUUUCUUCUUCUUCUUCUUCUUCUUCUUCUUCUUCACAAGCUGCUUCUUUUUCUGUUUCAUCUUACUUCAAUCUGGUCUUCUUUUGGUGUUUUUCUUCUGGGGUUGCUUUAUUUUGACUUGGCUUUCUGUUUGUAUAUCAAAUCAAGCUAACUUU
rnacentral:lncRNA from 1 species